GUUGUUGCUUGAUAUGUCGCGGUGAACAAUUGGUGGUGUGCAGUCAUGAUGCAAGUAUGACAAAGCAUGAGCCAUGCCCUUCACACCGUUCACCCUUUUAGUCCAAUCCAACCCAACAGCUUCCUCAUCUAUGCGUAGAAUACAUAACAAGCUUCCCAUUUCCAUGUACUCAUAGAUCAAGAACACGCAGUUCUCGUGCAAACAAAAGCCGUAAAGCUUUACGAUAUUUCGAUGCCGUAUUUGGGACAGUAGACGAGCCUCAUUCCGGAAACUCUCGAGGGAAGCUAACUCCUCAGUUUCUGAACGGUGAAGCUUCUUCAAAGCAACCACUUUUCCACUGGGCAGCCGUGCUCUGUAAACGCUGCCGUAGCCUCCGGUUCCAAUGCAGUAUUUGAUAUGGAAAUCCUCAGUAGCUUCAAUCAUGUCUUGAAAUGUAAUUCUACCGUCGUAAUUCCAAAUUGCAAACUCAUCAGCGCACUUGGUGAUUUCUUCUGUCUCAGCUGGUUCAACUCUCUUAUCCCUUCGUCUACGGACAAACAAGAUUCCAAAUAUCAAGGCAAGGAAUGCGACCAUAGGGAGAAUAAUUGCAACCAAGCGAGUGACAAUCUUUUUGUGAUGUGGCGGUGGCGAAUUUGCCGAAGUAUUUGGGAUUUCUACCUCGAAAUUGUUGCCUGACACAUAUAAGAGAGGCACUUUUUUGACAGAUUCAGGGAUGCUACCGGAAAGGCUAUUCAUGGAAAGGUUCACGGUAUCUAUGCGUCGAAUUUCUCCAAGCUGGGAAGGUAUUUUACCAUUAAUCAAGUUAUGGCUUAAAUCAAGAUAAUUUAGUUCUUGAAGUUUGCCAAUCUCUGACGGAAUGCUUCCGCUUAACAAGUUGUUUCCCAAUAUUAAUAUCCGCAGCUUUGAGCAAUUCAUGAGUUCUGGAGGAAUUGGACCAUCAAGUUUGUUGUUGUACAUAUUUAAAGUAGUUAGCUGAGUCAAAUGACCCAGGGACGACGGGAUUGGACCAACAAGUUUGUUUUCGGACAAUUCUAAAUCUGUCAACCUAUUUAAAUGACCAAGUGUUAAAGGAAUAGAUCCAGUUAGAUUGUUAUAUUCCAGGGACAGAGAUGUCAAGUUGACUAAACCAGCUAUGGUGGAAGGAAUUGGACCUUCAAGUUUGUUGUCGGACAGGUCAAGAACUUGAAGAAAGUUCAAAUUCCCGAUUUCUAAUGGGAUGGAACCAUUGAUUAGGUUUGAGUGCAUAUAAAAAGUAGUUAGCUGAGUCAAAUGACCUACAGACGAAGGGAUUGGGCCAACAAGUUUGUUCUGGGACAAGUCUAAACUUCUCAACCUCUUUAAAUGGCCAAGUGUUUGAAGGAAUUGAACCUCCAAUUUCAUUUCAGGACAGGUCAAGAACUUGAAGAAAGUUCAAAUUCCCGAUUUCUAAUGGGAUGGAAACAUCAAUGUGGUUUGAGGCAAUAGCCAAAGUAGUUAGAUGGGUUAGAUGACCUACAAUGGAGGGGAUAUUACCAACAAGGGAGUUAGAAGACAAGUGCAAAUUUUCCAAUUUGCUUAGACGACCAAGAGUUGGAGGGAUAUAUCCCCAGAGGAAAUUAUCAGAUAGAUCCAGGUGGACGAGAUUCCUCCAUCUCCCCAUCUCUGAAGGGAUAAUUCCUGUUGCGCAUGUGAUUUAUGAAAAACGAGAUCAGUAUUCACUAUCCUCAUAGAAAUAAAAUUUAUAAAGAAAUGCUUAGGUUGUAAAAAUUAAUAGAUUUUUUAGUGCUCUAAUAGUUUUUUUUUUCUUAUUUUUUGUUGGGGCUCGUCAAUGCUGCAAAUUUUAGACUGAAAGUUAAAUCUGCAGAUGCAACAAAUAUAUCAAUAAAUUAAUACAAAACUAUGGAGAUUAGAGAGAAUCACUCUCAGUGCUCUCAAUUGACUACCCUAUUGUUGUGCAAAUUUUAAUGAACUCGCAAGCGCACGAAUCUAUUGUAGUAUAGACUAAUGGUGACGAGUGUCGAUCCCACGAGGAGGUGGAUUUUAAUUAUAUAUAGAAUUAAUUUUGUAAAUGGGUGGUUGGAAUUGUGGUGGAAGUGAUUUAAAUUAUCCUAAAAUUGGAAUUGAAAUGGCGAUAAUAAAUUCUAAAAUUGGACUUGCAAUGGCGAGAAUAAAUUGAAGAGAAAUCUAUUAAAAUGACUUAUUUGGGUAUCUGGAUCCGUAUCAACAUGCAUCAUGGGCUAAAUAUUCCUUAUUAAUGCCAAUUAAAUCAUGAGGGGGGAAUCCACACCUCAUGAACCACGCUCUAAUCAAUAUGGUGCUAAGGGCUUAUCGUGCCAAAUAAUAAUAACCUUGUACUAGAGGGCCGGUGAAACCAAGGCGGUACUAGACAAGAUUAGUAUUAUUUGUCGACGAGAAGUCAAAACAUCCACAAAAACUAGAGGGGAAGAGAAAAUAAAUUUACCAAAUUAAGCCCAUGACACAUGUUGAGACUUCACCUUCAACCCAAGCUUGAAAGAAAAUUAGCCACUCAUAAUUGAACUAGGGGCAAAAUGAGAAUUUAUUAAAAUACGAAGAAAAUACAAGAUAAAGAAGGAAUUACAGAAAAUAAAGUCCAAAAAUGGAUUCAGCGAUAUCAAAUUAGGGGGGGGAGGCCCCCUUUUUAUAGAUACAUGGAGUAAAUUAUGGCCAUCGGAUUAAAAACAGUUUGGACGCUCAGGAUUACGCCACGUCAUCAGUCAACAGUCCACGGUUUGACCACGUGGAUGAACAGUAAUACGGUUUGACUCGGAUGAACAGUAACGCGGUUUGGUUGAAAAUAAUCCUGUGUGAUGCAUGUACCGUACGCGAGAUUUUUCGUCCACUGAUAUGCUGCCACGUCACCAUCAACAGUACAUAAGAAUUUUAGCCCAACAGGAUCGUGACACCUCAUCAGUCAAUGCCACAUCAUCAUCUGUCUAUGUGAACAGUGUCGUGAACAGUAACGUAUAUACAGUACCGUACACGUGAAUAGUACCGUACAUGUGAUCAGUGCCAUUUUUCUUUUUAUGCUUCUCCUAAGGUUUUCGACCGUCCUGAGUUCAAAAGUGAUGUCCGUUUUGCCAUCUGAUUUCUCGUUUAUUGUGAAAUGACUAUGAUGCCCCUAAAAUACAUAAAAUACUUAAUUAAAAUAAAACACAUGUAAUUAAAUCACAAGAAAGUUAAAUACAUAAAAGUAAGGGUUGUUAAUAAGACUUGAAAUGUAAAAUGACGGUUUUCUCCUUUAUAAAUAUGCAUUUUCUAACACUCAACACACCCCCCAACCAGUUUAUUGCUAGUCCCUAGCAAAUAAAGCGAAAACAAAAAAAAUAAUUUUUUUUAAUAGAAACACUCAUAUUUAUUCCAUCAGAUUAAUGAUAGCAAUUAAAUAAAAGUAUAAGCAUUAUCUCCAGUCUAAAGCAACAUCACACCCACAUCAACCAUCCACAUGAAUCAGCCCAGUAGACUUUGUCAUAGCUACUUUCAAGAAUGACAUGUCAAACCCCAAACUGGAAGUAGUGACACUCUCACAAAGAAAUUAAAACCAAUAAAAAUAGUCACUCCAAUGAAUGGUAAUUGAGAGAGAAAAUAAUAAAGAAGUGAUAUCACAUGCUCUCACCAAAAUGAAAUAAAUAUGCCCUCAGCUUAGAAAUAAUACGAUCUCAAGUCAAAUAAAAAUGCUAGUUAACCCAAUUUAUUUGUCUUAUUUAUUUAUUUAUUUAUUUUUAUUAUGCAGCACUACAUCUUUUUAGCUCAUAUAACUAGCUUCUACUUCAGACUAUAGUUCCCUAAACUCAAGAAGGACUUUUAUUAGGACGUACCGUAGGUUAGGGACAUGGUUAACAAAGAAGGGAAAUAAGGAAAAUAAAGUGUAUGUUUGAGAAAAAAAAAUUGCAGGGAUUUUUUUUUUUUUGGAAGUUGCAAGGUGGAUUUCACCUAUUGUUGUUAUUUUUUUAUUUUUUAUUUUUCUUUUGAAACAACAAUUUUUGUUUUUUUGUUUUUUGUUUUUUUUUUACUUUUAUUUGGCAUAACUUCACUGAACAAAAAUACUUAUUUACAUUUUUCUCAAACAUAAAUAGGUGAUGGAACUUAUAAGACAUUGGGUAAUACUCCAAAUCGGAGUGGGUCAAGAUAAGUUAAACAAAUAAAAGGUUUUUUUUUUUUUUAAAAAAAGGCUCAAAAUGGUUAACUAUGGAUAUUUCACAAAAGGGAUGGCUAGAAAGGCUCAAACGGAUCAAAGAUGGCCUUUCCAUCGUCUUUUAGGGCUCUAAAUAAUCAUCCAUAUCUACUAGUUAGAUGGGCCUCCCAAUGUAGCAACAUACAUUUUUUUUUCUUUUUCUUUUUUUUUUAUUUUACCAUUUUUUUUAAGGGUUAACUCAAAAGAAAUCUAGAGAUCGUGUAUAAAAUAAUAAACUGCUAAGCUGUAUAGAGAAUGGGCAAAAGGGUUACUCUCCAAGAAAAUGAUAGGCUCAACAACUCACUUGGCAUUUAUUUAUAGCAUGUUCAUUCCUUCAAGCAACUUAUAUUUGUCUCCGACAUCAACAUGUAAAGUAGCAAACAUAGCGUAACAUCACUUAAGACUAAAGAUAAUACAAAUACUAAAAUUUGAAAUUAAUCAUGUCAUCCAAUGUUAAAACAAAUCACACAAAUUAUUAUUAUUAUUUUUUAAACAACAUUCUACCCCCCAACCUAUUCUAAGCAUGAAAGGAAAAUAUGCAUGCAGAAAUGUGAAUAUGAUGCAGAAAAACUAAUUAGAAAAGUUACACUUAAAAUGAUGGAAAACCAAAAUGAUUUUUUUUUUAAAGAAGAUGCGUUUCUAGAGGAACUACACUCCAUAUUCAGCCAUCUUCGACUCACAAGUUGGAAAAUGUAUAUUUAUAGAGGAGAAAUUAAAAAGAAGAAAAAUAAACAUAAAAACAUAAUACAGAAAAAGAAAAUGUCUGAAAUUUUUUUAAUUUUUUUUUAAUUUCUUUAACGAUGAAGAUGCGUUUCUAGAGUAACUAUACUCCAUAUUCAGCCAUCUUCAACACAAAAAGUUAGCAACAGUUAGUUUCUACAACAAAAAAUUAGUAAAAACUUAACCAAAAUUCCACAUUUGUCGACUAUUCCCUCCCCCCAACCAGAACGAAACAUUAUCCUCAAUGUUUUAAAGGAAAGAAGUAGAGUUUAGAAGACAUCACCUGGGUGGUGCAACACAGAAGAAAAUAUUUAUAGGCGGAGAGUUAAAUCUAAUUUUUACUUCUUACUGCGGCUACUGUUACCAUCAUUAUUUGGAGGCUCCAACCCCAACACAAAGGUCUAGGGGUCUGGGUCCGGUUUAUAAGCUUGUAACAGAUCAAGUAGCUCAUUAGCAGUGUGAGCACAAAUAAAGAGUUUUUUCGCAUUAGGGGGAAUGAAAUAGUUUUUUAUUGCAUGGUUAAGAAAUGCGAUAAAGCCAUCAUAAAAGUUAUUGACAUUUAACAAACCGAUGGGUUUCUGGUGGAUGUACAGAUGGGCCCAAGAUGCUAGUGUGAUAAGUGCCUCUAGUGUUGCAAGAUCUCCUGGAAGGAAAAUAAAAGCAUCAGCAUGAUUAAGCAUUUCAGUUAUUCUUUCUUGCAUACCUGAGACGACUAACUCUUCUCCAGUUGAUGAGUCAAACGAACUACCCAAAGGUUUUAGGGCUCUUGGGAUGAUGCCUAACACUUGGCUGCCUCUGAUAAAAGCUGCUUCUGAGACCAUUUUUGUUAACCCUCGAUUACCUCCUCCAUACACCAAGUGUAAUUUUCUCGCUGCUAUGCUGCGACCAAGAUCUAUGGCUGCCUCAACAAACUCUUUAUGUUUGCCAUAUGAAAAUCCAGAAAGCACACAAAUGUUCUUGAAUUGUCUAUUUGGAGUAGCUGCCAUUGGGAUACUUCUCAAAAAAUAAUUUGUUAGUGCUUGACAAAAAAAAUCACAUUUAAGAGUCUUGGUGACAAUGGGUCACAGUUGUGUAUGAGGUAACAUGUCAGUGUCAAAUAACGCGUAAAGCACGUGGCUCGCGAGUCAAAAAGGAAACAGUAAAAAGGGAAAAAGAAAACAAUAAUAAGGAAAAAGCAAACAGUAAUAAAAUUAUUAAAGACAAUAAUGCACACAGUAAAACAAUAGUGAAAUAAAAUAACAGUAAAGUGAAAGGAUAUUUACAGGUAGUUGCGACUGUGGCUCACAUCUUCCUCUGGUUUUACGUCCAGAAACGGCUUGAACGCCCUCUAUGGGUCGAGGAUAGGCUUCAUAUCCAGUUUUCUUAUAAAUUGGCAAACAGGGUCGUUUAUAGUCAGAUUCCCGAGACUAUAUCGUGCAUGCUCUUUCUGGAAUAAUGGCCAUAACUGGAGAAUCGCUCCUUGCACAUAUCCACUGGGAUGCGUUUCAAGAGGCAAAAGGAUAUCAUCCAAUGACUCCUUAUUCAAGCCAUCCUUAAUGAAUUGAAUCUUAUCUUCCCUGUUAUCAGACAUCAUUCCUAAAGAACAUGGGUUUUUAUUGCAACUCAUUCUGGCACACUUAUGACAAGCAACAGAAAUUCUUCGAGCUCGUCAUUUUCUUGCAUAAUUUCCUUUACCACAACCAGGCAUGUAUGUAAUAAAUUUUGGAGGUAACUCACCUGUCGAUCGUACUUUAGCCUCGAUUAACCAACGGAUGUCAGCAGGUAUGUUAUUCCUCAAGAGUAAUCGGAUGCGUUCGGACCGAACUUUAUAGAUCGUAAGGAGGGCACUCUGACGAAGUAAAGGGAAUCGCUUGUGAAGCUUCGCUAGAAUCUCGUUUCUGUCCAUACUUUCGCCUCAGAAUAUUAGUUAUUAUGGGAAACUGAAGUAACCGACUUGAUUGUCACGGAGUACCGUUAUCCGCCACUUCACCGGGGUAACAAACUAAAGCACACAAAUAGAAAAACAAAUUAAAACACACAAAGAAAAUUAAAAUCGUCCUCUUAUUGAAUUUACCUCAAGCUCCAACUGGAUGUCAUAAACACUUCUCUCAAUGUCUCUGAGUUGGCUUUCUAAACCCUCAACAUAGGCUACUAACUCUGGUGGUUGUAGAGUCCAAAUACGAUGUGUUUUACAAAAUUGAAUCUGUCUUUUGAGAUGAGUUUUGACACGUUAAAGUGGUUUAAGAAUGUUCAGGAGGAACGGUCUAAGUAUGAGACUCAUGAUUAACAAUGAUAAGAGAAAACUUACUAGUUAAACAAACACACUUAUGCAAAAAUAAUUUCAAUUAGCAAAAGAAUAAUAUAAAGAAAGAAAGAAAAAUCAAAUCAACGAAAAGAAAAAUCAAUUCAAAUCUGGUGGGUCACUCAAAUUUAUUUCGGUGUCUUCUCCAUGUGGUUGGUAUUCUAGAUAUGGUUUUAAUCUUUGACCAUUAACUUUAAACGUGACACCGUUCUUUGGGUCCUUAAUUUCAAUUGCCCUAUGUGGAAAAAUAGUAUGAACAAUAAAUGGGCCAGACCAACGAGAGCGUAACUUACCUGGGAAUAGGUGCAAACGAGAAUUGAAUAAAAGCACUUUCUGACCUGGAGUGAAAGAUUUUCUCAUAAUUUGCUUGUCAUGGAAGGCUUUCAUUCGUUGCUUGUAAAUCUUGGCAUUUUCGUACGCGUCAUUGCGAAUUUCUUCAAGUUCUGCCAGCUGUAAUCUUCUUUCUGAGCUGGCUUGCUGCAUGUCAAAAUUGAAUUUCUUGAUGGCCCAAUAUGCACGAUGCUCGAGUUCCACAGGUAGGUGGCAAGCUUUUCCAUACACUAGCCUGUAGGGUGACAUCCCAAUCGGGGUCUUGAAAGCCGUUCUAUAUGCCCAUAAUGCACCAUCAAGUCUUAAUGACCAAUCUUUCCUGUCUGGCCUCACUGUCUUUUCUAAUAUGUGCUUUAUUUCUCGAUUGGAAAUCUCAACUUGGGCACUGGUUUGCGGAUGAUACGGGGUCGCCACUUUGUGUGUGAUUGAAUACUUUGUCAAAAGAGCCUUGAAUGGUUUGUUACAAAAGUGGGCACCACCAUCACUGAUUAUUGCUCGAGGGAAUCCAAAGCGCGAAACAAUGUUGCUUUUCAAAAAUCCUAUCACCACCUUGUGAUCAUUGGUCCUACAUGAAAUUGCUUCUACCCAUUUCGAUAUGUAGUCAACAGCAACCAAUAUGUAUUGAUGGCCAAAAGAAUGGGGAAAGGGUCCCAUGAAGUCGAUACCCCAUACAUCAAAAAUCUCAACCACUAAAAUUGGAUUUAGUGGCAUCAUGUUCCUUCGUGUAAUGCUCCCCAUUCGUUGACACCUAUCACAUGAAGAACAAAAAGUGUAAGCAUCUUGAAAUAUAGUUGGCCAAUAAAAACCACAUUGUAAAACUUUAGUUGCUGUUUUCUUAGCACUGAAAUGGCCUCCACAAGCUUGUUCAUGGCAGAAUGAAAGAAUAUUCUGAAUUUCAUUUUCUGGGACAUAUCGUCUAACAAUUUGGUCUGCACAAUACUUGAACAAAUACGGGUCAUCCCAAAAGAAAUUCUUUAUCUCUGCAAAUAAUUUAGCCUUAUCUUGCUUGGUCCAAUGCUCUGGAAGUUUACCUGUAACAAGAUAAUUAACUAUAUCACCAUACCAAGGCAAUACUUCCGCACUCAUUAAUUGUUCAUCUGGAAAUGACUCAUUCAAUAUUAAUGGCUCUGUAAUUGUGUCAAAAUGGAGACGAGAGAGGUGGUCCGCCACAACAUUUUCUGUCCCUUUCUUAUCUUUGAAUUCCAAGUCAAAUUCCUGCAAAAGUAACACCCAAUGAAUUAGUCUGGCUUUUGCAUAUUUCUUUAUGAGAAGAUAUUUAAGAGCAGCAUGAUCCGUGAAUAUAAUUAUUUUACAACCAAUGAGAUAGGAUCGAAAUUUUUCCAAUGCAAACACUACUGCUAGCAUUUCUUUUUCAGUAGUUGAAUAAUUCAACUGGGCAUCAUUUAAUGUCAUACUAGCAUAGUAAAUAACGUGGGGAAUUCGAUCAACUCUUUGUCCUAAUACUGCUCCUACUGCAUAAUCAGAUGCAUCACACAUGAGCUCAAAUGGUAAGUUCCAGUUCGGGGACUGAAUGAUGGGUGAUGAUGUCAAUAAAUGCUUUAAUUUUUCAAACGCAACAAGACAUGAAUCAUCAAAGACAAAAGGUACAUCCUUAGCAAGUAGAUUGCAUAAGGGUCUAGAAACUUUGCUAAAAUCUUUAAUGAAACGUCUAUAGAAACCAGCAUGCCCAAGGAAAGAUCUUACUUCUCUGACUAUUUUGGGUGGAGGAAGAUUAGAAAUGAGAUCCACUUUAGCUUUGUCAACCUCAAUACCAUUGCUCGAAAUAAUGUGACCAAGAACAAUACCUUGUUUUACCAUAAAAUGGCACUUCUCCCAAUUUAAGAUCAAGUUCUUCUCAAUACAUCUCUGCAGAACUAGUGUUAGAUGAUGUAAACAUUGAUCAAACGAAUCACCAAAGACAGAAAAGUCAUCCAUAAAGACUUCAAGGAAUCGUUCAACCAUAUCAGAAAAAAUGCUCAACAUGCAUCGUUGAAAUGUAGCAGGUGCAUUACAUAAUCCAAAUGGCAUUCUCCUAUAUGCAAAAGUGCCAAAAGGGCAAGUGAAAGUGGUUUUCUCCUGAUCUUUUGGUGCUAUGGGGAUCUGAUUAUAUCCUGAGUAGCCAUCUAAAAAGCAAUAAAAUUCAUGACCUGCUAAUCUAUCAAGCAUUUGAUCAAUAAAUGGUAAAGGAAAAUGGUCUUUACGUGUGACAGAAUUCAACUUUCUAUAAUCAAUGCAUACACGCCAUUCUGUAGUUACUCUAGUUGGUAUCAAUUCAUUAUCAGCAUUCAUAACUACUGUGACUCCUGACUUUUUAGGGACAACUUGUACAGGACUGACCCAUGAACUAUCAGAAAUUGGGUAAAUGAUACCUGCGUCUAAUAGCUUAAGGACUUCAGUUCUAACAACUUCUUUCAUAUUAGGAUUUAACCGACGUUGCAUUUCCCUAGUAGAUUUAGCAUUUUCAUCGAGGUGAAUGUAAUGCAUGCAGUCUACUGGGUUUAUACCUUUCAUGUCUGCUAUAGUCCAUCCUAAUGCUCCUUUGUGCUCUUUUAAAACAUCCAACAACUUACCUUUUUGUUCGUCAUUGAGGGAUGAUGAGAUGAUUACCGGCAGAGUGCUUUCUUCUCCCAAAAAUGCAUAUUCCAGAGUGUUGGGUAAUGGUUUGAGCUCGAGUUUCGGUGGUGAUUCUGAUGAUGGGAUGAGUUUCUUCUCUGAUGGUGCUAGUUGUUCAACUCUUGACUUCCAUUUAUUAGUGUCCAUGGAUGGUGCUAAGUCAAGUAGGGCAUUGACCUCAUCGACCGAUCUGUUAAUAUUAAAAUCAAAACCAAAGUGAGUUAAACAUGUUUGUAAAGGAUCAUCACUAAGGUUUGAAAGAAAAGUGUUAUCAACUAUUGUUUCAAUUAAAUCCACAUCAAUAAUUCCAUCAUCUGCAUUGUGAGGUUGUUUGGCAAUGUUGAAGAUGUUCAGUUCCAUAGUCAUAUUGCCGAAGGACAACUGCAUAUUUCCAGUUCUGCAUUGAAUGUGAGCAUCCGCAGUUGCCAAGAAAGGUCGGCCUAGGAUAAUGGGGAUGUGCUUCCUUGAAUCCUGUAUUGGUUGAGUGUCAAUUACAAUGAAAUCAACAGGAAAAUAGAACUUGUCUACCUGGAUAAGCACGUCCUCCACAAUACCACGAGGUAUUUUUGUGGACCAAUCUGCAAGUUGUAACACCAAUGGAGUUGGGUGUAAUUCUCUCAAUCCAAGUUUCACGAAUACUGAAUAAGGCAACAGAUUUACACUAGCUCCUAAAUCCAACAAAGCAUUCUCAAUUGUGUGGUUCCCUAUACUGCAUGAGAUAGUGGGGGAGCCUGGGUUUUUGCAUUUUAAAGGAAUUUUAUGUUGGAGUAUAGAACUAACGUUUUCUGUUAAAAAUGCCUUCUUUUGAACAUGUAUAUUUCUCUUUUUAGUACAAAGGUCUUUAAGAAACUUGGCAUAAGAUGGAACUUGUUUAAUAGCAUCAAGCAAAAGGAUGUUAACACUUACCUGUUUGAAGAUUUCAAGAAUCUCACCUGUGGAUUUUCCCUUUUUUCCUUUAGCUAAUCUCUGAGGAAAUGGAGCUUUGGGAACAUAUUCCCGUGGGUUGGUUUUUUCUUUCUCCUCCGGUGAUGAGUCCUCAAGACUCACAUGUACAAUUUGAUUUUCUUUUGUCACCGACAUCUCCACUUUGUUGUCGACUUCUUUUCCUUUUCUCAAGGUCAUAACUGCUUUGACUUCUCCAUGCUGUUGUAGUGAACUGGUACUUGCUUCAUGCACUCCUUUAGGAUUAGGCACUGGUUGACUUAGAAAUUUACCUUUCCCAACAGUCAUUGCCAAGGUCUGAACUGAAGAAGCCAGUUGUCCCACCAUCUUCUCGAGGCUUGAAACUGAUUGGGCUUAUGAGUUGAAGCCCGCUCUCAAUUCAUUUCGUAGUCCAUCAAUGGUGCGGUUCUGUUGCUCAAUCGUGGAGUGAAUAACAUUCUUGAAAUUCUGGAAUGCAUCCUCCCAUGGUCUGGGUUGAGAGUAGUUCUGGUUUUGAUUGUAUGGACUAAAUGGGGGCUGAGAGGCUUAAGGAUUUUGUGGAAUUUGUUGCAUUGGUGUAGCUGGAGCUGCUGGUCCAUUCUGUUGGAAUCCUUGAGACCAUGAAAAAUUAGGGUGGUCUCUCCAUCCAGGGUUAUAUGUGUUGGAGUAUGGGUUGUAAUUUGAUGGCUUUCUCAUUACACCUAUGGCAUUGGCUUGAUCUGAGUAUAAGUCAUGGUCAUGUGGCUCUGUUGAUUUAGCAGUCGAUAACGAUGCUAUUUGUCGAGCAAGACCUUCAACCAUCUCCUUGACUUCUUUGAUUCCCGAAGUUGACUCGCCAAUUUGAACCUCAUUCACUCCUUUAAUUCUUCUAGUAUUCCGGAGUGAUCGACUCCGUUGUUGGGAAUUAUCCGCUUGUCGUUGAAAGAAUUCCCAAAUCUCUGAUGCACUUUUUGACAUUAGCUCUCCUCCACUUGUUGCCAUUAGCCAUUCCUGCACAUUCGGCAAUAAUCCCUCCAAAAAGUAUUGGCAUUGGUGCCAUUUCUCGUACCUAUGAUGUGGACACUUCAAGAGUAGCCAAUUGAAUCGUUCCCACGUUUCGAAAAACUACUCGUCUUCUCUCUGUGUAAACUCUGAAAUUUCCCUGCGAAUAGCAUUGGUUUUAUGCACUGGGAAAUAUUUAUUCAAAAAUUUUGUAACCAUUUGUUCCCAUGAUGUGAUGCUAUUAGCAGGCAAAGUAUUUAACCAUGAACGAGCUCUAUCCUUUAAAGAAAAUGAGAAUAAUCUGAGUUUAACAUCAUCGUUUGAAAAAUUUUCAUAUUUAAAAGUUUGACAAAUUGCAUGAAAAUCAUUCAGAUGAUUAUAUGGGUCCUCAUUUUCUAGGCCAUAAAAUGUUGGGAGACAAUUUAGCACACUGGGUUUUAAUUCAAAACUUCUAGCAGCUACAUUUGGGUAUCUUAUGCAUGAUGUGCUCAAAUUAGCUAAGGGACUAAAAUAGUCCUUAAAUGGCCUCUCUUGUGGUGCUUGUAAAUCCAUUCCAAUUUUAUUUUUAAUGUGCUUUUGUGUGCGAAGUAUUUUUCAAGUUCAAGGUCUAUAGGUUCAAGAUUGGGUAAUAAUGACCUUCGACCAUGCAUGCAAAACAAAUAAAAUAAAAAAUAAAGAUGGGAACAAAAUAAAUAAAAAUAAAGAAAAAGAAGAAAUUACGAUACUAACCUUAUUGCGCUAUUACAACCUUUCUAUAAAAAUACACAAAAAUAAAUACGUGAAAUAAAUUAACUAAAAAUUAAAUUAAUUAAAUAAAAAAAUUACAAAGAAAAAUAAAUUGAAAAUUAAAUCACAGAAUUUUAAAGAAGAGAAAAAGAAAAGAAAUACUAACCUUUAAAUGUAGAUUCACUUUUUUUUUCUUUUUUUUUAAUAAAAAUAAAAAAAUACAAGAAAACAAAUAAAAGAAAUUAUUCACAAAAAUUAAUUCUAUGAAUUAAAAGUACUUACCUCCCCGGCAACGGCGCCAAAAACUUAUUGUGCAAAUUUUAAUGAACUCGCAAGCACACGAAUCUAUUGUAGUAUAGACUAAUGGUGACGAGUGUCGAUCCCAUGAGGAGGUGGAUUUUAAUUAUAUAUAGAAUUAAUUUUGUAAAUGGGUGGUUGGAAUUGUGGUGGAAGUGAUUUAAAUUAUCCUAAAAUUGGAAUUGAAAUGGCGAUAAUAAAUUCUAAAAUUAGACUUGCAAUGGCGAGAAUAAAUUGAAGAGAAAUCUAUUGAAAUGACGUACUUGAGUAUCUGGAUCCGUAUCAACAUGCAUCAUGGGCUAAAUAUUCCUUAUUAAUGCCAAUUAAAUCAUGAGGGGGGAAUCCACACCUCAUGAACCACGCUCUAAUCAAUAUGGUGAUAAGGGCUUAUCGUGCCAAAUAAUAAUAACCUUGUACUAGAGGGCCGGUGAAACCAAGGCGGUACUAGACAAGAUUAGUAUUAUUUGUCGACGAGAAGUCAAAACAUCCACAAAAACUAGAGGGGAAGAGAAAAUAAAUUUACCAAAUUAAGCCCAUGACACAUGUUGAGACUUCACCUUCAACCCAAGCUUGAAAGAAAAUUAGCCACUCAUAAUUGAACUAGGGGCAAAAUGAGAAUUUAUUAAAAUACGAAGAAAAUACAAGAUAAAGAAGGAAUUACAGAAAAUAAAGUCCAAAAAUGGAUUCAGCGAUAUCAAAUUAGGAGGGGGAGGCCCCCUUUUUAUAGAUACAUGGAGUAAAUUAUGGCCAUCGGAUUAAAAACAGUUUGGACGCUCAGGAUUACGCCACGUCAUCAGUCAACAGUCCACGGUUUGACCACGUGGAUGAACAGUAAUACGGUUUGACUCGGAUGAACAGUAACGCGGUUUGACUCGGAUGAACAGUAACGCGGUUUUGUUGAAAAUAAUCCUGUGUGAUGCAUGUACCGUACGCGAGAUUUUUCGUCCACUGAUAUGCUGCCACGUCACCAUCAACAGUACAUAAGAAUUUUAGCCCAACAGGAUCGUGACACCUCAUCAGUCAAUGCCACAUCAUCGGUCAAUGCCACAUCAUCAUCCGUCUAUGUGAACAGUGUCGUGAACAGUAACGUAUAUACAGUACCGUACACGUGAAUAGUACCGUACAUGUGAUCAGUGCCAUUUUUCUUUUUAUGCUUCUCCUAAGGUUUUCGACCGUCCUGAGUUCAAAAGUGAUGUCCGUUUUGCCAUCUGAUUUCUCGUUUAUUGUGAAAUGACUAUGAUGCCCCUAAAAUACAUAAAAUACUUAAUUAAAAUAAAACACAUGUAAUUAAAUCACAAGAAAGUUAAAUACAUAAAAGUAAGGGUUGUUAAUAAGACUUGAAAUGUAAAAUGACAGUUUUCUCCUUUAUAAAUAUACAUUUUCUAACACUCAACACCUAUCCUGUAAAUACAAAAGUAAAUUUAGUAAAUUAAUGAGGAACUGUGUAUGUGUGAAAUUAAAAAUAGUGCUUUUGAUUUGUAAUCAUAUCUUUUAUAGGAUAUAUUCAUUGUCUACAUAUUUUAAUUUAUGUGUAGAAAAUUAGAUAUAUUCAAUGUCUAAUCUGAUUCUACACAAAGACUAAUGCCCCAAGAUUGUGUAGGGGUGUUCAUAAUCCAAUCCGAUCCGCUCAAUCCGUCUGAUCCGUGAAAAUCCGAUCCGUGGAUCCGUGAAUUGGAUAUGGAUUGAAAAUUUAAAAAUCCGCAGUCGAUGGAUUGGAUAUGGAUUUACUUCUAUAAAUCCGUAAAAAUCCGUGAAUCCGCAAAAUAUAUAUAUAUAUAUAUAUAUAUAUACAUUUAUUUAGUUAAAAAAUUAUUAUAAAUUUAAUUAAAGAAUAUUAUAAAUGUGACAUUACAUAGUUACAUAAGCACUAUAAUAUGUCUUAGCUAUUACCCAAUAAUAAUAUUAAAUAAUUAAAUAAUCAAAUAUACAAAUAUAACUUGUAAAAAUUGUAAAACAAAAUAAAAGCAAAGUCACACGCACUAGCAAAAACAAAGUAACAUAACGCCAAGUUACCAACAAUUUGCAAAGUCACCCAAAAGCAAAGUAACAUAACACCAAGUCACCAACAAUUUGCAAAUAAAAAACCUUAAGCUUCCUUGUUGUCACAUGCAAUAGCAACACUCAAUACUGGUUCGAUACACUCUCGACACUGAUUUGAAGGACGUCGGCCGCACGAUUCCAGCAAGAGCAAGCCAUCUUCUUCCCCGAGCCCAUCGAGCCACUUCACAAUCACUGGUUCCAGCCAAACAAUUGCACUAUCACAACCUUCAAGAUCAUCACCCGUACUUCUCCUAGUUCCAAUAGUUGACGGCUCCAUAAUCACCACUUUUCGACAAGUAUAACAGCCCUGGUGAAGGAUCAUACUGUGUUUGGUUUCAGAAACUUCACCAUUUCAAUUAAUUGUGACUUUAUUUGAAUAAUUAAUUUCGGUGUUAUAUUAAUGUAUUAUUGUAACUUUAUUUGAACAAUUAAUCUCGAUGUACUAUAUUUUGAAACUUUGAAUGUAUUAUUUUAGUUUUAUUUAAAUAAUUAAUUUGUUUAAAAUUUAUUCAAUUUUAAAUUUAAUUGGUAAUAAAAUUAUUUUUAUAUUAGAUUUUUUUUUUAAUUUCAUUAGUUCAUGGAUUGGGGAGAACUAAAAAUUUUUAAUUCGGAAGCUAAUGCGUAAAAUGGUGGAUUGGAUAUGGAUUAAGUUAAAUCCGCAUCCGAUCCGCAUACGUAUGGAUUGGAUAUGGAUUGAGUCAAAUCCGCAUCCGAUCUGCAGACGUAUGAAUUGGAUUUGGAUUGAGUUUAAUCAAUCUGUGGAUUGGAUUGGAUUGAAAAAUUAUAAUCCGCAAAAUUGUGGAUCGGAUAUGGAUUGAUGUCCAAUCCGUAAAAUCUGAUCCGCGAACAUCCCUAAGAUUGUGAUUGAAAUGCUAUAAGCAACUUAUUUUAUAAGUUUAGAUAAAAAUGAAGUUUGAUGGCUUUGUUAAAAGUUGCUUCUUUUAUAAUUUUCUCUAUUUUGACUGUAACUUUUAAAAACAGAACAAACAUUAUUUUUAUAAGCAACUUAUUAAACAAGUUGCUAUAUCUUUUUAAAUAUUCAUAUUAUAACCUUAAUAUUUUAAGAAAAGAAUAAUUAUAUCUUACUUUUCUAUAAGCUCUAAUAUAUAAAUAAAAGACAAUUUAAACUCAUGUUUAUUUUAGUCAUUAAAUAAUACAGCACAUUCAUAGUCAAAUUUACUAAACAUGAGCAAGAUACUUUUUUAAUCAUCAACUUAUUUCGUUCUCACAAUAGAAAUAACUUAUUUUAUCAUCCACUGCCAUCCUAAACUUGAUGUUAAGUCACGUUUGGGAUUGCAUUAGAUUGUCAAAUAAUCUAGAGAAAUAGCUAUUAAGGACGAAGAAUAGGAAGAGGUUCGCCAUAAGCAAUAUACUCGCAAGCUUGGCUACUAAUAAACAGAGCAUACAAGCUUAAACACCUAAUAUAUAUAUAUAUAUAUAUAUAUAGUAGUUUUUUGGCACAGGAUCUUAAAGUGCGGGAAACAUUAGGAAAAACUUUAAAACCGCGGGGUUUUAAAGGCUUAAUACUUAAAGCACUUAAACUGCACGGUUUAUGCGUUUUCCCAGACGUUCCCACACUUUAAAAUUCUAAAUUAGAAUAUUUUUAUGUGUGUGUGUGUGUGUGUGUGGAGGGCAAAUCUUUAACUACCUCCGGCUUAAAGGACCUAUACAGUAACUCUUAAAUCAAAGAGAGAAAAUAGUUAAUUCAAUCUGAUUGAAUAUGAAUUGAUAUUCACCAUAUGAUAAUUACAUAAAGAUUGAGCCUUAAGUGUUUUACAUUAAGUAAUACUGCACUGCACACUUGUUCUACACAUUUAGACAACCCAGAUUAAGAAUAAUGAAAAUGAACUCUUAAACUAGCUAGGUGCUCUAUUAUUUAUCUUUGCUCCAUAAAUAUUAGAAAGAUAGAGGAGAGGAAGAAAAAGAAAAGACUAAUUUUGCAGUCCCAAUUUAAUCUUAUGCUCUGAUUUUGAAGCAAAUCUGCAGAGUAUUUAAGGAUCCAAUCAUGAACCAUGUCCACUUCAAUCUUUCGCUGCAUUACUAACCCCUCUGGAUCAUCUUCUGUUGCUGGCUGUAUGUCUAAGCAAUGGGAACCUGCUCUAAUUUACACAUUAUUAAUUAUGUUAUCCAAUAAUUUAGUUAAUAAUUGAACACUAAUUUUUUAUUUUAUAGAAAAAUUUACAUACUGUUUCUUAUUGUCACUGCUAUUAUAUUGUCUGAUAUCUUCCAAAACCCUAUAAUCUCCCCCCCACCAAAAAAAAAGAAGAAAAAGAAUAAGGCAUAUAAUUAAACGGGUAACUUCGAUAGAAAAGAGUGUACAAAAUUUUUAAGCUUAAUUAAUUACCCAGCGCUGCUAUAGGGAUCACGAAAGCCAUUAGAGAAAAUAAGGCUGCUACCAAAUCUCUUUACAACCACUCUUAUACCCUGCAAAUUAAAAAGAAAUAAAAAUCGAACAAAAAUUGAGAUAAAAUUUAUAAUUAAAAAAGAAAAUGAAAAAAAUUAAAUUAUUAAAAGAAUUAAUUUGGGGAUUAAUUGACACUUACAUGACUACCGUAAUAAGUUGUAAUCCAAUGUGGUAUUGGAGCCACUCCAUAAGACUUAUUGCAUGAAUUCAUAUAUUCUAUCGUCUGCUUGAAAAUUGUAUUAUUUUUUUCAAUUCCAAUUGAUGAGACCAUUUCACUGCAUGUCUGCAUGAGAAAUCCCCCCCUCCCAAAACAAAAAAAAAAAUCAUAAUAAAUAAAUAACUAAAUAAAGGAGAAAACUAUUUUUAAUCAUUCAUAAAUAUGUAGUCUCAUAAAUAAAAUUAAAAGAUGUACAUAAAAUAGGUAUUGUUAGCUAGGUGAGAGAUUCAUUCAUCGCAACAUGUUGUUUGUUUGACGAUCUCAAUAGAAGUAUCUAAUGAAAUCAUGUCACCCGUAAUCACAUACCUGCCAGCCUCAGCUCGAGUCUAGUGUUUCAUCGGAUAAGAAUUCAUCAACAUCAUGGCAAGAAUUCUCCCAUCUUAAAGCAACAAUUCCUGAGAAUAUCCGGCCUAGGGUAUCCGUGCCUUCUGAAGCUCCAUGGAUACCUUCACAAGCUUUGCUCACUGGAUAUUCCUGAGGAUCAUCAUACUGAGCUGCACCCGUAUACAUACACUCUAAAUAAUCCUUCAAUUCUGAAACAUCCUUCAGAGGCUUGUAAUCAAAUAAACAACAACAACAUAGAAUUAAGUGCCACAAGGUUAGUAACAUUAUAAAAGAUCUUUCAACAAGCCGUCUAAAACAUGUUGUUAUAUUUAGUUAGAUUACAAUAAACUUUAUAAGUAUGAAGCUAUUGAUAUUAUCAAAUGCAAACGUACAAAUUUGGCCUUAUUUGAUAAUCAGAGUUGUGCGUGGUUUUGUAGUUCAAAUUUAGAUUCUGUAAGAUACGAACCUUUGGAGGCCUGAAUCUAAGCACCAGUAUACUAUAUAUAUAUGGUAAUGCAAAGGCCGUGUAUAAGCCCAAAUCCAGAUUUUUACUUUGUAUAUUACACGUUAAUCGAAAUGUAUAUAUACUCUGAGGAUGACAGAUAAUUAAUUAGACAUAGUAUAUUCGAUAAUGAUGCUACAAUAACAUUGCAUUAAUUGUAAUUAAGGGAAAAUCGGAUGGAUAUAUAUAAGCAGUUAUGUAAAGUAAUAUGAUUACUUUCUUGCAGGUUUUGAACUUUUUAGAGAGAAAAGCAAGUCCAUUUUUUCUAGCAGCGGUUUUAUCCAUUUCAGCCCAGGACUGUUUGAUGGUCAUGUAGCAGCUCUCCCUGGCUUCUUGCAUCAUUAAUUUUCAAAAUUUAAUGGAUUAAUUUUCAAAAUUUAAUGGUUAAAUUUUAACAAGAAAACACAAUCAUACAUAUAUAGAAUUUUAAUUAAUUAAUUUUAUUUCUUACCUUAAAGUCAUUGGUGACAAGAUCAUAAUAUGUGUUUGAGUGUGUGAUAUUAUCAAAAUAGAUAAUUGGGGCGGACGACGCAACUACUCCCAAAGCACUGUAAGAUGGUUAUUUUUUAAAACGUAAUUAUCUUAAAUAUAUUUAUUAUUUCUUAGUUUUACGAUUGCUGAAAGUAUUCAUUAAUUGGAAUGCAAAAUAAAUUUGUAUCAAAAUAAUAUUGGCGUAAUCAAUAUUUUGGUCAAACGAGAUCAAAAUGAAUAAAAUGAUGCAAUAAAUGACACGACAUUAAUCAAAAGAUGUAAGUAACUUAAUAAUAUUAAAAUUUACUUCCUCCAUAAGAUGCUGUCAAAUAAAGUGGCCAUUUAGAUGGUCUAAAGCAGCCAUCUAGAUGAUCAACAACAAUUUUGUUCAAAGAAGACGAAGAAUUUUGCAGCAAGUUUGAAAGAAAAAGAAGCACACGGCUUUAACAUUUGAAAGAAGAAAAAGAAGGUAAAAAAUAAUAUAGAAUUGAUGAAUAGUGCCAAAGCUUUCUCUAUAAAUAGAAACGAAGAGAAUGGGCAAAUGCAUUCCAUUUAGAAAGCAAUUUAGGGAGUUGAGAGAGAGUUCAAGAGCUUGCAUUUAUAAGUUCUUGUUACAGUGAUUGAGAGAGUUUGGGUGUAUUGGGGUUUUUGGGAAGUGAGCUAAAAUACUACAAUACUUGUAACUCUUUUUCACUAGUAAAAUAUUUCCUUCUGUCUUCGCCCGUGGAUGUAGGCUAAAAGCCGAACCACGUAAUUUUUGGUGUCCUCUAUUGUACUUGUUCUUUAUUUUCCUUCUAAUUUCAUUUUAGCUGCGGUCUUACUUCACCCUCCAAUCCUAACAGUGGUAUCAGAGCUAUUGGUUGUAUUUUUUAGAGUCAGGAACUGUUCACGUAAGGGGUACUAUUCACAUAUACGGUACUGUACACAUAUACAAUACUAUUCACGUAUACGGUACUAUUCACGUGAAACGGUGGAAGUGAUCCAAGAAUUUUGUGGUGCAAAGCAGGAAAUAGUGGUGUGAGUAAAGCAACUGUGUGAUUUUGUACAUGUCUAGGAAAGUUCUGUCACAAAGGCGAUAAGAGCUUAAGGAGUCUGGGUUUUAAGUGGGACCAUUGUGACCCCUCCAGUCUUUCCUGGGAACUUUCCUGGUGUGCAUUCUCACACAUACUCACAACUAUUCAAGGUGGUACACUAACUUGUGUGCAAUAUUUAUCAACAAAAUGGUGGCAAAGUAUGAAAUUGAGAAGUUUAACGGAAAUAAUUUUUCGUUGUGGAAAAUAAAGAUGAAAGCUGUAUUGAGGAAAAAUAAUUGUUUGGCAGCAAUUGGAGAAAGGCCCAUGGAGAUAACUGAUGACAAGUGGAACGAGGUAGACGGCAACGCCAUUUCUGAUCUACACUUGGCACUUGCGGAUGGAGUAUUAUCCAGUGUGGCAGAGAAAAAUACGGCGAAGGAAAUAUGGGAUACUCUCACAAAAUUAUACGAGGCCAAGUCACUACACAACAAAAUCUUCUUGAAAAGAAAACUCUAUACUCUUCGAAUGGCGGAAUCUACAAUGGUGACCGACCACAUCAACACAUUGAAGACUCUAUUUUGGGUCAUAAUAUAGAGGAAAAUGAGCGUGUAGAGCUUCUAUUUCAAAGUCUACCAGAUUCGUAUGAUCAACUCAUCAUCAACCUGAUGAACAACAAUCCAGUGGAGAGUCUAGUUUUCGACGAUGUUGCAGCCUCCGUAUUAAAUGAGGAGAGCAGGCGGAAAAAUAAGGAAAACAGACAAGCAAGUUCGCAGCAAGCGGAGGCGCUAUCGGUGACGAGAGGGAGAUCAACAGAACGUGGCCCCAGUAGGAGUCAAAAUUAUGGUAUAUCAAAAUCCAGAAGUAAGAAGAAUGUUAAAUGCUACAACUGUGGCAGGAAAGGGCACGUCAAGAAAGAGUGUUGGAGUAACCAGAAGAGAAGAGAUGGUAAAAAACAUGAGUCAUCAAAUGCUCAGGGGUGUGUAGCAAGUACCUCGGAUGAUGGCGAAAUACUCUACAGCGAGGCAAUAACUGUUUCAGAAGGCAGAAAACGACUAUCUGAUGUCUGGCUUAUAGACUCAGGAGCUACCUGGCACAUGACCUCUCGGAGAGAAUGGUUCCACACAUAUGAACCUAUCUCAGGAGGAUCUGUAUAUAUGGGUAAUGAUCAUGCCUUGGAGAUCGUUGGUAUUGGUACUAUCAAAAUUAAAAUGUUUGAUGGUACAAUUCGCACAAUUGGAGAGGUACGACAUGUCAAUGGCCUGAAGAAAAAUCUAUUGUCUUUGGGACAAAUGGAUAGUCAUGGGUACAAGACUCAUGUGGAGAAUGGAAUUAUGAAGAUCGUUAAAGGCGCGCUUGUAUUGAUGAAGGCAGAAAAGAUCGGUGCUAAUCUAUUCAUGCUUAAAGGAGAAACACUAUAGGAGGCUGAUGCGUGUGUCGCGUCAAAUGGAGAAGAGUCAACGAUGAUGUGGCAUCUCAAACUUGGUCACAUGUCAGAACAAGGUUUGAAGAUUCUCUCUGAGCGAAAAUUACUUCUGGGGCUCAAAUCGGUAAGUUUACCAUUUUGCGAGCAUUGUGUUACAAGUAAGCAGCAUAUAUUAAAAUUCAGUAGAUCUAUUGCUAGAAGUAAAUGCAUUCUAGACUUGAUUCAUUCUGAUGUUUGGGAAUCACCGGAUAUAUCCAUGGGAGGUGCAAAGUACAUGGUGACUUUCAUUGAUGAUUAUUCCAGAAGAUGUUGGGUGUAUCCAAUUAAGAAAAAGUCAGAUGUAUUUCUAGUGUUUAAAGAAUACAAAGCGCGGGUGGUGACACAACUUAAAAGUAAAUUUUAACUCCCAAGUAUAAGAGUGUCUUGUUGUAUUAUAACUCGGUGAGUCCGAGGUCGAUCCACAGAGAAAAGAUUUAAUUAGUUUAUUUUAUUUUAUCUAAAAAUUGAAAUUAAAACUUGAAUAUAAACAACUUAAUUUAAAUGAAACUAUGGAAUUGAACUAGUUAGGGUUAUGGAUCCACUCUUAGAAAUAAAUAAAACUUAAUAAAUUCUUUUUGCCAAUUUAUUUUAGAUUUAUUACCCAAAAGAUUAAUUAUACAAAUUAUUAUUAUUUUCCCUUUAAUUUUAUGAUGGAUUAAGUAUUUAUUGUGCCAAAAUUUAAUUUGUCUACAAUAAGGCAAAAUACCAUUUCACCAUGCCUUAUAUUAAGAUCUUAAGAAUUUAUUGUGCCAAAUUCAUUUGUUUGUCUACAAUAAAUCAAAAUUUCAAAAUAUAAAACAUGUAUAAAAUUAAAUAGAAAAUAAUUUAAUUUAUAAAAUUAAACAUAGAAUUUGAUUAAAUCAUAUUUAUUUCUUAAGAGUUUCACCUUCCCCUAACUAAUAUUAUUUAGUUAAGCAUAAUUAAAAUAAAAAGUAGUAAAAUUGAAUUACUUGUAAUUAAAAGAAAUAAAAACAACUAAAAUUGGAAAUAAAACUAAUUUUAUUAAUGAAAAUAAUUAUACAAAAUAUUAAAAACACACCUGGAAAUCAAGAUUACAAGGAGAUGGAGAGAAUUUGAGAAGAAGAGAGUUGUAGAGAGAUGAUUAAAACAUAAAAAUGAGGCCUUAUUUAUAGAAAAAUAAAUUCAUAAUCCAGUGCUUUGUGGUCCAUCAUAGGCUUCAUGCAUGUGCUCCUCACAACCCUUAGAUCAAGAUCCAAUGGCUGGUCAAACUUCAAAAGUCAACAUCACACAUGGCAUCAUUUGACUCGUCCGAUUUGCCCAAAGAACGGUUGAGAUUUGGCGGGUUAAUGGGUGGAUCGGGUCGACCCGAAUACAAAGAUUCGGAUCCUCCAACUUGCUUCACCAACCAUUGCCACGUGGCACAAUCAUGGCCAUUGAAUGAUGAACGGUUGAGAUUUAGUCAAGAUUGCCAGUUAUCCCAUGCACUCAUAUCUAUUGUAAGCUCAUUUCAUCAUCCAAUCAGUGCUCGGUCAACAGGAAAAGUCAACUUUUUUUACACAAGCCCAAUUUUAAGCCGAUCUUGACUGAUCUUAAGGUUUUCGGACCUCCGGAAUCCAAAUUUGACCUCCGUUUAUUUGUUUGGAGCCUCGAAGUACGUGAAAUUAAUAAUUUUCCUAAUAAACACAUAAAAAUACACAAAAUUAAAUAUAUUUAAAACAUAAUUAAUAAUUCAUAAUAUAUUACAUAAACACAAAUAUAAAUUAUAACAUAAGCAUAAAAUAACAUAUUAUCGCUUGAUAACUAAACAAUUUUUAAUACUAAUCACACCCCCCAACCAGCUUAUUGCUAGCCCUCUAGCAAUUAAAGCGUUAUAUUAAGAUUUAUAAAAUUCACAUGCAAGUUAAUAGUUGUUCAUCUAUCCUCUAAAUUACCAAAUAAAUGAACUCUCCCAAAUUCCUUUACCACAUUGAUGUUCACUCAUUAUCCAGAAUAUCAUCAAACCUUCUUUUGUGCUCAAGUAAUUAACACAAUACUUAUGGGGCUUCAUUAAAAGAAAAACAACAUUUUCGUUCUAAAAUUCAUUAGAAAUUAUAUCUUUAGGCAAUAGAUUAUUCACACAUUUUUUUUUUAUAUUACAUUUCUAACCCGUUUAGCAAGCUUUAGGUCAGUGACUCCCAGACCAGUUGGCCUUAGGGCACUAGGUGUUGAAGCACCCCUACGGACUUAAUUACUCGGGUUUCUAAUAAACAAACAAUAUAUCUAUUACCCAUGUAGCGAGCUUUAGGCCAGUGACUCCCAGACCAGUUGACCUUAGGGCACUAGGUGUUGAAGCACCCCUACGGACUUAAUUACUCGGGUUUCUAGAUAUAACAAAAUUAAAAACAUUUUUUCUUCUUCUUUUUUUUUGAUUUUUUUUUUUUGGUUUUUUUGUUUUUUUGUUUUUGGAAAUAUACACUUUCUACUACCUUAGAUACUAUUCCUAAUAAAUCAAAAGAACUAAAUGCUGUAAAACUUUAACUUACAACCCACUAGUAUGUGUCAUAGUGUGUGUGUGAAGAAUGAUUCAAUAAUACCUGUUAAAUGAGUAAACAAUUAAAUAACUUAAUAACCAAGUGGAGAGUUCACAAAUUUGAGUAAUUCAAAGAAAAGGGAACAAAAACAACUUACUAUGAAUCUCAAAAUCAAAAUAUAAUACAACAAGACUAUUAGGAUGCGUCUCAAAAGUCGUGACUCUUUACACGGCCAUCCUAGACAAAAAACAAAUUUUUUUUUUUUUGGUUUUUUUUUUAACAAAGAAAAGAAAAGAGAAAAGAGAAAAACAACACACAUAUUUAAAAUAUACGUCAAUUAUCCCCACCCCACAACCUAAUCUAAACAUUAUCUUAACAUUUUAUAAUUUUACAGAUAUGCAAAAAAAUAAAAAUAAAAGAGAAUAAUAAAAGAAGAAGAAGAAGAGAUCUCACCUGAACUUGAUGCAGAAGCUUAAAAGCAAAUAACAAAGAUGAAGAAAGAGUCAAUUUUUUUUUUUAACAACACCCUUAAGAUUAAGAAGAUGCGUUUCUAGAGAGACUACAUUCUCUAUAUCCUGCCAUCUUCGACUCAAAUUUGUCCUAAGUUAGUCUUUACAGAAAAAAAAAUUUUUUUUUUUUUUGUUUUUUGUUUUUUUUUUUUUUUGUAAACACAUAACCAGGACUAAGACAUUCCACAAUUAUCAACUAUUCCCUCCCCCCAACCUGAAAAAGACAUUGUCCUCAAUGUUUUAAAAGGAAAGAGAAAGAGUGUAGAAGACAUCACAUGAACACUACAACAGAAAAUAUUUACAAACGGAGAGUUAAAUCUAAAUCGCACUUCUUAUUAUUGCUACUGUUACCGUUACCGUCAUUAGUCGACCAAUUCAGUGCAACAGUCUGUGGAUCUGGCUCUGGUGUAUAAGCUUGCAAAAGAUCAAGUAACUCAUUAGCAGUAGAAGCAGAGAUAAAUAGUUUUUUUACAGAAUGUGGAACAAAAUGAUUCUUUAUUGCAUGAUUAAUAAAAGUUAGCAAGCCGUCAUAAAAAUCAUUAACAUUUAACAAACCGAUGGGUUUUUGAUGAAUGUUCAAGUGGGCCCAAGAUGCAAAUGUAAUUAGUGCCUCAAAAGUUGCAAGAUCUCCUGGCAAGAAAAUAAAAGCAUCAGCAUGAUUCAUCAUUUCAGAUAUUCUCUCUUGCAUACUUGAUACCACUAAUUCUUCUCCAAUUGGUGGGCCAGACAUGCACACUAGCGGUUUCAUGGGUUUUGGGAUAAUGCCGAGUACUUGGCUUCCUCUGGUAAAAACAGCUUCUGAGACAAGUCUUGAUAACCCUCGUUCACCUCCUCCAUAUACAAGAUGCAGUUUCCUCUCUGCUAUGACACGACCAAGAUCUACAGCUGCCUGAACGAACUCUUUGUACUUUCCAUAGUGAAACCCAGAAAGCACACAAAUGUUUUUGAAUUGUUUACUCGAAGAUGAUGCCAUUGGACUAAUUUUUCAAAAACAAGUUGUGAGUGUUUGAAAAAUGAGCUCAUAUUUAAAGAUCUUGGUAACAUAAAUAAUGAGAAACAGCUGUAAAUGGGUUGGCAAUAUUUGUCAAAUGACGAGUAAAACUCGUGGCUCAAUAAUUCAAAAACAAACAGUAAAAAGAAAGUAAUGAUUAGAAAAAGCAAACAGUAAAAGAAAACCAAAUAUUUAUUAAAUACAAAAUCACAUCGCUAAAUGCAAUAAUGCAAAUGAUAAAAUAACAGUAAAGUAAAAUAACAGUGAAGUGAAAGGAUAUUUACUGGUAGUUGUGAUUGUGGCUCACAUCUUCCUCUGGUUUUACGUCCAGUAACGGCUUGAACGCCCUCUAUGGGUCGAGGAUCGGCUUCCCAUCCAGUUUUCUUAUAAACUGGCAAACAGGGUCUUUUUGAGUCAGAUUCCCAAGACUUAACUGUGCACUUUGUUUUUGGAAUAGUAUCCACAAAUUGUAAAUCUCACGUUGCACAAUUCCGCUUCGAUGCGUCUCAAGAGAUCGUAAGAUAUCAUCCAACGAUUCUUUACUCAUGCCAUCUUUAACGAAUUUAAUUUUAUCUUCACGAGUAUCAGAAACCAUUCCUAAAGAUUUACAAUCUGGUCGUUUGCAACCAAGUCUCACACAGUUAUGACAUUUUGAGCCAAGUCGUUUAGCUCUCCUUUUCUUAGCAAACGUACUUUUACCAAAACCAGGCAUGUAAGAAACAAAUUGACCAGAAAACUCACCUGCUAAUCGGACCUUUGCUUCAAUUAACCAACGAAUGUCAGAAGGAAUGCCAUUGAUCAUUAACAAACGCAGUCGUUCACAACGAGCUUUGUAAAUUUUCCUGAGGGCAUUCUGAGGGAGAGAGGGAAAAUGCUUAUGGAGUUUAUGUUGUAUUUCUUCCAUGUAUGAUUUUGGGGUUUCAGUUAUUGUGGGAAACUGAAGAUACCGACUUAAGAAGUCACGGAGUACCGUUAUCCGCCAUUUAUACGGGAAAAUAGAUCAAAACACACCAAAAUCAAAUCUGCAAAAUCAAAUCAAGCGUGAAAGCGAGUAAAAAGAAGCACACAAUAUAAAAGGAAAAUGAACUUACAUUCGUCCUCUCAUUGAGUUAACCUCAAGCUCCAUUUGAAAUUCAUAUAUGCCACUCUCUACUGUUCUGAGUUGUCCCUCUAGAUCCUCAACAUAGGACACGAAUUCUGGUGGUUGCAGAUCCCAAAGUGGAUGUGAUUUACAGCUUUGUAUCAGGCCUCUUAAGUGAAAUUUUAUACGCCGAAAUCUUUUAAGAUGUGCGAACAGGUAUUUUCUCAUUGAGGUGCUCAUGAUGUAAAAUGAAAAUUGAUGAGAGAAUGUACAACUGUCAAACAAACACGCUUACACAAGAAAAACAAUGUUAAAAAAAAAACUAUGUACAGUGCAUCAAUCUAAGGAAAAAAAAAAGUCAAACAAUGAAACGGUAAAAUAAUAGUAAAACAAAAAAAAAUCAUUAAAAACUUAAUCAAGAAUUGGUGGGUCAUCCAAAUUAAUUUCGGUGUCCUCGUCACGUGGGUGAUGUUCCAGAUAUGGUUUUAAUCUUUGACCAUUAACUUUAAAUGUGACACCAUUAUUUGGAUUCUCAAUUUCUAUGGCCCCAUAUGAAUAUACAUUUUUUACAACAAAUGGGCCACUCCAUUUUGACUUUAACUUUCCUGGAAAUAAAUGAAGACGAGAAUUAUAAAGCAACACUUUUUGACCAAUCUCAAAUGUUUUUCGAAAAAUUCUUUUAUCAUGAAAUGCUUUUGUUCUUGCCUUAAUAAUUCUUGAAUUUUCAUAUGCAUCAUUCCUUAAUUCCUCAAGUUCAUUCAAUUGCAAUUUUCGCACAUUACCAACAUCAACCAAAUUUGAAUUAAAAGCUUUAAUAGCCCAAAGUGAUUUAUGUUCAAGUUCAACAGGUAAAUGACAAGGUUUACCAUAAAUUAACCGAUAGGGUGACAUUCCUAAUGAUGUUUUAAAUGCAGUGCGGUAAGCCCAAAGUGCAUCAUUAAGUCUAAGAGACCAAUCUUUUCGGUUUGGGUUAACCGUUUUUUCCAAAAUUUGUUUUAUCUCCCUAUUUGCUAAUUCAACUUGACCAUUUGUUUGAGGAUGAUAAGGGGUAGCAAUUUUAUGUGUAAUUCCAUAUUUCUUCAUUAAAGACUCAAAUGACUUAUUACAAAAAUGCUUACCUCCAUCACUGAUAAUGGCUCGAGGGAUUCCAAAUCGACUUAAAAUGUUUUCUCUUAAAAAUUUAAUCACAGUUUUACUGUCAUUAUUUCGACAAGAAAUUACUUCAAUCCAUUUUGAGACAUAAUCAACUGCAACUAAUAUAUACACAAAUCCAAAAGAUGAUGGAAAUGGACCCAUGAAAUCAAUUCCCCAACAGUCAAAUAUUUCAAUUUCAAGUAUGGGAUUUAAGGGUAUCAUGUUUCUUUUUGUAAUUGAUCCCAAUUUUUGACAUUUUUCACAACUUUUGCAAAAUUCAUAUGUGUCUUUAAACAUGGUAGGCCAAUAAAAUCCACACUGCAAAAUUUUAGCAGUAGUUUUUCUUGAAGAAAAGUGACCACCACAUGCUUCAGAAUGACAAAAAUUAAUGACACUACUUACCUCAUUAUCAGGAAUACAUCGCCGAAAAAUUUGAUCUGGGCAAUAUUUGAACAAAUAAGGAUCAUCCCAAUAAAAUUUCUUUACUUCAACAAAAAAUUUCUUCUUCUCUUGAGCAUUCCAUUGCAAAGGCAUUUUACCUGUAACAAGAAAAUUAACAAUAUUAGCAUACCAUGGCAUUGAAGUAACAGAAAAUAAAAAUUCAUCAGGGAAAGAAUCAUUUAUGGGUGUUAUAUCAUUGCAGAAUUCGGAUGUGAGUCUUGAUAGAUGAUCAGCAACAACAUUUUCAGCACCCUUUUUAUCUUUGAUGGUAAGGUCAAAUUCUUGUAGUAACAAAAUCCAACGAAUUAAUCUCGGUUUGGCAUCCUGUUUACUCAUCAAAUAUCUCACAGCAGCAUGGUCAGUAAACACAAUAGAUUUAGAGCCAAGCAAAUAUGAACGGAAUUUGUUUAAUGCAAAUACCACAGCAAGUAAUUCUUUUUCAGUUGUAGAAUAAUUCAUUUGAGCACUAUCCAAAGUCUUGCUCGCAUAAUAAAUCACAAAAGGCUUACCAUCCCUUCUUUGUCCUAAAAUAGCACCAACAGCAAAAUCACUUGCAUCACACAUUAAUUCAAAUGGCAAAGACCAAUCAGGAGAUUGCAUAAUAGGUGCAGAUGUUAAAAGACAAAUUAUUUUUUCAAAAGAUUUUUGGCAAUCAUCAUUCCAUUCAAACGGUGCAUCUUUUAAUAAGAGGUUACAAAGUGGUUUAGAUAUGGCACUAAAGUUUUUUAUAAACCUCCUAUAAAAUCCUGCAUGUCCUAAAAAGGAUCGCACAUCUCUAACUGUUUUUGGUUGUGGCAAUUUAGAUAUGACUUCGAUUUUUGCUUUGUCAACUUCAAUUCCUUUAAUAGAAACAACAUGACCCAAAACAAUUCCAGAAGUAACCAUGUAGUGACAUUUUUCCCAAUUCAACACGAGUUCUUUUUCAACACAUCUUUUUAAAACUUUCUCCAAAUUAUCAAGGCAAUCAUCAAAAGAAUUCCCAAACACAGUCAAAUCAUCCAUAAAGACCUCUAAACAAUGUUCAACCAUAUCACAAAAAAUGCUUAACAUACAUCUUUGAAAUGUUGCAGGAGCAUUACAAAGCCCGAAUGGCAUUCUUUUAAAUGCAAAUGUUCCAAAAGGACAUGUGAAUGUGGUCUUUUCUUGGUCCUCAAGUGCUAUAGGAAUUUGAUAAUAACCUGAAUAUCCAUCUAAAAAACAGUAGUAGGGAUGUCCUGCUACUCUUUCUAAGAUUUGGUCAAGGAAUGGUAAUGGAAAAUGAUCUUUUCUAGUGGCUUCAUUUAAUUUUCUAUAAUCAAUGCACAUGCGCCAACUAGAUGUAAUUCGUGUUGGAAUUAAUUCUCCUUUUUCAUUUUUAACAACAGUGAUUCCAGAUUUUUUUGGCACUACUUGUGUAGGACUUACCCACUUACUAUCAGAAAUAGGGUAGAUAAUUCCCACAUCAAGUAAUUUAAGGACUUCUGUUUUGACUACCUCUUUCAUGUGUGGGUUUAAUCUUCUUUGAGGUUGUUGACAUAUUUUAGCAUUUUCUUCCAAAUUAAUUCUAUGUGUGCAGAUUAAGGGAUUAAUGCCUUUAAUGUCAUUUAAAGUCCAUCCUAUUGCAUUUUUAUGCUUUUUAAGAACAGUUAGUAACUUACCUUCUUGGUCGCUUGUUAAAGUAGAAGAAAUCACAACAGGAUAAGUUUGUUCUUCUCCAAGAAAAGCAUAUUUCAAUCCUUCAGGCAAAGGUUUCAAUUCCAUUUUAGGUGCUUCUUGUUGUUCUGUCUUUUCAAUACUUCCAAGCUCCUCAAAUUUUGGCUCGUCAUCAUAAUUUUGCGAAGUCUGCAUAGAAUCAAGCAACGAAUUUAUAUUAGAAAUAUCAAGUUUAAGUUGCUUAUUUGACUCAAUUGAAUUAACUAAACAAACAUUAGAAAGUUCAGAAAAAUCCCCUUUUUGAAUAUUUUCCUCGAUACAAGAUUCAAACAAUUCCUUUUGUUCAUCAAUAUCAUCUUCAUUCUCAUUUUCUUCAUUAGGUUGCCUGCACAUGUUGAAAACAUUCAAUUCCAAAGUCAUAUUCCCAAAGGAUAAAUUCAUUAAACCAUUCCUACAAUUAAUCAAAGCAUUAGCAGUUGCUAAAAAUGGUCGACCUAAAAUUACAGGAAUUGGUUUGUAAUUAUUCACAACAGGUUCAGUUUCCAAGACAAUAAAAUCCACAGGAUAAAUAAAUUUAUCAACUUGUACUAAAACAUCUUCCACUAUUCCUUUUGGUACUUUAACGGAUCUAUCGGCAAGCAAAAGUGUAGUUGAAGUUGAUUUUAACUCACCAAGAUUAAGUUGAAGAUAAACUGAAUAUGGAAGCAAAUUAACACUAGCACCAAGAUCUAGUAAAGCAUGCUCAAUUCUGUGGUUACCAAUAAUACAAGAAAUGGUAGGACAACCAGGAUCUUUAUAUUUCAACUUAUUAUUAGUAGACAGAAUUGUACUUACCUGUUCGGCCAUGAAAGCACUCUUUCUUACCUUCAAUUUCCUCUUAACAGUGCACAAGUCCUUUAAAAAUUUGGCAUAUGAAGGAACCUGCUUGAUUGCAUCUAAUAGAGGAAUGUUAACUUUCACUUGCUUAAAGAUUUCAUAAAUUUCAGAAGAGUGGUUUGAUUUCUUUGGUUUAUUCAAUGCAUGCGGAAAUGGUGGUUCAAGUGGAACACUAGUUAUUUCUUCACUAGGUGUAAGUUCAUUUAGUCAUUCCUUACCCUUUGAAUUUUCAUAAGGUUCAGGCAUAGGUCUAUCAACAACCUUACCACUACGAAGAGUUAUAACUGACUUGACUUGGUCUGUGGGUGAAUUUUGUUGAAUUUUAGGAUUUGGUUGUGGUUGGGCUGGAAAUUUUCCUUUUUCUUGAAUGGUGAGUGCAGAAGCAAUUUUAGCAAGAGUAUCUUUCAAAUAAAAAAAAGUUUGUGCAUUUUGAUUGUUAAUAACAUCUUGCUUUCUGAUGAAUGAAUGCAUUGUGUCCUCCAGAUUUUUCCAAGGUGGUGGAACAUAUGGUGCAUAAGGAUGAGGAUUUUGAAAAUUUUGUGGAGGUGGUGCUUGUGAAGAUUGUGCAUUAUUAUUAUUCCUCCAACUGAAAUUCGGAUGAUUUUUCCAACCAGGAUUAUAAGUCUGUGAAUAUGGGUUUGGUUUAUUGAAAGUGUUAAUGACAUUAGCUUGAUCAUUUAGACAUUCUUUAAGUGCAGGCAAAGUGGGACACUCUUGAGUGAAAUGAUCAUUCGAAUUACAUAUGUUACAUGCAAUUUCUUGAACAGAUUUUACUUGAUCACUCUUUUUAUGCUCCAAAGCUUCAACUUUCCUAACUAGGGAUGCAAAUUUUGCUUGUAAAUCAUGAUCUUCCCUAAGGUUAUGGAUUCCUCCACUAGAUGGAGAUGAUUGUUGCUUAUUUGUCAAUUCAAAAGUUCCAACAGUAUCCCAAUGUUGUGCAUUUUCAGCUAAUUGGUCAAGGUAAUCUAGUGCAUCUUCAGGAUUUUUAUCCCUAAAUUCACCAUUACACAUCAUUUCAACAACCUGUCUACUUUGGGGUAUUAAGCCUUCGUAGAAAUAAGUGACCAAUCGCCAAGUUUCAAAACCAUGAUGUGGGCAUAUGUUAAGCAACUCUUUAAACCUAUCCCAACAUUGGUAUAAUGUUUCUCCAUUUUUUUGAGUGAAAGAAGUGAUUUGCCUUUUAAAAGAAUUUGUUCUAUGAGGUGGAAAGAAUUUUUUCAAAAACUGUUCUUGCAUGUUAUUCCAAGUUCUUACUGAUCCAGAUCUAAGGUUUUGUAGCCAAGUUUUAGCUUUAUCUUUUAAUGAAAAAGGAAAAAGCUUUAAUCUAAUUAUGUUCAUGCUACAAUUUUGGUCCGUGUAUGUAUUACAAACUUCCUCAAAAUCUCUUAGAUGCAAGUACGGAUUCUCAGAUUCUAAACCAUGAAAUGUUGGUAAAAGUUGGAUAAUACCUGGUUUAAAAUUGAAUCGAGAUGCUUCUGGAUGCUCCGGUUCUGGUUGGAUUCAUGUAGUCUCUCAGAGUCCUUGGUUGAUUCUGAUCGUGCCCAUGUUGAGAUUGGUUGUCUCCCUGAUCAAUUUGAGGAUUAAGUUCGCCCAAAACAUUUUCGCCUUCAUUCUCAUCCAUGAUUGGUGGUGGAGAUUGAGAUCUACGAAUUAACCUGCCACUUGAAGAUCGAGACCAACGUCUCAUGCAAGGGUUAUGUUAUAAAGAUAAUAUUUACACAAAUUGAUAAUAAAAUAAAAUAAAAAAUUAAAUAUGCAAAUAAUAUAAGUGUACAAAAGAAAAUUAAAUAACAAUUUUGGUGGUUGAACCCACCAGUUAACAAUAUAAAAUAAAUGCAAAAGAAAGAAAAAGAAAAAAUGGUAGUUAAACCCACCAAUAAAGCAAAAAAAUAAAAUAAAAUAAAAUAAACGCAAAAUAAUAAAAUAAAUAAAUAAAAUGGUGGUUGAACCCACCAAUAAAAAAAAUAAAGCAAAAAAAAAUACAAAAUUAAAUAAAUACUGAAAAUAAAAAUUAGGAGUUAGUAGUUAGUUUGGUGGUUGAACCCACCAAUAAAGCAAAAAUAAAUAAAUACGAAAUUAAAUAAAUGCAGAAAAUUAAAUAACUGAAAUUAAAAAAGUUAGCAGUUAGCAGUUAGUAAGUUAAGAGUCAGUAAUUAGAGUUAGUAGUUAAAGUUAGUUUAGUCCAAAAUAUGUUAGUUUAGUCCAAAAUAUGUCCAAAUAUGUUCAAAAUAUGUCCAAAUAUGUCCAAAAUAUGUCCAAAGUAUGUCCAAGUCUUAAUUAUUUUGAGGAAUUUCGUCUAGGGAUUCUAUUGCAAAUUAUUUUUAAUUUUAUGGUCAAACUGUAAUUUUUAGAAGUUUAGAAUUAGUAAUUUGGGAUGAAAGUGAAACAGUUGAAAGAUAUCGGGGUCCGAACGUAAUUACCAGAAGAUUGGGCUGGAAACGGAAAUUGUUGGGGUGAAACUAGAAUUAUGAAAGAUAUGGGGACAAAAGAGAAUUUAAGAAAAGAAAAAGGGGGUAAACGAAAUUUUACAUAUAAGAGAAAAAUAAAAAACGGAAAAACAAACCAAAUAAAAAAAACUUUUCCCCGGCAACGGCGCCAAAAACUUGACACAUCUUAAAAGUAAUUUUUAACUCUCAAGUAUAAGAGUGUCUUGUUGUAUUAUAACUCGGUGAGUCCGAGGUCGAUCCACAGAGAAAAGAUUUAAUUAGUUUAUUUUAUUUUAUCUAAAAAUUGAAAUUAAAACUUGAAUAUAAACAACUUAAUUUAAAUGAAACUAUGGAAUUGAACUAGUUAAGGUUAUGGAUCCACUCUUAGAAAUAAAUAAAACUUAAUAAAUUCUUUUUGCCAAUUUGUUUUAGAUUUAUUACCCAAAAGAUUAAUUAUACAAAUUAUUAUUAUUUUCCCUUUAAUUUUAUGAUGGAUUAAGUAUUUAUUGUGCCAAAAUUUAAUUUGUCUACAAUAAGGCAAAAUACCAUUUCACCAUGCCUUAUAUUAAGAUCUUAAGAAUUUAUUGUGCCAAAUUCAUUUGUUUGUCUACAAUAAAUCAAAAUUUCAAAAUAUAAAACAUGUAUAAAAUUAAAUAGAAAAUAAUUUAAUUUAUAAAAUUAAACAUAGAAUUUGAUUAAAUCAUAUUUAUUUCUUAAGAGUUUCACCUUCCCCUAACUAAUAUUAUUUAGUUAAGCAUAAUUAAAAUAAAAAGUAGUAAAAUUGAAUUACUUGUAAUUAAAAGAAAUAAAAACAACUAAAAUUGGAAAUAAAACUAAUUUUAUUAAUGAAAAUAAUUAUACAAAAUAUUAAAAACACACCUGGAAAUCAAGAUUACAAGGAGAUGGAGAGAAUUUGAGAAUAAGAGAGUUGUAGAGAGAUGAUUAAAACAUAAAAAUGAGGCCUUAUUUAUAGAAAAAUAAAUUCAUAAUCCAGUGCUUUGUGGUCCAUCAUAGGCUUCAUGCAUGUGCUCCUCACAACCCUUAGAUCAAGAUCCAAUGGCUGGUCAAACUUCAAAAGUCAACAUCACACAUGGCAUCAUUUGACUCGUCCGAUUUGCCCAAAGAACGGUUGAGAUUUGGCGGGUUAAUGGGUGGAUCGGGUCGACCCGAAUACAAAGAUUCGGAUCCUCCAACUUGCUUCACCAACCAUUGCCACGUGGCACAAUCAUGGCCAUUGAAUGAUGAACGGUUGAGAUUUAGUCAAGAUUGCCAGUUAUCCCAUGCACUCAUAUCUAUUGUAAGCUCAUUUCAUCAUCCAAUCAGUGCUCGGUCAACAGGAAAAGUCAAUUUUUUUUACACAAGCCCAAUUUUAAGCCGAUCUUGACUGAUCUUAAGGUUUUCGAACCUCCGGAAUCCAAAUUUGACCUCCGUUUAUUUGUUUGGAGCCUCGAAGUACGUGAAAUUAAUAAUUUUCCUAAUAAACACAUAAAAAUACACAAAAUUAAAUAUAUUUAAAACAUAAUUAAUAAUUCAUAAUAUAUUACAUAAACACAAAUAUAAAUUAUAACAUAAGCAUAAAAUAACAUAUUAUCGCUUGAUAACUAAACAAUUUUUAAUACUAAUCAGGUGGAACUUGAAUCUGGUAAAAAGAUCAAGUGUUUGAGGACAGAUAAUGGUGGAGAGUAUACAAACGGCGAGUUUCUUGCUUUCUGUAAGCAAGAAGGUAUUCAGAGGCAGUUCACAGUGGCAUACACUCCUCAACAAAAUGGAGUGGCAGAGCGGAUGAAUAGAACUCUUACAGAACGGAUAAGAGCUAUGUUAAUGACUGCUGGUCUACCCAAUUCAUUUUGCGCAGAAGCAGCCAAAACUGGCUGUUAUAUAGUAAAUCGAUCGCCAUCUAUAGCUAUUGGGCUGAAGACAGUGAUGGAGAUGUGGACUGGAAAGCCAGCUAAUUAUUCCUACCUACAUGCAUUUGGAUGUCCUGUGUAUGUGAUGUACAAUGCCCAAGAAAGAACAAAGCUGGAUCCAAAAUCUAGAAGAUGUAUCUUCUUGGGGUAUGCUGAUGGAGUAAAAGGGUAUCGUCUGUGGGACCCCACUGCCCACAAGAUCGUCAUCAGAAGAGAUGUUAUCUUUAUAGAAGAUCAACUGCAAAUGAGAGAUGAGGAUGAUGGCACUGCAAAAGAAAAGUCAAAGAUUGUGCCGGUAUAUGUCGAAAAUAAUCUAAAAAAUUUAUAUUCUUCUGAAGCAGUACCAGAGCACGAGGAACAAGAACCAGUCGAGUCCGAGGCUCCAGAAGUUCGUUGGUCAAUGUGGCACUCGGAGUAUGUCACAGAAAUCAAUGUUGUAUACUGUCUUCUAACAGAGGAUGGAGAGCCUUCAACUUUCCAUGAAGCUUUAAACAGCUCAGAUGUUGCUUUGUGGAUGACAGCAAUGUAGGAAGAAAUUGAAGCUCUACACAAGAACAAGACAUGGGAACUUGUACCACUACCACGUUGUAGAAAAGCCAUUGGAAACAAAUGGGUCUACAAGAUCAAACGUGAUGGCAAUGACCAAAUGGAGCGGUAUCGUGCAAAAUUGGUGGUGAAAGGAUAUGCUCAGAAAGAAGGUAUUGAUUUCAACGAGAUAUUUUCGCCGGUGGUUUGACUCACAACAGUCAGAGUAGUCUUGGCGAUGUGUGCUACAUUUGACUUACAUCUUGAGCAGUUAGAUGUGAAAACUGCAUUUCUUCAUGGAAAACUUGAAGAAGAAAUAUAUAUGCUCCAACCAAAAGGUUUUGCAGAAACAGGAAAAGAGAACUUGGUCUGCAGGUUGAAUAAAUCUCUAUACGGUCUCAAACAGGCGUCGAGGUGUUGGUAUAAGAGAUUUGAUUCCUUCAUUAUGAGCCUUGGAUACAACAGACUCAAUUCAGACCAUUGUGCAUAUUACAAGAGGUUUGAAGAUAGUGAUUUCAUCAUUUUGCUGUUGUAUGUGGAUGAUAUGUUGGUAGCAGGUCCCAACAAAGAUCGAGUCCAAGAAUUGAAGGCACAGUUGGCUAGGGAGUUUGAAAUGAAGGACUUGGGACCAGCAAACAAGAUUCUAGGGAUGUAAAUUCACCGAGACAGAAAUAACAGGAAGAUUUGGCUUUCUUAGAAGAAUUACUUGAAGAAAAUCUUACGACGCUUCAACAUGCAAGAUUGUAAGUCAAUUUCUACCCUACUUCCUAUUAAUUUCAAAUUAUCCUCAAGUAUGUGUCCAAGCAAUGAAGCAGAGAGGAAGGAAAUGUCUCGAGUACCGUAUGCAUCAGCAGUGGGAAGUUUGAUGUUCGCUAUGAUAUGUACUAGACCGGACAUUGCACAAGUAGUGGGAGCAGUCAGUCGAUACAUGGCGAAUCCUGGUGGAGAGCAUUGGAUAGCUGUGAAGAGGAUUCUAAGAUACAUUAGAGGAACCUCAGAUGUUGCAUUAUGUUAUGGAGGAUCAGAGUUUACUGUCAGGGGCUAUAUGGAUUCAGAUUUUGCAAGAGACCUUGAUAAAAGGAAAUCCACUACUGGUUAUGUGUUUACACUUGCGGGAGCAGCUGUAAGUUGGGUUUCGAAACUGCAGACCGUUGUGGCUUUAUCUACAACAGAAGCAGAAUACAUGGCAGCUACACAAGCUUGCAAGGAAGCUAUUUGGAUACAAAGAUUAUUGGAGGAGCUAGGGCACAAACAACAGAAAAUUCCUGUGUUUUGUGACAGUCAGAGUGCCUUGUACAUUGCAAGGAAUCCAGCCUUUCAUUCCAGGACAAAGCACAUAGGAGUUCAGUAUCACUUCGUUCGUGAAGUAGUGGAAGAUAGAAGUGUGGAUUUGCAGAAAAUCCAUACCAAAGAGAACCUAGCAGAUGUUUUGACCAAGCCGAUAAAUACUGAUAAGUUUGUCUGGAGUAGAACCUCUUGUGGCUUAGCAGAAACGUAGGCAACAUGAUUAUGGCGAAGCAGAAAGGAUGGUGUGGAGAUUGAUUGAUUCUCAAUCUAAUCUCCAAGUGGGAGAAAUGUCAAAUAAAGUGGCCAUCUAGAUGAUCUAAAGCUGCCAUCUAGAUGGUCAGCAACAAUUUUGUUCAAAGAAGACGAAGAAUUUUGCAGCAAGUUUGAAAGAAAAAGAAGCACACGGCUUUGACAUUUGAAAGAAGAAAAAGAAGGUAAAAAAUAAUAUAGAAUUGAUUAAUAGUGCCAAAGCUUUCUCUAUAAAUAGAAACGAAGAGAAUAAGCAAAUGCAUUCCAUUCAGAAAGCAAUUUAGGGAGUUGAGAGAGAGUUCAAGAGCUUGCAUUUAUAAGCUCUUGUUACAGUGAUUGAGAGAGUUUGGGUGUAUUGGGGUUUUUGGGAAGUGAGCUAAAAUACUACAAUACUUAUAACUCCUUUUCACUAGUAAAAUAUUUCCUUCUGUCUUCGCCCGUGGAUGUAGGCUAAAAGCCGAACCACGUAAUUUCUGGUGUCCUCUAUUGUGCUUGUUCUUUAUUUUCCUUCUAAUUUCAUUUUAGCUGCGGUCUUGCUUCAUCCACCAAAUUUCCUAACAGAUGCUCCAACAACGAUAAUAGGAGACAUUUCGGCUGAUAAAUUUUCCUUAAUGUGUAAGAGAAUCUUUGCAUAAUCUGCCAAAGCUUGACCAGAGUUGAAAUAUCCACGAAGAGUUGCAUUCUUUAGGGCAUCUUUGCGUGAUAUAAAAGGUACUGAUUUUCUAUAGAACCGAUGCUGCAUAAAAAAUCGAAUUAAAGAAAAAAAAUCCAUCACAACUUUUCAGUUCAUAUUGUAGAAUAUUCUGAUUAAGAUUUGUCUUUAUUAUUAUUAUUUUGUAUGGGAACUCUAUUUCAAUUAUUAUCAAGCUAGCCUGAUAACAGAUUCUUUACUUACCUCUAUGUAAACUUGUAAGGCUUUAAAUCAACGAGCAUUAUCAGUAAGCCAUCCAGUGCCACCAAGGUCAUCAUCAAGACUACUCUCUUUACCAAGAUAUGCCAAUAUCGGCGCCGCCGUGGCUCCACCACCACCCCAAUGUUUGAAGUUCAACACAUAUCUAUGAGAAAAAGUUAAAUAACUUUGUGGAUUAUAGUUAAAGUGAUCAAGUAUUUGAUCAUCAUAAUAAGUUUCGAGAUCACCCUUUGGUUCUGAAGUUAAUAUUUUUUUACUAGGGUUUAGAAAAAUAGUCUUUCCACGCACAACACCAAGCUUUGGGAUGUUUUUUAAUGGUGAAGUGGAAGCAAAAGCAAAAUUUGUGAGGAGAAGAAGAAAAAAGGCAUGGAAGCCACCGACCUUCCAUGGCAAAGUUGUAAAUCCUUAAUUAGCAGGAUGAUUAUGUAAAUACAGAAGAAAUAGAAUUAAGAUUCGGUUAUAAAUUCAGCUUCAGAAUCGACGUGUUUUUUAAUCUAUUCUGGAUUUUUUAUUAUCCUAUCAUAUAAUCAUUGGUGGUUUUAGUUUUAUAUUAGUAAUGAUCUUUAGUUUUCAUAAAAUUAUGGUUUUUCUAAUAUAUAUUGUUAUCAGUUUCGUAACUAAAUACGUUGCGGUGAAAAUUAUUAAGUCUUUCCUUAGUAAUUAACUAACUUGACAUACGUAGUUCUAAUGGUUGGACACAUAUUUCUAAUUUAAUUAACUUGUAAUUAAUUAUUUGCUAGUAAUUAACUUGAUUUAGUAUGUGGUAAAUACAUAAUUUUGAUAAAAUCAGUAAAAAAAUAGUAAAUUUUCUAUCAUGUAAGUGUAAAAUUAAAGAUAUAAUUUUUUUUAAUUACAAUAGCUAAUAUUUACUUGAUACUUUAAUACUGUAACUUUUAAACUAAGCUACCCAAACAUGGUUGUAAUUUUCUAUAAUCAUGCUACCAAAGAUGUCAGGAUUCCAAUCAUUGUUUACGAGGCUACUAUAUAUGUUAAUCAUGCUAAUGCUAUAAGCCUUGGAUUGGAAGUAAUGUAAAUCCAACCGUUGGGUAACGUAGCUAGCCUAAUUACACUUUAUUAAGAGAACAAUACAAUUAACAAUAGUCUCACAUGAAAGGGUGGCAAUUCAUUAUCCGAAUUUGUGAAUUAGACACUAACACAUCAUAUCGAGAAGAUUUUUUAUGACUAUUAUGACAACUUGUUCACGUCCAACAAACCAUCCCAAAGCCAAAUGGAGAAUGCACUGAAGAUCUGCCUCGCAAAGUCACUGAAGAGAUGAAUGCCCAGCUAAAUCAGCCCUAUACAGAAGCAGACAUCACAGAAGCUUUGAGCCAAAUGCACCCUACAAAAGCCCCUGGUCCAGAUGGCCUUCCAGCUGCUUUCUUCCAAAAGCAUUGGAAAUCAGUAAGUCAAGGUGUUACUACCACAUGCUUGCAGGUCCUAAAUAACAAAGGUAACCCUACUCCACUAAAUCAUACUUACAUAGCUCUGAUUCCAAAGGCUGAAAAACCUAAGAAAAUGGCGGAUUUUAGACCGAUCAGCCUAUGUAAUGUAAUUUAUCGGAUAAUUACAAAAACCAUUGCCAAUAGGUUGAAGCUGGUUUUGAACGAUGUAAUCUCACCAGCUCAAAGUGCCUUUGUUCCAAAUAGGCUCAUAACCGAUAACAUAAUUAUUGGUUACGAAUACUUACAUAAAAUAAGGCUUAGUAUGGGGAAAAAACAUGGGCUAGUGGCUUUGAAAUUAGACAUAAGCAAAGCAUAUGACAGGGUGGAAUGGGACUUUUUGAAAUGUACCUUAGAAAAAUUGGGAUUCUCGCUUGGCUUUGUUGAAUUGAUAAUGCAAUGCAUAACUACCUCUUCAUUUUCUGUGCUGAUAAAUGGGGUGGCUAAAGGGCUGAUCCAACCUCAAAGAGGAUUAAAGCAAGGAUGCCCAUUGUCCCCAUAUCUUUUUAUUCUCUGUGCAGAGACUUUUACAAAUCUUUUACAGCAAGCAGAAUCUCAGCAACUGAUUCAUGGGAUAAAAUUCAGCAAUGAACUUUCCAUCACUCAUCUUUUGUUCGCUGAUGAUAGUUUGAUUUUUACAAGAGCCACAAGGGAGGAUUGUACAAAUUUAAAGAAGAUUUUUUAGUGUUAUGUUGCAGCCUCUGGGCAGAUUUUCAAUUUCGAGAAGUCGUCUAUGUUUUUCAGUGAGAGUACCAAGCCGUAGCAGAUUUCCUCAAUUACAACCAUCUUCCAAAUUCAGGUGGUAUCCAGGCAUGCAAAAUACUUAGGGCUGCCCUCCAUGGUGGGUAGAAAUAAGACGAGUUUUUUUAAGGAUAUCAAACUCAGAGUUCUUGGAAAGAUUUCGAGCUGGCAAGCAAAUUUGUUCUCUUGUGGGGAGAAGGAGGUGUUGAUAAAUGAUGUAGCUCAAGUGGUGCCUGCAUAUGCCAUGAGUGUGUUUAAGCUCCCCCUAGGACUUUGUGAUGACAUGCAAAAGGCAAUUGCUAGUUUUUGGUGGGGAAGCAGCCGAGAUCACAAGUCAAUCCAUUGGUCGAAAUGGAAUAAUUUGUAUCAAGCAAAGAGUAGAGGUGGGCUGGGAUUUCGAAACUUGUCCAGCUUNNNNNNNNNNNNNNNNNNNNNNNNNNNNNNNNNNNNNNNNNNNNNNNNNNNNNNNNNNNNNNNNNNNNNNNNNNNNNNNNNNNNUUUUAAAAAUUCAAGUCUGAUGCAGGCUCAGUUAGGCUCAUAUCCUUCCUUUAUAUGGAGGAGUAUUUUAUGGGGUCGAAAUGUAUUAGAAAAAGGGUUGCGCUGGAGAAUUGGAAAUGGUGAGCAGCUGCUAGUGUAUCAAAGUCAAUGGAUUCCUCGAUCUAUAACUUUUCAGCCAAUAUCCCCCCCAUCAUUGAGCCCAGAUACAAUUGUUGCAAAGCUGAUAAGUGAGGAGCAAAGCCGGAAAGAAGCUGUAAUUAGGCAACAUUUUCUAAAAGAAGAUGCUGAUCAAAUUUUGAAAAUCCCUUUGCCAAGACAACCAAAACCUGACCAAGUGUUGUGGCACUAUGAUAAGAAGGGUAAUUAUUCAGUUAAAAGCGGUUACCAAGUGGCUAUGAAAAUGAAUUUUCCUGAGAAGCCAAGCUGCUCGAGUGAGAAUGAUAAGUAUUGGCAUGCUAUUUGGUAUUUGCAACUUCCGGAAAAAGUUAAAAUCUUCAUGUGGAGGGCGGCAAAUAACUUGUUGGCAACGGCAGGAAAUCUUUGGAAGAGGACAGUGGUGCAAUUCCCUUGGUGCCAGAGAUGUAAGUUAUCAAAGGAGACUAUUUUUUCACACUCUCUAUGAAUGCAAAGCUUCAAGGAAAAUUUGGAGGCUAACCCCUUUUGGGGAGGAUAUUGAGUUUAGCAAUGGAAGAGAUGUUCUAAGCUUGCUGUAGGAUUUGAAUGGAAAAAGGAGAAAAUCUGAGAUGGAACUGAUUGUUGCUGUGUGCUGGAGCAUCUGGCACUCAAGGAAGCUUUUCCUCUUCAAAAACAAAAAAGAAGAUCCCCAGCUAUCAGUUGCAGCAGCAGAAGCAAUGGUGCAAUCUUAUAGCAGAAUCCAAAUGCCCCAAAUGCAAAGUAACUCCCAGCUGAGUACUGCUAAUCAGAAACAAUGGAAACACCCUCCAGAGGGCUGGUUCAAAGUUAAUGUUGAUGCAGCAGUAGGAGUGGAACAACAAAGAGCUGGCCUGGGAAUUGUUAUAAGGAAUUCAGGAGGAAAGUUUAUAGCUGCAGCAAUGAAGCCCUCAAAGUUUAUUGGCAAGAUUGAUUUUGCAGAAGCUGAAGCUAUCAGGCUCGGGCUGGAGAUAGCAGAAAAUGUUGGAUGCUUUCCACUAAUUGUGGAAUCUGACGCCCAGGAAGUGGUGGACUUAGUCAAUUUCAAGAAAAGCUCAAGAGCUGAAAUAUUCUGGGUUGCUUCUGAAAUGCAAGACCAAGUAAAGAGGCUGAACCAGGUGAAAGUAGAAUAUACCCCAAGAGGGUGCAAUACAUUAGCUCAUUCUCUUGCAAGACUAGCAUUAGAGCUAAAUGAUUUUGUUUUUUGGGUAGAAAAUAUACCCUCAAAUUUUUUGUACCUAUUCACACAGUUGGAUAAAUGAAAGUAAUACUUUCUCUCAAAAAAAAAAAAAAUUAUCAUGUCAAAUCUCUGUAUCCUCUUCACUAAUCAAUUCGUUUUUGCACUUUGACUUCCCCACAGGGAAUUCUUAAUUAAUUAAUUUAUUUUUUUAAAUAAGUGCAAAAUUUAUCCCGCCGAGUAUAAUCAAGGGGUGCACGUCAAGACAAAACAAGCAACAGCUGCGACAUGGUUUCAGAGUCAUAUCAUCUAUAAGCCAAACGUGUGUCUGCUCAAUUAGACACCAUAACCUCUAAAGACAAAACAAAUGCAUGCAACUUACCAUAAAAAGAUGAAUGACGAAGUCAUUAUGCAAACUAGAAGAAAUGUAAACUGAUAGGCAAUAAUUGAAAUAAGAUGCGAAAUUAUUUAUAACACAAUUAACAAUUCAACAAUCAGAUGUGUUGAUUUAUUUUCAAUCUGACUUAGACACUAUGUUAUAUUUUAUUAUGUUUUAAUAUAUAUAUAUAUAUAUAUAAAUAAUCAAAAAAUUAUAUAAAAUUCACCAUGAAAAUAAGGAAAACGAAAAAAAAAAUCGAACGGGCCCGCUGAUGGAUCACCAAUGAACGAAAAAGAGCAACUGAAACAAACGAAAUGCAAUGGCAUUUUGGGGAAUCUAUCAAAAGCUGAUACCCUUUUUGCCGAUUCCCAGCCAACCUCUAUAAAUUGCCCGCAAUUGGAAAAAUUCGACCAAAAAAAAAAACAAAUUCACUUCAAAAAGUUCACACACACUCACACACACGCGCGCGCGCGCGCGCGGAAGCCUACUUCUUCUUCUUCUUCUUCUUCUUUCAAUUCUCUGGUAAAACGCAAUAUUUUUUUGUCGUUUUUUCUUCCUGUUAAUACUUAAUGCUUGGGCGUUUUGUGUAUAAUGGAAAUGGAGUCUCGUGUCUGAUUUAUUAUCGCAGGGAACGAUGAAUUAUGCUGAUCUAAAUCGACGUAUCACCGUUAAGGUAACUAUAUAAUUUUUUAAUUUCAAAUUCAUUUCUUUCUUUUCUUUUGUUUUUUAAAAGAGUAAUAUUAGCUUCAACUGUGAUGCUGUUCAGUAGCAGUGCUGACCUUUUUAUUCAUAAAUGUCUUCAGAUAUUUCAUAAUAUGGAAUAUUCUUCUUUAUUCUGUUCUAUUUAUUUACUGGUUUUAAUGUACAUAUUGUCGAGGAGCUAAAUACGCGAGUAUAAAAAUUAACUUCAACUGAUAAUUGGUAGUCUGAUUAUGCCAUUAGUUUUAUCGAGUCCACGUUGAUUCAGUUUGUUGUUUGAUUUUUAUGUGGAACUGUUACUUGAUUAUACAUGAACAUUCACUUGUGCAAAUUUAAUAAUGCCACAUUAUUUAAUAUUUAAUUUUGAAGGCCACUUUUUUAGUUGAGGGCAGGGAACCACUACGAUUCCAUAACACGCUCAUCUAAUCACCUUGACAAUAAGACUUCUCCUAGUCGGCAAUUAUUUAGAAAUAACGUCUUGACAUAUGCUGCGGAAAUUAAAGAAUGAAGUAGACUUACGAAGUCAAGGUGUUUUUCUAGUCUACAUAUUUUAAUUUGUGUAGAAAAUUAGAAAUAUUCAAUGUAUAAUCUGAUUCUACACAAAGACUAAUGCCCCAAGAUUGUGAUUGAAAUGCUAUAAGCAGCUUAUUUUAUAAGUUUAGAUAAAAAUGAAGUUUGAUGGCUUCGUUAAAAGUUGUUUUUUUUAAUAAUUUUCUCUAUUUUGACUGUAACUUUUAAAAACAAAAUAGAGAUUAUUUUUAUAAGUAACUUAUUAAAUAAGUUGCUAUAUCUUUUUAAAUGUUCAUAUUAUAACCUUAAUAUUUUAAGAAAAGAAUAAUUAUAUCUUACUUUUCUAUAAGAUCUAAUAUAUAAAUAAAAGACAAUUUAAACGCAUGUUUAUUUUAGUCAUUAAAUAAUACAACACAUUCAUAAUCAAAUUUACUAAACGUGAGCAAGAUACUUUUUUAAUCAUCAACUUAUUUCGUCCUCACGAUAGAAAUAACUUAUUUUAUCAACCACCGCCAUCCUAAACUUGGUGCUAAGUCUCGUUUGGGAUUGCAUUAGAUUGUCAAAUAAUUAAGAGAAAUAGCUAUUAAGGAGAAGAAUAGGAAGAGGUUCGCCAGAAGCAAUAUACUCGCAAGCUUGGCUACUAAUAAACGAAGCAUACAAGCUUAAACACCUAAAAUAUAUAUAUAGAGAGUAGUUUUUUGGUACGGGAUCUUAAAGUGCGGGAAACAUUAGGAAAAUUUUUAAAACCUCGGGAUUUUAAAGGCUUAAUAAUUAAAACACUUAAACUGAACGGUUUAUGCGUUUUCCCGGACGUUCUCGUACUUUAAAAUUCUGAAUUAGAAUAUUUUUAUAUGUGUGUGUUGUUGUCCAAAUUUUAAUGUACUCGCAAGCGCACGAAUCUAUUGUUGUAUAGAUCAAUGGUGACGAGUGUCGAUCCCACGAGGAGGUGGAUUUUAAUUGUGUAGAAUUAAUUUUGUAAAUGGGUGAUUGGAUUUGUGGUGGAAAUGAUUUGGAAUAUCCUAAAACUUAAAUUAAAAUGGCGAGAAUAAAUUCUAAAAUUGGAAUUGAAAUUACGAGAAUAAAUUGAAGAGAAUUCUAUUAAAAUGACGUACUUGGGUAUCUGGAUCCGUAUCAACAUGCAUCAUGGGCUAAAUAAUCCUUAUUAAUGCCAAUUAAAUCAUGAGGGGGGAAUCCACACCUCAUGAACCACACUCUAAUCAAUAUGGUGCUAAGGGCUUAUCGUGCCAAAUAAUAAUAACCUUGUACUAGAGGGCCGGUGAAACCAAGGCGGUACUAGACAAGAUUAGUAUUAUUUGUCGACGAGAAGUCAAAACAUCCACAAAAACUAGAGGGGAAGAGAAAAUAAAUUUACCAAAUAAAACCCAUGACACAUGUUGAGACUUCACUUUCAACCCAAGCUUGAAAGAAAAUUAGCUACUCAUAAUUGAACUAGGGGCAAAAUGAGAAUUUAUUAAAAUACGAAGAAACUACAAGAUGGAGAAGGAAUUACAAAAAAUAGAGUCCAAAAAUGGAUUCAGAGAUAUCAAAUUAUGGGGGAGAGGCCCCCUUUUUAUAGAUACAUCAAGUAAAUCAUGGCCAUCGGAUUAAAAACAGUUUGGACGCUCAGGAUUGCGCCACGUCAUCAGUCAACAGUACGCGGUUUGACCACGCGGAUGAACAGUAACACGGUUUGACCUAGAUGAAUAGUAACGCGGUUUGACUCGGAUGAACAGUAACGCGUUUGAUUGAAAAUAAUCCUGUGUGAUGCAUGUACCGUACGCGAGAUUUUUCGUCCACUGAUAGGCUGCCACGUCACCAUCAACAGUACAUAAGAAUUUUAGCCCAACAGGAUCGUGACACCUCAUCAGUCAAUGCCACAUCAUCGGUCAAUGCCACGUCAUCAUCCGUCUAUGUGAACAAUGUAGUGAACAGUAACGUAGACAGUACCGUACACGUGAAUAGUACCGUACAUGUGAAUAGUGUCAUUUUUCCUUUUAUGCUCCUCCUAAGGUUUUCGACCGUCCUGAGUUCAAAAGUGAUGUCCGUUUUGCCGUCUGAUCUCUCCUUUAUUGUAAAAUGACUAUAAUGCCCCUAAAAUACAUAAAAUACUUAAUUAAAAUAAAACACAUGUAAUUAAAUCACAAGAAGGUUAAAUACAUAAAAGUAAGGGUUGUUAGUAAGACUUGAAAUGUAAAAUGACGGUCUUCUCUUUUAUAAAUUUACAUUUUCUAACACUCAACACACCCCCCAACCAGCUUAUUGCUAGUCCCUAGCAAAUAAAGCGAAAACAAAAUUCAAAUUCAAAAUAAAUUUUUUUUUAAUAAAAACACUCGUAUUUAUUCCAUUAGAUUAAUAAUAGCAAUCAAAUAAAAGUAUAAGCAUUAUCUCCAGUCUAAAGCAACAUCACACCCACAUCAACCAUCCACAUGAAUCAGCUCAGUAGACUUUGUUAUAGCUACUUUCAAGAAUGACAUGUCAAACCCCAAAAUCUCACUGGAAGUAGUGACACUCUCACAAAGAAAUUAAAACCAAUAAAAAUAGUCACUCCAAUGAAUGGUAAUUGAGAGAGAAAAUAAUAAAGAAGUGAUAUCACAUGCUCUCACCAAGAUGAAAUAAAUAUGCCCUCAGCUUAGAAAUAAUACAGUCUCAAGUCAAAUAAAAAUGCUAGUCAACCCAAUUUAUUUAUCUUUUUUUUAUAUUUAUUUAUUUAUUUUUAUUAUGCACCACUACAUCUCUUUAGCCCACAUAACUAGCUUCUACUUCAAAUUAUAGUUCCCUAAAAUCAGGAAGGACUUUUAUUAGGAUGUAACGUAGGCUAGGGACAUGGUUAACAAAGAAGGGAAAUAAGGAAAACAAAGUAUAUGUUUGAGAAAAAUGCAGAGGACUUUUUUUUUUUUUUUGGGAGUUGCAAGGUGGAUUUCACCUAUUAUUGUUAUUUUUAUUCUUUUGAAACAACAAUUUUUUUCUUUUGUUUUAGCAACAACAAUUUUUUAUUUGAACUAGGCAUAACUUCAUUGUACAAAAUGUUUAUUUACAUUUUUCUCAAACAUAAAUAGGUGAUGGAACUUAUAAGACAUCGGGUAAUACUCCAAAUCGGAGUGGGUCAAGAUGAUAAGUUGACAAAGAAAAGGUUUUUUUUUUUUUUAAAGGCUCAAAAGGGUUAACUAUGGAUAUUUAAUAAAAGGGAUGGCUAGAAAGGCUCAAACGGAUCAAAGAUGGCCUUUCCAUCGUCUUUUAGGGCUCUAAAUAAUCAUCCAUAUCUACUAGUUAGACAGGCCUCCAAAUGUAGCAACACACUUUUUUUUUUUAAUUUUACAAUUUUUUUUAAGGAUUAACUUAAAAGAAAUCUAAAGAUCGUGUAUAAAAUAAUAAACUGCUAAACUGUAUAGAGAAUGGGCAAAAGGGUUACUCUCCAAGAAAAUAAUAGGUUCAACAACUCACUUGGCACUUAUUUAUGACAUGUUCAUUCCUUCAAGCAACUCAUAUUUGUCUCCGACAUCAACAUGUAGAGUAGCAAACAUAAUGUAACAUCACUUAAGACCAAAGAUAAUACAAAUACUAAAAUUUGAAAUUAAUCAUGUCAUCCAAUGUUAAAACAAAUCACACAAUUUUUUUUUAACAACAUUCUACCCCCCAACCUAUUCUAAACAUGAAAGGAAAAUAUGCAUGCAGAAAUGUGAAAAUGAUGCAUAAAAACUAAUUAGAAAAGUUACACGUAAAAUAAUAGAAAACAAAGAUGGUUUUUUUUUUUUUAAAGAUGCGUUUCUAGAGGCACUACACUCCAUAUUCAGCCAUCUUCGACUCAAAAGUUGGAAAAUGUAUAUUUAUAGAGGAGAAAUUAAAAAGAAGAAGAAAAAUGAACAUCAAAACUUAAUAAAGAAAAAAAAAUUAUUUUUAAUUUUUUUGUUUUUUUAAUUAAUUAAUUUUUUUUAAAACAAUGAAGAUGCGUUUCUAGAGUCACUAUCCUCCAUAUUCAGCCAUCUUCAACAUAAAAAGUUAGCAAUAGUUAGUUUCUACAACAAACAAUUAGUAAAAACUUAACCAAAAUUCCACAAUUGUCGACUAUUCACUCCCCCCAACCAGAAUGAAACAUUGUCCUCAAUGUUUGAAAGGAAAGAAGUAGAGUUUAGAAGACAUCACCUGGGUGGUGCAACAUAGAAAAUAAUAUUUACAAGCGGAGAGUUAAAUCUAAUUUGUACUUCUUACUGCGGCUACCGUUACCAUCAUUAUUUGGAUGCUCCAACACAAAGGUCCAGGGGUCUGGCUCCGGUCUAUAAGCUUGUAACAUAUCAAGUAGCUCAUUAGCAGUGUGAGCACAAAUAAAGAGUUUUUUCGCAUUAGAGGGAAUGAAAUAGUUUUUUAUUGCAUGGUUAAGAAAUGCGAUAAAGCCAUUAUAAAAGUUAUUGACAUUUAACAAACCGAUGGGUUUUUGGUGGAUAUGCAGAUGGGCCCAAGAUGCUAGUGUGAUAAGUGCCUCUAGUGUUGCAAGAUCUCCUGGAAGGAAAAUAAAAGCAUCAGCAUGAUUAAGCAUUUCAGUUAUUCUUUCUUGCAUACCUGAGACGACUAACUCUUCUCCAGUUGAUGAGUUAGACGAACUGCCCAAUGGUUUUAGGACUCUUGGAAUGAUGCCUAACACUUGACUUCCUCUGACAAAAGCUGCUUCAGAGACCAUUUUUGAUAACCCUCGGUUACCUCCUCCAUACACCAAGUGUAAUUUUCUCUCUGCUAUACUUCGACCAAGAUCGAUGGCUGCCUCAACGAACUCUUUAUGUUUGCCAUAGGUAAAUCCAGAAAGCACACAAAUGUUCUUGAAUUGUCUAUUUGGAGUAGCUGCCAUUAUGAUACUUCUCAAAAAAUAAUUUGUGAGUGCUUGUAAAAAAAAAAUCACAUUUAAGAGCCUUGGUGACAGUGGGUCAUAGUUGUGUAUGAGGUAACAUGUCAGUGUCAAAUAACGUGUAAAGCACGUGGCUCGCGAGUCAAAAAGGAAACAGUAAAAGGGAAAAAGCAAACAGUAAUAAGGAAAAAGCAAACAGUAAUAAAAUUAUUAAAGACAAUAAUGCACACAAUAAAACAAUAGUGAAAUAAAAUAACAGUAAAGUGAAAGGAUAUUUACAGAUAGUUGCGACUGUGGCUCACAUCUUCCUCUGGUUUUAAGUCUAGAAACGGCUUGAACGCCCUCUAUGGGUCGAGGAUAGGCUUCUUAUCCAGUUUUGUUAUAAACUGGCAAACAGGGUCGUUUAUAGUUAGAUUCUCAAGACUAUAUCGUGCAUGCUCUUUCUGGAAUAAUGAUCAUAACUGGAGAAUCGCUCCUUGCACAUAUCCACUGGGAUGCGUUUCAAGAGACAAAAUGAUAUCAUCCAAUGACUCCUUAUUCAAGCCAUCCCUAAUGAAUUGAAUCUUAUCUUCCCUGUUAUCAGACAUCAUUCCUAAAGAACAUGGGUUUUUAUUGCAACUCAUUCUGGCACACUUAUGACAAACAACAGAAAUUCUUCGAGCUCGUUGUUUUCUUGCAUAAUUUUCUUUACCACAACCAGGCAUGUAUGCAAUAAAUUUUGGAGGUAACUCACCUGCCGAUCGUACUUUCGCCUCAAUUAACCAACGAAUAUCAGCAGGUAUGUUAUUCCUCAUGAGCAAUCGCAUGCGUUCGGACCGAGCUUUAUAGAUCGUAAGGAGGGCAUUCUGAGGAAGUGAAGGGAAUCGCUUGUAAAGCUUCGCUAGAAUCUCCUUUCUGUCCAUACUUUCGCCUCAGAAUAUCAGUUAUUAUGGGAAACUGAAGUAACCGACUUGAUUAUCACGGAGUACCGUUAUCCGCCACUUCACCAAGGUAACAAACUAAAGCACACAAACAGAAAAACAAAUUAAAACACAUAAAGAAAAUUAAAAUCGUCCUCUUAUUGAAUUCACCUCAAGCUCCAACUGGAUGUCGUAAACACUUCUCUCAAUAUCUCUGAGUUGGCUUUCUAGACCCUCAACAUAGGAUACUAACUCUGGUGGUUGACACGUUGAAGUGGUUUAAGAAUGUUCAGGAGGAAUGGUCUAAGUAAGGUACUCAUGAUUAAAAAUGAUAAGAGAAAACUUAAUAGUUAAACAAACACACUUAUGCAAAAAUAAUUUCAAUUAGCAAAAGAAUAAUAUAAAGAAAGAAAGAAAGAAAAAAUCAAAUCACUGAAAAGAAAAAAAUCAAUUCAAAUUUGGUGGGUCACUCAAAUUUAUUUCGAUGUCUUCUCCAUGUGGUUGGUAUUCUAGAUAUGGCUUUAAUCUUUGAGCAUUAACUUUAAACAUGACGCCAUUCUUUGGGUCCUUAAUUUCAAUUGCCCCAUGUGGAAAAACAGUAUGAACAAUAAAGGGACCAGACCAAUGAGAGCGUAACUUACCUGGGAAUAGGUGCAAGCGAGAAUUGAAUAAAAGUACUUUCUGACUUGGAGUGAAUGAUUUUCUCAUAAUUUGCUUGUCAUGAAAGACUUUCAUCCAUUGCUUGUAAAUCUUGGCAUUUUCGUAUGCAUCAUUGCGAAUUUCUUCAAGUUCUGCCAGUUGUAAUCUUCUUUCUGAGCUGGCUUGCUGCAUGUCAAAGUUGAAUUUCUUGAUGGCCCAAUAUGCACGAUGCUCGAGUUCCACAAGUAGGUGGCAAGCUUUUCCAUACACUAGCCUGUAGGGUGACAUCCCAAUCGGGGUCUUGAAAGCCGUUCUAUAUGCCCAUAAGGCAUUAUCAAGUCCUAAUGACCAAUCUUUUCUGUCCGGCCUCACCGUCUUUUCUAAUAUGUGCUUUAUUUCUCGAUUGGAGAUCUCAACUUGGCCACUGGUUUGUGGAUGAUACGGGGUCGCCACUUUGUGUGUGAUUGAAUACUUUGUCAAAAGAGCUUUGAAUGCUUUGUUACAAAAGUGGGCACCACCAUCACUGAUUAUUGCUCAAGGGAAUCCAAAGCGUGAGACAAUAUUGCUUUUCAAAAAUCCUAUCACCACCUUGUGAUCAUUGGUUCUGCAUGGAAUUGCUUCUACCCAUUUCGAUACAUAGUCAACAGCAACUAAUAUGUAUUGAUGGCCAAAAGAAGGGGGAAAGGGUCCCAUGAAGUCGAUACCCCAUAUAUCAAAAAUCUCAACCACUAAAAUUGAAUUUAGUGGCAUCAUGUUCCUUCGUGUAAUGCUCCCCAUUCGUUGACACCUAUCAUAUGAAGAACAGAAAGUGUAAGCGUCUUGAAAUAUAGUUGGCUAAUAGAAACCACAUUGCAAAACUUUAGUAGCUGUUUUCUUAGCACUGAAAUGGCCUCCACAAGCUUGUUCAUGGCAGAAUGAAAGGAUAUUCUGAAUUUCACUUUUGGGACACAUCGUCUAACAAUUUGGUCUGCACAAUACUUGAACAAAUAAAGGUCAUCCCAAAAGAAAUUCUUUAUUUCUGCAAAAAAUUUAACCUUGUCUUGCUUGGUCCAAUGCUCUAGAAGUUUACCUGUAACAAGAUAAUUAACUAUAUCAGCAUACCAAGGUAAUACUUCCACAUUCAUUAAUUGUUCAUUUGGAAAUGACUCAUUCAAUGGUAAUGAUUCUGUAAUUGUGUCAAAAUGGAGACGAGAGAGGUGGUCCGCCACAACAUUUUCUGUCCCUUUCUUAUCUUUGAAUUCCAAGUCAAAUUCCUGCAAAAGUAACACCCAACGAAUUAGUCUAGCUUUUGCAUCUUUCUUUGUAAGAAGAUAUUUAAGAGCAGCAUGAUCUGUGAACACGAUUAUUUUACAACCAAUGAGAUAAGAUCGAAAUUUCUCCAAUGCAAACACUACUGCUAGCAUUUCUUUUUCAGUAGUUGAAUAGUUCAACUAUGCAUCAUUCAAUGUCAUACUAGCAUAGUAAAUAACGUGGGAAAUUCGAUCAACUCUUUGUCCUAAUACUGCUCCUACUGCAUAAUCAGAUGCAUCACACAUGAGCUCAAAUGGUAAGCUCUAGUUCGGGGCCUGAAUGAUGGGUGAUGAUGUCAACAACUGCUUUAAUUUUUUAAAAGCCACAAGACAUGAAUCAUUAAAGAUAAAAGGUACAUCAUUAGCAAGUAAAUUGCAUAAGGGUCUAGAAACUUUGCUAAAAUCUUUAAUGAAACGUUUAUAGAAACCAGCAUGCCCAAGGAAAGAUCUUACUUCUCUGACUGUUUUGGGUGGAGGAAGAUUAGAAAUGAGAUCCACCUUGGCUUUGUCAACCUCAAUACCUUUGCUCGAAAUGAUGUGACCGAGAACAAUACCUUGUUUUACCAUAAAAUGACAUUUCUCCCAAUUUAAAACCAAGUUCUUCUCAAUACAUCUCUGCAGAACUAAUGUUAGAUGAUGUAAACAUUGAUCAAAUGAAUCACCAAAGACAGAAAAGUCAUCCAUAAAGACUUCAAGGAAUCGUUCAACCAUAUCAGAAAAAAUGCUCAACAUGCAUCGUUGAAAUGUAGCAGGUGCAUUACAUAAUCCAAAUGGCAUCCUCCUAUAUGCAAAAGUGCCAAAAGGGCAAGUGAAAGUAGUUUUCUCUUGAUCUUUUGGUGCUAUGGGAAUCUGAUUAUAUCUUGAGUAGCCAUCUAGAAAGCAAUAAAAUUCAUGGCCUGCUAAUCUAUCAAGCAUUUGAUCGAUAAAGGGUAAAGGAAAAUAAUCUUUACGUGUGACAGAAUUCAACUUUCUAUAAUCAAUGCAAACACGCCAUUCUGUAGUUACUCUAGUGGGUAUCAAUUCAUUAUCAGCAUUGGUAACUACUGUGACUCCUGACUUUUUGGGGACAACUUGUACAGGACUGACCCAUGAACUAUCAGAAAUUGGGUAAAUGAUACCUGCAUCUAAUAGCUUAAGGACUUCUGUUCUAACAACUUCUUUCAUAUUAGGAUUUAACCGACGUUGCAUUUCCCUAGUAGAUUUAGCAUUUUUAUCAAGGUGAAUGUAAUGCAUGCAAUCUACUGGAUUUAUACCUUUUAUGUCUGCUAUGGUCCAUCCUAAUGCUCCUUUGUGCUCUUUUAAAACAUCCAACAACUUACCUUUUUAUUCGUCAUUUAGGGAUGAUGAGAUGAUUACCGGUACAGUACUUUCUUCUCCCAAAAAUGCAUAUUCCAAAGUGUUGGGUAAUGGUUUGAGCUCAAGUUUCGGUGGUGAUUCUGAUGAUGGGAUGAGUUUCUUCUCUGAUGGUGCUAGUUGCUUAACUCUUGACUUCUAUUUAUCAGUGUCCAUAGAUGGUGUUGAGUCAAGUAGGGCGUUGACCUCAUCGACCGAUCUGUCAAUAUCAAAAUCCAAACCAAAGUGAGUUAAACAUGUUUGUAAAGGAUCAUCACUAAGGUUUGAAACAAAAGUAUCAUCAACUAAUGCUUCAAUUAAAUCCACAUCAACAAUUCCAUCAUCUGCACUGUGAGGUUGUUUGGCAAUGUUGAAGAUGUUCAGCUCCAUAGUCAUGUUGCCGAAGGACAACUGCAUAUUUCCGGUCCUGCAUUGAAUGUGAGCAUCCACAGUUGCCAAGAAAGGUCGGCCUAGAAUAAUGGGGAUGUGCUUCCUCGAGUCCUGUAUUGGUUGAGUGUCAAUUACAAUGAAAUCAACAGGAAAAUAAAAAUUGUCUACCUGGAUAAGCACGUCCUCCACAAUACCAUGAGGUAUUUUUGUGGACCGAUCUGCAAGUUGUAACACCACUGGAGUUGGGUGUAAUUCUCCAAGUCCAAGUUUCACAAACACUGAAUAAGGUAACAGAUUUACACUAGCUCCUAAAUCCAACAAAGCAUUCUCAAUUGUGUGGUUCCCUAUGCUACAUGAGAUAGUAGGGGAGCCCGGGUCUUUGCAUUUUAAAGGAAUUUUGUGUUGGAGUAUAGAACUAAUGUUUUCUGUUAAAAAUGCCUUAUUUUGAACAUGCAUAUUUCUUUUUUUAGUACAAAGGUCUUUAAGAAACUUGGCAUAAGAUGGAACUUGCUUAAUAGCAUCAAGCAAAGGGAUAUUAACACUUACCUGUUUGAAGAUUUCAAGAAUCUCACCUGUGGAUUUUCCCUUUUUUCCUUUAGCUAACCUUUGAGGAAAUGGAGCUUUCGGAACGUAUUCUCAUGAGUUGUUUUCUUCUUUCUCCUCCGGUGAUGAGUACUCAACAUUCACAGGUACAAUUUGAUUUUCUUUUGUCACCAGCAUCUCCACUUUGUUGUCGACUUCUUUUCCUUUUCGCAAUGUCAUGACUGCUUUGACUUCUCCAUGCUGUUGUGGUGAACUGGUACUUGCUUCAUGUACUUCUUUAGGAUUAGGCACGGGUUGACUUGGAAACUUGCCUUUCUCAACAGUCAUUGCCAAGGUCUGAACUGAAGAAGCAAGUUGUCCCACCAUCUUCUCGAGGCUUGAAACUGAUUGGGCUUGUGAGUUGAAGCCCGCUCUCAAUUCAUUUCGUAGUCCAUCAAUGGUGCGGUUCUGUUGCUCAAUCGUGGAGUGAGUAACAUUCCUGAAAUUCUGGAAUGCAUCCUCCCAUGGUCUAGGUUGAGAGUGGUUCUGGUUCUGAUUGUAUGGUCUGAAUGGUGGCUGAGAGGCUUGAGGAAUUUCAGAAAUUUGUUGCAUUGGUGGAGCUGGAGCUGCUGGUCCAUUCUGUUGGAAUCUUUGAGACCAUGAAAAAUUGGGGUGGUCUCUUCAUCCAGGGUUAUAUGUGUUGGAGUAUGGAUUGUAAUUUGAUGGCUUUCUCAUUACACCUAUGGCAUUGGCUUGAUCAGAGUAUGACUCAGGGUCAUGUGGUUCUGUUGAUUUAGCAGUCGAUAACGAUGCUAUUUGUCGAGCAAGACCUUCAACCAUCUCCUUGACUUCUUUGAAUCCCGAAGUUGACUCGCGAAUGUGAACCUCAUUUACUCCCUUAAUUCUUCUAGUAUUCCUGAAUGAUCGACUCCGUUGUUGGGAAUUAUCCGCUUGUCGCUGGAAGAAUUCCCAAAUCUCUGAUGCACUUUUUGACAUUAGCUCUCCUCCACUUGUUGCCAUUAGCCAUUCUUGCACAUUUGGUAGUGAUCCCUCCAAAAAGUAUUGGCAUUGGUGCCAUUUCUCGUACCCAUGAUGUGGACACUUCAAGAGUAGCCCAUUGAAUCGCUCCCAUGUUUCGAAAAACUGCUCGUACUCUCUCUGAGUAAACUCCGAGAUUUCCCUGCGAAUAGCAUUGGUUUUAUGCACUGGGAAAUAUUUAUUCAAAAAUUUAGUUACCAUUUGUUCCCAUGAUGAAAUGCUAUUGGCAGGCAAUGUAUUAAGCCAUGAACGAGCUCUAUCCUUUAAAGAAAAUGGGAAUAAUCUGAGUUUAACAUCAUUGUCUGAAAAAUUUUCAUAUUUAAAGUUUGACAAAUGGCAUGAAAAUCAUUCAGAUGAUUAUAUGGGUCCUCAUUUUCUAGGUCAUAAAAUGUGGGGAGACAAUUUAGCACACUAGAUUUUAAUUCAAAGCUCCUAGCAGCUACAUUUGGGUAUCUUAUACAUGAUGCGCUCAAAUUUGCUAAAGGACUGAAAUAAUCCUUAAAUGGCCUCUCCUGUGGUUGCAAAUCCAUUUUAUUUUUUACUUGUUUGUGUGUGCGAAGUGUUUUCUCAAGUUCAAGGUCUAUAGGUUCAAGAUUGGGUAAUAAUGACAUUCGACCAUGCAUGCAAAACAAAUAAAAUAAAAAAUAAAGAUGGGAACAAAAUAAAUAAAAAUAAAAAAGAGGGAGAAAUUACGAUACUAACCUUAUUGGGCUAUUACAAACUUUCUAUAAAAAUACACAAAAACAAAUACGUGAAAUAAAUUAACUAAACAUUAAAUUAAUAAAAUAAACAAAAAAAAUUACAAAGAAAAAUAAAUUAAAAAUUAAAUUACAGAAUUUUAAAGAAGAGAAAAAGGAAAGAAAUGCUAACCUUUAAAUGUAAAUUCACUUUUUUUUCUUUUUUUUAAUAAUAAAAAAAAUACAAGAAAACAAAUAAAAGAAAUUAUUCACAAAAAUUAAUUCUAAAAAUUACUUACCUCCCUGGCAACGGCGCCAAAAACUUGUUGUGCAAAUUUUAAUAUACUCGCAAGCGCACGAAUCUAUUGCAGUAUAGAUCAAUGGUGACGAGUGUCGAUCCCACGAGGAGGUGGAUUUUAAUUGUGUAGAAUUAAUUUUGUAAAUGGGUGAUUGGAUUUGUGGUGGAAAUGAUUUGGAAUAUCCUAAAACUUAAAUUAAAAUGGCGAGAAUAAAUUCUAAAAUUGGAAUUGAAAUUACGAGAAUAAAUUGAAGAGAAUUCUAUUAAAAUGACGUACUUGGGUAUCUGGAUCCGUAUCAACAUGCAUCAUGGGCUAAAUAAUCCUUAUUAAUGCCAAUUAAAUCAUGAGGGGGGAAUCCACACCUCAUGAACCACACUCUAAUCAAUAUGGUGCUAAGGGCUUAUCGUGCCAAAUAAUAAUAACCUUGUACUAGAGGGCCGGUGAAACCAAGGCGGUACUAGACAAGAUUAGUAUUAUUUGUCGACGAGAAGUCAAAACAUCCACAAAAACUAGAGGGGAAGAGAAAAUAAAUUUACCAAAUAAAACCCAUGACACAUGUUGAGACUUCACUUUCAACCCAAGCUUGAAAGAAAAUUAGCUACUCAUAAUUGAACUAGGGGCAAAAUGAGAAUUUAUUAAAAUACGAAGAAACUACAAGAUGGAGAAGGAAUUACAAAAAAUAGAGUCCAAAAAUGGAUUCAGAGAUAUCAAAUUAUGGGGGAGAGGCCCCCUUUUUAUAGAUACAUCAAGUAAAUCAUGGCCAUCGGAUUAAAAACAGUUUGGACGCUCAAGAUUGCGACACGUCAUCAGUCAACAGUAACACGGUUUGACUCGGAUGAACAGUAACACGGUUUGACUCGGAUGAACAGUAACGCGGUUUGACUCGGAUGAACAAUAACGCGUUUGGUUGAAAAUAAUUCUGUGUGAUGCAUGUACCGUAUGCGAGAUUUUUCGUUCACUAAUAUGCUGCCACGUCACCAUCAACAGUACAUAAGAAUUUUAGCCCAACAGGAUCGUGACACCUCAUCAGUCAAUGCCACAUCAUCGGUCAAUGCCACGUCAUCGAUCCGUCUAUGUGAACAAUGUAGUGAACAGUAACGUAGACAGUACCGUACACGUGAAUAGUACCGUACAUGUGAAUAGUGCCAUUUUUCCAUUUAUGUUCCUCCUAAGGUUUUCGACCGUUCUGAGUUCAAAAGUGAUGUCCGUUUUGCCGUCUGAUCUCUCCUUUAUUGUGAAAUGACUUUAAUGCCCCUAAAAUACAUAAAAUACUUAAUUAAAAUAAAACACAUGUAAUUAAAUCACAAGAAGGUUAAAUACAUAAAAGUAAGGGUUGUUAGUAAGACUUGAAAUGUAAAAUGACGGUCUUCUCCUUUAUAAGUAUGCAUUUUCUGACACUCAACAUGUGUGUGUAUGGAGGGCAAAUCUUUGACUACCUCCAGCUUCAAGGACCUAUACAAUAACUCUUAAAUCAAACGGAGAAAAUAGUUAAUUCAAUCUGAUUGAAUAUGAUUGAUAUUUACCAUAUGAUUAUUACAUAAAGAUUGAGCCUUAAGUGUUUUACAUUAAGUAAUACUGCACAUUUGUUCUACACAUUUAGACAACUCAGAGUAAGAAUUAUGAAAAUGACAACCAAAUCCAAACUAGCUAGGUGCACUAUUAUUAUUUAUCUUUGCUCCAUAAAUAUUAGAAAGAUAGAGGAGCGGAAGAAAAAGAAAAAACUAAUUUUGUAGUCACAAAUCAAUCUUAUGCUCUGAUUUUGAAGCAAAUCUGCAAAAUAUUUGAGGAUCCAACCAUGAAGCAUGUCCACUUCAAUCUUUCGCUGCACUGCUAACCAUUAUGGGUCGUCUUCUAUUGCUGGCUGUACGUCUAAGCAAUGGGAACCUACUCCAAUUUACACACUGUUAAUUAAUUAUGUUAUCAAAUAAUUUAGUUAAUAAUUGAACACUUAUUUUUUAUUUUAUAGAAAAAUUUACAUACUGCUUCUUGUUGUCACUGUUAUUAUAUUGUCUGAUAUCUUCCAAAACCCUAUAAUCUCCCCCCCACCAAAAAAAAAAGAAGAAAAAGAAUAAGGCAUAUAAUUAAACGGGUAACUUCGAUAGAAAAUAGUGUACAAAAUUUUUAAGCUUAAUUACCCCUCGCUGCUAUGGGAUCACGAAGGCCAUUAGGUAAAAUAAUGUUGCUACCAAAUCUCUUUAAAACCACUCUUAUAUCUUGCAAAUUAAAAAGAAAUAGAAAUCAAACAACAAUUGAGGUAAACUUUAUAAUUAAAAAAGAAAAUGAGAAAAAUUAAAUUAUUAAAAGAAUUAAUUUGGGGAUUAAUCAAUACUUACAUGACCUCCGUAAUAUGUUGUAAUCUAAUGUGGUCUCGGAACCACUCCAUAAGACUUAUUGCAUGAAUUCAUAUAUUCUGUCAGAUUAAAUGAGUAUGUUUGAAACAUUGUGUCGUUUUUGCCAAUUCCAAUUGGUGAGACCAUUUCAUUGUAUGUCUGGAUUGAACUCCCCCUCCCUAAAAAAAAUAAUAAAUAAAUAAGAUAAAGAAGAAAACUAUUUUUAAUCAUUCAUAAAUAUGUAUUCUCAUAAAUAAAAUUUAGAGAUGUACAUAAAAUAAGUAUUGUUAGACGAAAGACUCAUUCAUUGCGACAUGUUGUUUAUUUGACGGUCUCAAUAGUACUAUCCAAUUGGUUUAUUGGCUUAUAUUUGUGUGGUGUAGAUCUAUUUGAAUAACAUUGCAGAAAUAUGAGAUAAUAUGGAAAAUAUUAGAAAUAGUUAAUAGCAUUAUUAAGAUACUAAAUAUCAGCCAAAAUAAUAAAAUAAAUAAAAAGCUCAAAGAGUUCUUGUUGUAAAUCAUGACUCGAAUAGGAAAAUAAACAAGACUAAUCAUAUCUUUGUGUAAAUUUAAUUUGUAUAAAAAAAACGUGUAGGUGUAAUAUUAUAAAUAAACUCAUAGAGAAAAGAAUGUGUAAACUCCUGUGAUUUGACAAAAUAAUCAAAAUAAUCUGUUUAUUUUUUAAAAUAGUUACAAAGCUCCUUUUGUAACAUACAAACUAUGGAAAUUCAUGGGCUACUUAACAUCCAUUUUAAUUUUUUUUUAUUUACACAAAAACAUCAUAGACGAAAGAAGAUAAAAAAUUUCAUUGCACCCAAUUUUUUUGCAUGCGAUCAAUAAGGAAAAGAGGCAGAAAGUGUUGGAAAUAUAGCACAAGUGGCUAUUUGAGGCGUGAUUUUGAGUGAGACCUAUGUGGUGUAAGUGAAAAGUUAAAAUUGUUUCAAAUAUUUCUCUGUAAAUACUUCAAAAUGGUUUUAUCUAUAUGAUCAAAAUGAUCCUUGGAUAAAUGAGAAAUGGUAACUGAAAGUAAAUUCAUGGAAUUGGAAAAUUAAAGGAAGAUACAUUUGUCCCACAUGAAAAAGGUAGUGAAGGCAUGAAAGGCUUGUAUAUAAUUAUUUAUAGUAUGAGUAAAAUAUAAACCAAAAUGCUCUCUCUUCCGUGCUCCUUCCUGAGUAUACGAAAGUUGGCCCAAAUCGAUCGUGGUAGGCCUGCCUUAGUCUUGCACAUUUGAAGUUCAUCGUGAAACGAUCCCAUAGUUGUCGUUCAAACCUCUGGGCACUUAAAAAAAGGUUUUCUUUUUAUUUUUUUUAUAUUUUUUAAAUUUAAUAAAUGCCAUAUUAUUUAAUAUUUAAUUUUAAGGCAUCUUUUUAAGUUGAGGGCAGGGAACCACUCCGAUACGUAACUUCGUGACCUGCUAAUCUAAUCACCUUGACUUUGAAGACUUCUUCCCCUAGUCAGCAAUGAUUUGGAACUUACGUCUUGACAUAUGCUGUGGAAAAAAAAGAGUGAAGCAGACUUAUUAAGUCGAGAUGUUUCUUCAGUCUAGAUAUUUUCGUUUAUACGUGUACACAUAUUCAAUGUCUAACCUUAUUUUGAAAAAAGACUAAUGUCCUAUUUGGGAUUACGGUUGAAAUACUAUAAAUAGUUUAUUUUAUAAGUUUUGAUAAAAAUAAUGUUUGGUAAAUUUGUUAAAAGUUAAUUUAUAUUUUCUCUAUUUUGACAAUAGCUUUUAAAACAAGUAUGAGAUUAUUUUUAGAAGCAACUUAUUAAAUAAAAUGCAUUUUUUUAAAUUUUCUAUUAUAACUAAGAAAAGAAUAAUUGUAUCUUACUUUUUUUAUAAAUCCUAAUAUAUAAAUAAAAGACAAUUUAAACUUAUAAUUAUUUUAGUGAUUAUAUAAUAAAAUAGUUCUUGCAUAAUUGAAUUUACCAAACACUGAGCGAGCUACUUUUAUAAUGAUUAGCUUAUUUUAUCCGCAUAACAGAAGUAGUUUAUUCAAUAGCCACCGGAAUCUCAAACUGAUUCUAAGUCAUGUUUGGAAUUGCAUGACAUUGUCAAAUAAUUAACAAAAGAAGCUAUUAUGUAGAAGCAUAGGAACAGGUUGAGAAUGAGAGAUACAUGUACAUGGAGAGCAAAUUCUUUUACUCUCACCGGCUUCAACGACCUAUACAAUAACUCCUAAAUCAAAGGGAGAAAAUGGUUAAUUCAAUGUGAUUGUACAUGAAUUGAUAUUCACCAUAUGAUUAUUACAUAAAGAUUGAGCCCUUUAUAUGUGCUUUACAUUAAGUAAUACUGCACACUUGUUCUACACAUUUAGACAACCCAGAUUAAGAAUAAUGAAAAUGAACUCUUAAACUAGCUAGGUGCUCUAUUAUUUAUCUUUGCUCCAUAAAUAUUAGAAAGAUAGAGGAGAGGAAGAAAAAGAAAAACAACAACAUACACUCUAAAUAAUCCUUCAAUUCUGAAACAUCCUUCAGAGGCUUGUAAUCAAAUAAACAACAACAACAUAGAAUUAAGUGCCACAAGGUUAGUAACAUUAUAAAAGAUCUUUCAACAUGCCGUCUAAAAAAUGUUGUUAUAUUUAGUUAGAUUACAAUAAACUUUAUAAGUAUGAAGCUAUUGAUAUUAUCAAAUGCAAACGUACAAAUUUGGCCUUAUUUGAUAAUUAGAGUUGUGCGUGGUUUUGUAGUUCAAAUUUAGAUUCUGUAAAAUACGAACCUCUGGAGGGCUGAAUCUAAGCACCAGUAUACUAUAUAUAUGGUAAUGCAAAGGCCGUGUAUAAGCCCAAAUCCAGAUUUUUACUUUGUAUAUUACACGUUAAUCGAAAUGUAUAUAUACUCUGAGGAUGACAGAUAAUUAAUUAGACAUAGUACAUUCGAUAAUGAUGCUACAAUAACAUUGCAUUAAUUGUAAUUAAGGGAAAAUCGGAUGGAUAUAUAUAAGCAAUUAUGUAAAGUAAUAUGAUUAAUUUCUUGCAGGUUUUGAACUUUUUAGAGAGAAAAGCAAGUCCAUUUUUUCUAGCAGCGGUUUUAUCCAUUUCAACCCAGGACUGUUUGAUGGUCAUGUAGCAGCCCUCGCUGGCUUCCUGCAUCAUUAAUUUUCAAAAUUCAAUGGUUAAAUUUUAACAAGAAAACAUAAUCAUACAUAUAUAGAAUUUUAAUUAAUUAAUUUUUUUUCUUACCCUACAGUCAUUGGUGACAAGAUCAUAAUAUGCGUUUGAUGGUGUGAUAUUAUCAAAGUAGAGAAUUGGGGCGGGCGAGGCAACUGCUCCCAAAGACUGUGAGGAUACUUCAAGCGAAACCAUGCUGCAAGCACUGGUGAUAACAAACCCACAAUUGAGUAACUCUCAAAACCAUAUCACAUCCCAGAUUUGAUAAAAUAGGACUAAUUGAGAUGGUUAUUUUUAAAAAAGUAAUUAUCUUAAAUAUAUUUAGUAUUUCUUAAUUUUACGAUCGCUGAAAGUAUUCAUUAAUUGGAAUGCAAAAUAAAUUUGUAUCAAAAUAAUAUUGGCGUAAUCAAUAUUUUGGUCAAACGAGAUCAAAAUGAAUAAAAUGGCGCAACAAAUGACACGACAUUAAUCAAAAGAUGUAAGUAAGUUAAUAAUAUUAAAAUUUACUUCCUCGAUAAGAUGCUCCAACGACGAUAAUGGGUGACAUUUCGGCCGAUAAAUUUUCCUUGAUGUGUAAGAGAAUCUUUGCAUAAUCUACCAAAGCUUGACCAGAGUUUAAAUAUCCACGAAGAGUUGCAUUGUUUAGGGCAUCUUUGCUUGAUACAAAAGGUACUGAUUUUCCAUAGAACCGAUACUGCAUGAAAAAUUGAAUUAAAAAAAAUCCAUCACAACUUUUCAGUUCAUAUUAUAGAAUAUUCUGAUUAAGAUUUGUCUUUAUUAUUAUUAUUUCGUAUGCGAACUCUAUUUUAAUUAUUAUCAAGCUAGCCUGAUAACAAAUUCUUUACUUACCUCUAUGUAAACUUAUAAGGCUUUAAAUCGAUGAGCAUUAUCAGCAAGCCAUCCAAUGCCACCAAGGUCAUCAUAUCAAGACUACUCUCUUCACCAAGAUAUGCCAAUAUCGGCGCCGCCAUGGCUCUGCCACCACCCCAAUGCUUGAAGUUCAACGCAUAUCUAUGAGGAAAAGUUAAAUAACUUUGUGGAUUAUAGUUAAAGUGAUCAAGUGUUUGAUCAUAAUAGUAAGUUUCGAGAUCAUAAUAGUAACUUUGUGGAUUUUUUUGCUAGGGUUUUGAAAAAUAGUCCUUCCACGAACAGCACCAAGCUUUGGGAUGUUCUUUAAUGGUGAAGUGGAAGCAAAAGCAAAAUUUGUGACGAGAAGAAGAAAAAGGCAUGGAGCGACCGACCUUUCAUGGCAAAGUUGUAAAUCCUUAAUUAGCAGGAUGAUUAUGUAAAUACAGAAGAAAUAGAGUUAAGAUUAGAUUAUAAAUUCAGCUUCAAAAUCGACGUGUUUGUUAAUAUAUCCUGGAUUUGUUGUUAUCGUAUAAUAUAAUUAAUGUUGCUUUUAGUUUUAUAUUAGUAUGGAUCUUCAGUUUUCAUAAAAUUAUAGUGUGUCUAAUGUUGUGCAAAUUUUAUUGAACUCACAAGUGUACGAAUCUAUUGUAGAAUAGAUUAAUGGUGACGAGUAUCGAUCCCACGAGGAGGUUGAUUCUAAUUGUGUGUAGAAUUAAUUUUUCUAAAUGGAUGUUUGGAUUUGUGGUGAAAGUGACUUAGAUUAUCUUAAAAUUGGAAUUGAAAUGGCGAGAAUAAAUUGAAGAGAAAUCUAUUGAAAUGAAACACUUGGGUAUCUGGAUCCGUAUCAACAUGCACCAUGGGCUAAAUAUUCCUUAUUAAUGUCAAUUAAAUCAUGAGGGGGGAAUCCACACCUCAUGAACCACACUAUAAUCAAUAUGGUGCUAAGGGCUUAUCGUGCCAAAUAAUAAUAACCUUGUACUAGUGAGUCGGUGAAACCAAGACGGUAUCUAGACAAGAUUAUUAUUAUUUGUCGACGAGAAAUCAAAACAUCUACAAAAACUAGAGGGGAAGAGAAAAUAAAUUUACCAAAUAGAGCCCAUGACACAUGUUGAGACUUCACCUUCAACCCAAGCUUGAAAGAAAAUUAGCUACUCACAAUUGAACUAGGGGUAAAAUGAGAAUUUAUUAAAAUACAUAGAAAAUACAAGAUGGAGAAUAAAUUACAGAAAAUGGAGCCCAAAAUUGGAUUCAGAGAUAUCAAAUUAGGGGGGGAGAGCUCCCUUUUUAUAGAUACAUUGAGUAAAUCAUGGCCAUCGAAUCAAAAACAUUUCGAACACUCAGGAUUGCGCCACGUCAUUAGUCAACAGUACGCGGUUUGAACAGUAACACGGUUUGGUUGAAAAUAAUCCUGUGUAAUGCAUAUACUGUACGCGAGAUUUUUGGUCCACUGAUAUGUUGCCACGUCAUCGAUCAACAAUACAUAAGAAUUUUAGUCCAAUAGGAUCGUGACACCUCAUCAGUCAAUGCCACAUCAUCGGUCAAUGCCACGUCAUCGGUCAAUGCCACGUCAUCGUUCCGUCUAUGUGAAUAGUGUCAUGAACAGUAACGUAGACAAUACCGUACAUGUGAGUAGGACCGUACAUGUGAACAAUGACAUUUUUCCUUUUAUGCUCCUCCUAAAGUUUUCGACUGUCCUAAGUUCAAAAGUGAUGUCCGUUUUGCCGUAUGAUUUCUCGUUCAUUGUGAAAUGACUAUGAUGCCCCUAAAAUACAUAAAAUACUUAAUUAAAAUAAAACACACGUAAUUAAAUCACAAGAAGUUUAAAUACAUAAAAGUAAGGGUGUUAGUAAGACUUGAAAUGUAAAAUGAUGAUUUUCUCCUACAUAAAUAUACAUUUUCUAACACUCAACAUCUAAUAUAUAGUUAACAGUUUCGUAAUUAAUAAAAUUUUUUAUUAUUUCUUUCCUAGUAAUUAAUUAUCUUGUGCUGGAAAGAAUAUCACUAACCACAACUUCUGCAGAAGCUUCCUCACCUUCGGAUGACAUCAGCGGUGGGUCCAGGAUGUUUGAUCGGAUCGGCGAAAUUAAAAAUUUAUUGUAUAUGUUUGCGUGAAUAUUUACAAAGGAGUGAAAAAACUAAUAUAUUAAAUAACGCGACAUCAACAACGUCGUUCUGAAUGAAAUUUUUAUAUAUAAUUUGUAAAAUAAACUAAUAAUUAGAAUGACAAUUUAGCCUUUUUAACUUGUAGAGACACAACCUUAAAUUCCUUAAUAUGCUGGUUAAUUCAGAUCAUUGAGAUGGAGACAAUUAGACAAACCUUAUUUUAUCAGAGUGAACUGCGAAAGUACAAGCUUUACAAAAGAGAUUAAUGUCGUAGUGUGAAUAGAAUUAAAAAAUACUAAGGCAGACAAUUCGUCGAACACAUAAUAUUUGCUACAUUGCUACUACCUAAUAAUUUCACAACCAAUUAACAGUCUCCUUUAUUGGAAAAAUCACAUUAAUCAACCAAAUACAUUUCUUGGUUUCUAAGCUCCAAAAUUGAAAUUUCAUGAAAAGGUUUCUGCAUUGGUGUCUUAUUGCGAGCGAUAAAUUCGUUGGACACGAGUUGCAUUGUAGGUCGAGACUUUGGUUGAGAACGCAAGCAUGAAAAUACUACUGUUGAAACAAGAAUGAUAUCCUGCCUAAUCAUUUGGUCCCCCGGAGGCGGGAGGCGUGGGUCCAACAAAUCAAUCAGCUUUAUAUUUUUAUCCAAUGAUGACGAUGACGAUGAGAGGAGCGCUUCUGGAUGCCUUCCCACUAGUACUUCUAGUGCCACCACUCCAAAGCUAUAAACAUCACAUUUCUCUGUCACAAUCAUGGUGUAGGCAAGUUCUAUAGGAAAACAAAGGCCUUCAUUAGUAACGUUUCCAUAAAUAAUAACAAGAACAAUUUGUUCAUGUUUUUUAGCUUCCGCAGCAAGUUAUGACAAAGAAACUUAUGUUUUAACUUAUGUUCAUUGUGUGUGUGUUUUAAAAGGAAAAGGGGUAGGCAAAGUUUAAAUUUAUUUUUAGCCCCUUAGCUUUUUCAAAAUUCGAACCAAGUAGCGACAUAAAUAAAGCUGCUUAAAAGCUACUUGGCAGAGUAUAUAUAAAAAUUAAUUAAGAGGAUAAUUAAAGAAGCAUAAGAGGAAUAGCUAGAGGAUGACCUGGAGCAAUAUAUCCAAAAGUGCCAGCUAAAAGAGUUCGGUUGGAUGAGUCAAAAUUUAACAAUCUAGCAAUGCCAAAGUCCGCAACAAAUGCUUCUAAUUCUGAGUUAAGUAGAAUGUUGUUGCUUGAUAUGUCCCGGUGAACAAUUGGUGGUGUGCAGUGAUGAUGUAAGUAUGACAAAGCGUGAGCCAUACCCUUCACAAUGUUCACCCUUUUAGUCCAAUCCAACCCAAUAGCUUCCUCAUCUGUGCGUAGAACACAGAACAAGCUUCCCAUUUCCAUGUACUCAUAGAUUAAGAACAUGCAUGUCUUGUGCAAACAAAAGCCGUAAAGCUUUACGAUAUUUCGAUGCCGUAUUUGGGACAGUAGACGAGCCUCAUUCCGAAAACUCUCGAGGGAAGCUAACUCCUCAGUUUCUGAACGGUGAAGCUUCUUCAAAGCAACCACUUUUCCACUGGGCAGCCGUGCUCUGUAAACGCUGCCGUAGCCUCCGGUUCCAAUGCAGUAUUUGAUAUCGAAAUCCUCAGUGGCUUCAAUCAUGUCUUGAAAUGUAAUUCUACCAUCGUAAUUCCAAAUUGCAAACUCAUCAGCGCACUUGGUAAUUUCUCCUGUCCCAGUUGGUUCAACUUCCUUAUCCCUUCGUCUACGGAUAAUCAAGAUUCCAAAUAUCAAGGCAAGGAAUGCGACCAUAGCAAGAAUAAUUGCAACCAAGAGAGUGGCAAUCAUUUUGUGAUGUGGCGGUGGCGCAUUUGCCAAAGUAGUUGGGAUUUCUCCUCCGAAUUUAUUACCUGACACAUCUAAGUGUGGCACUUUUCUGACAAAUACAGGGAUUCCACCGGAAAGGUUAUUCAUGGAAAGGUCCACGGUGUGUAUGCCCGGAAUUGCUCCAAGUUGGUAAGGUAUUUUACCAUUGAUGGAGUUACAGCUUAGAUCAAGAUAAUAUAGUUCUUGAAGUUUGCCAAUCUGUGACGGAAUGCUUCCGCUUAACAAGUUGUUUCCCAAUAUUAAUGUCGUCAGCUUUGAGCAAUUCAUGAGUUCUGGAGGAAUUGGGCCAUCAAGUUUGUUGUCAGACAAGUCUAAAAAUGUCAACCUGUUUAAAUGACCAAGUGUUAAAGGAAUAGAUCCAGUUAGAUUGUUAUAUUCCAGGGACAGAGAUUUCAAGUUGACUAAACUAGCUAUGGUCGAAGGAAUUGGACCUUCAAGUUUGUUGUUGGGCAGGUCAAGAACUUGAAGAAAGUUCAAAUGACCCACAGACGAAGGGAUUGGACCAACAAGUUUGUUUUCAGACAAGUCUAAAUAUGUCAACCUGUCUAAAUGACCAAGUGUUGAAGGAAUAGGUCCAGUUAGAUUGUUAUCCUGCAGGGACAGAUAUGUCAAGUUGACUAAACUAGCUAUGGUCGAAGGAAUCGGACCUUCAAGUUUGUUGUUGGACAGGUCAAGAACUUGAAGAAAGUUCAAAUGACCCACAGACGAAGGGAUUGGGCCAACAAGUUUGUUUUCGGACAAGUCUAAAUCUGUCAACCUGUUUAAAUGACCAAGUGUUAAAGGAAUAGGUCCAAUUAGAUUGUUAUAAUGCAGGGACAGAGAUGUCAAGCUGACUAAACUAGCUAUGGUCGAAGGAAUUGGACCUUCAAGUUUGUUGUCGGACAGGCCAAGAACUUGAAGAAAGUUCAAAUUCCCGAUUUCUAAUGGGAUGGAACCAUUGAUUCGGUUUGAGUGCAUAUUCAAAGUAGUUAGCUGAGUCAAAGGACCUACAGACGAAGGGAUUGGACCAACAAGUUUGUUUUGGGACAAGUCUAAAAUUCUCAACCUCUUUAAAUGGCCAAUUGUUGAAGGAAUUGAACCUCCAAUUUCAUUUCUGGACAGGUCAAGAACUUGAAGAACCUUCAAAUUCUCGAUUUCUAAUGGGAUGGAACCAUUAAUUUGGUUUGAGGCAAUAGCCAAAGUAGUUAGCUGGGUUAGAUGACCUAGAGUGGAGGGGACAUUACCAACAAGGGAGUUAGAAGACAAGUUCAAAAUUUUCAAUUUGCUUAGACGACCAAGAGUUGGAGGGAUAUGUCCCGUAAGGUGAUUAUUAGAUAGAUCCAGGUGGACGAGAUUCCUCAAUCUCCCCAUCUCUGAAGGGAUAAUUCCUGUUGUGCAUGUGAUUUAUGAAAAACGAGAUCAGUAUUCACUAUCCUCAUAGCAACAAAAAAAAAUGCAAAAUUUAUAUGGAGAGAGAGUCAUACUCAAGUGCGGACGGCACACACUUCUUCAGCGUUGUAAAAGCAAACGCCCGCACUAAGCAUGAGCACGAUUUUAUAAAAAAUAUAAUAUGUUACAGUGAAGUUUGGCAGCUUACCGGUAAGAUUGUUGGAGGUCAGUUCAAGAGUUCGGAUUGUUGAAAGAACAGUAAUUUCAGAUGGAAUGCUCCCAGAGAGAAGAUAAUUUGAACGAAUUUUGAAACUUCUGAGGUUGGGAAAGCAAGAGAAUUUGAAACGACCAAGCUCUCCUGUGAUGUUAUCAUUUUCAUACCAGAGUAAGCUGACCCCGAUUACGCUUACCGCUGAAUUGCAACUGAUGCCAGUCCACUUACAAUGAUCGGACGUGUAGUUGCCCGUCGUCGCCCAAUUGUUGACCCACCAGCCGGUAGCAAGUAAAGCUUCCCUUUCUAACAGUAUGGGUGACGACAACAAUCCUGCAGCUGAUGUCGUUACAGAUAUUGUCGUAUCACUUAUAGCACCAACAUUUAUUAAAAUUAUAAUGACCACCAGUCUCGAAACAGAGGACGCUGAUGCCAUGUUUAUGGUGGUUUUCUGUUGAUUGAGCUACAUUUGAUUCUCAGCAAAGCGUUUAUAUAAGAAUCAAUUGUUUUGCAAGCUCCCAGUGUUAACUUCCAAUACGCGUUUUCAAAUAGUGUGAGUCAAUGUCUUCUCUGGAUGGAUUCAAUCAUGGAGAUAUAACCUUAUCGGCUUGUAUUUGUGAGGUGUAGAUCUAUUUGAACAACUUUGCAGAAACAUGAGAUAAUAUGGACAAUAGUAGAAAUAAUUAAUAGCAUUAUUAGUAGUAUAAGAUAUUAAGUAUUACCCAAAAUAAGAAAAGGAAAAAAGUUCAAAGAAAAGAAUUGUUAUAAAUAAUGGCUCAAAUAGGAAAAUAAACAAGACUAAUCAUAUCUUUUGUAACAUACAUACCAUAGCUCAUGGGCUAACUAACAUUUUUUUUUUUUAACCCUAAACAUCAUAAAUGAAAGAAGAUGAAAUUUUAAUUACCGCUCAAUUUUUCUGCACGCAACCAAAUUUAAAAAAAAAGAAAAAAGAAAGUGUUAGAAAAAUAAUGCGCAAGUAGCUACUUGAGGCAUGAUUUUGAAUGAGACCUUUUUGGUAUAAGUGAAAAUUCAGAAAUUGUUUCGCAUAUUCCUCUAUGAGUACUUCGGAAUGUUAUCUAUACAAUCAAAAUGAUCCUCAAGUGAAUGAGAAAUUGUUACUCAAAGUGCACUCAUGAAUUUGAAAAAUUAAAGGAAAAUACAUUUGUCCCACAUUGGAAAGAUUUAUACAUAAUUACUAGAUGAACGGUAAGCUACUAUUAGCAAAGGGGCGUUCCUUGUGCACAGUCACGGGAGUGCAAAAUUUAACCACCCCAAUUAGCUUAACCAGUGUUCAUAUUGGGGGUGUUUACCCGACCCUUAGUUGGGGUUAGCUAAUGUGGCAACUUAGUUUGCCUUUUUUUUUUUUUUGCUCUUUGUAAUAAUAAUAAUAACAAAUUAAUAUAAUUUUUUAAUUUAAUAUUAUAUUACAUAAUAUUAAAUUAUGUUUUAAUUUUUAUUAUUUUAAAUAUAUAACUAAACAAUGUAUUAUUUAAUUGUAUUAUUUUAAUUAAUAUAUAAAAUUAUAUUAAUUAAUCUUUAAUAAGUUAAUAUAAUUAGUAAUAAAUACUUAAAUAAUAUAAUAUUACAUUAUUAAUUAUAGUACAAUAAUUAAUUUAGCUAUUUUUAAAUAAUUUAAUAUAACUAACAAUAAAUAUUUAAAUUUGAAUAAAUUUGAAUAAUAUUAAUUGAAAAUUAAUAAUAUAAAUAAUUACUGGAUUAUUUAGCUCAAUUUAUUUUCUUAGUGAAUAUGUCAUAACAAUUGUAUCACUUUAUUAUUCUAUAAUUAUCUUGUAAUAUGUAUAAAUUUUUAUUCUAUCAUCCUCAAAUGAUUUUUGAAUUAAUCUUGAAGAUUUUAACUAUUUAUUUAUGUUGUUAAAUUAUUUAGUGAUUAUUUGAUUAAAUUAUUUACUUCGAUCUUUAUUUCACAAGUUAUAUAUUUAGAAAAUACUGAAAAAUACACAUCCAAAAAUUUAAGACUAUAAGCCUCGGAAAAAUUAUGACAUUUCAAUAUAUAUUUUUAAUAAAAAUGUUAAAUUUCUAAAUUUCUAAAAUUUAAUAAUUUUAUAUUUAUUAUUUUUAAGUACUAAUAAAUAUUAUUUUCUAAAUAUAUAAUUUAAAUUAAUCACAAAAAAAUUAAUACAGUACAGUGUAACGCUAAACAUUAUACAACAUUAUUAUAAUACAAUGCUAAUGCAAUACAACAUAAUACAAUACACCUACAAUAAAAUAAUGCAAUACAACAUAAAAUAGAAUACAGUGUGUCAAAUGCACCAUUGUAUUAUUGUUUCGUUCUCAUGGUAUAAUUGCCGUCCAUACCUGUGCAAAACAUUAAGAGUUAAAAAUAUAUAUUUUUAUGAUUAAUUUUAGAUUUUUUUAAACUUUAAUAAUGCCAUAUUAUUUAAUAUUACAAUUGCCGUUCGAACAUGUGCAAAACAUGAAGACUAAUAUAUAUAUAUAUAUAUAUAUACACACCAUAUUAUUUAAUAUUUAAUUUUUAAGGCAACUUUUACUUUUAAAAAAAAAAUUUAAGGCAACUUUUUUAGUUGAGGGCAGGGAACCCCUACGAUACGUAAUUCCAUAACACGCUUAUCUAAUCACCUUGACUAUAAGACUUCUCCUAGUCAGCAAUUAUUUGGAAAAAAACGUCUUGACAUGUGCUGUGGAAAUUAAAGAAUGAGGUGGACUUACGAAGUCAAGGGGUUUUUCUAGUCUACAGAUUUUAAUUUAUAUGUGUAGAAAAUUAGAAAUAUUCAGUGUCUAAUCUGAUUCUACAUAAAGACUAAUGCCCCAAGAUUGUGAUUGAAAUACCACAAGCAGUUUAUUUCAUAAGUUUAGGUAAAAAUGAGGUUUGAUGGCUUUGUUAAAAGUUGCUUCUUUCGUAAUUUUCUCAUUUUGACUGCAACUUCAAAAAAUAGGCAGGAGAUUAUUUUGAUAAGCAACUUAUUAAAUAAGUUGCUAGAUCUUUUUAAAUGUUCCUAUAAUAAUCUUAAUAUUUUAAGAAAAGAAUAAUUAUAUCUUUCUUUUCUAUAAGCUCUAAUAUAUAAAUAAAACACAGUUUAAACUUAUGUCUAUUUUAGUGAUUAAAUAAUACAAUACAUUCAUAAUCAAAUUUACCAAACACAAGCAAGAUACUUUUUUAAUCAUCAACUUAUUUCAUCCUCACAACAAAAAUAACUUAUUUUAUCAGCCACCGCCAUCCUAAACUUGAUGCUAAGUCACAUUUGGGAUUGCAUUUGAUUGUCAAAUAAUUAAGAGAAAUAGCCAUUAUGGAGAAGAAUAGGGAGAGGUUCGCCUAAAGCAAUAUACCCGUAAGCUUGGCUACUAAUAAACGGAGCAUAUAAGCAUAAACACCUAACUUUUGAGGCAUAUAAGGGAUCUAAAAGUGCGGGAAACGUUCGGAAAAACUUUAAAACCACAGGGUUUUAAAGGCUUAAACUGCAUGGUUUAUGUGUUUUCCUAGAUAUUCCUACACUUUAAAAUUCAAGAUUAAAACAUUUCCAUAUGUGUGUGUGUGUGUGUGUGUGUGGAGGGCAAAUCUUUGACUCUCUCCAGCUUCAAGUACCUAUACGGUAACUCUUAAAUCAAAAGGGAGAAAAUGGUUAACCCAAUCUGAUUGUAUAUGAAUUGAUAUUCACCAUAUGAUUAUUGCAUAAAGAUUGAGCCUUAAGUGCUUUACAUUAAGUAAUACUGAACACCUGUUCUACACAUUUAGACAACUCAGAGUAAAAAUUAUGAAAAUGACAACCAAAUCCAAACUAGCUAGGUGCACUAUUAUUAUUUAUCUUUACUCCAUAAAUAUUAGAAAGAUAGAGGAGAGGAAGAAAAAGAAAAGACUAAUUUUGUAGUCACAAUUUAAUCUUAUGCUCUGAUUUUGAAGCAAAUCUGCAAAAUAUUUGAGGAUCCAAUCAUGAACCAUGUCCACUUCAAUCUUUCGCUGCACUACUAACCAUACUGGGUCAUCUUCUGUUGCUGGCUGUGUGUCUAAGCAAUGGGAACCUACUCCAAUUUACACACUAUUAAUUAUGUUAUCCAAUAAUUUAGUUAAUAAUUGAACACUAAUUUUUUAUUUUAUAGAAAAAUUUAAAUACUGUUUCUUGUUGUCACUGCUAUUAUACUGUCUGAUAUAUCUUCCAGAAUCCUAUAAUCCCCCCCCCCCCAAAAAAAUAGAAGAAACAGAAAAGAUAUAUAAUUAAACAGGUAACUUCGAUAGAAAAGAGUGUACACAAUUCUUAAGCUUAAUUACCCCUCGCUACUAUAGGGAUCACGAAGGCCAUUAGAGAAAAUAAUGUUGCUACCAAAUCUCUUUAAAACCACUCUUAUAUCCUGCAAAUUAAAAAGAAAUAGAAAUCAAACAAAAAUUGAGGUGAACUUUAUAAUUAAAACAGAAAAUGAGAAAUCUUAAAAUAUUAGAAGAAUUAAUUUGGGGAUUAAUCGACACUUACAUUACCACUUUAAUAAGUUGUAAUCCAAUGUGGUCUUGGAACCACUCCAUAAGACUUAUUGCAUGAAUCCAUAUAUUCUGUCAGAUUAAAUGGGUCUGCUUGAGACAUUGUGUCGUUUUUGCCAAUUCCAAUUGGUGAGACCAUUGCACUGCAUGUCUGCAUGAGAAACCCCCCAAUAAUAAAAAAUAAUAAUAAUAAAAUAACAUAAAGAAGAAAACUAUUUUUAAUCAUUCAUAAAUAUAAAGUCUCAUUGCCACAUGUUGUUUAUUUAACGGUCUCAAUAGAACUAUCCAAUGAAAUCAUGUCACUUGUAAUUGCAUACCUGUCAGCCCCAGCUGGAGUCCAAUGUUGCAUCGGAGAAGAAUUCAUCAACAUCAUGGCAAGAAUCCUCCCCUCUUAAAUCAACAAUUCCUGAGAUGAUCCAGUCUAGGGCAUCUGUGUCUUCUAAAGCUCCAUCAAUUGCAUUACAGGCUUUGUUCACUGGGCUUUCCUGAGGAUCAUCAUACUGAGCUGCACCCGUAUACAUAUACUCUAAAUAAUCUUUCAAUUCUUAAACAUCCUUCAGAGGCCUGUAAUCAAAUAAACAAUAACAUAGAAUUAAGUGCCACAAGGUCAUUAAUUUUAUAAAAGAUCUUUCAACAUAUUGUCUUCAAAAUGUUGUUAUAUUUAGUUAGAUUACAAUAAACUUUAUAAGUAUGAAGCUAUUGAUAUUCUCAAAUACAAACGUUCAAAUUUGGCCUCAUUUGAUUAUCAGAGUUGUGCGUGGUUUUGUAGUUUAAAUUUAGAUUCUGCAAAAUAUGGACGUCUGAACCUAAGCACCAGUAUACUAUAUAUGGUAACGCAAAGGCCGUGUAUAAGCCCAAAUCCAGAUUUUUACUUUGUAUAUUACACGUUAAUCGAAAUGUAUAUAUACGCUGAGGAUGACAGAUAAUUAAUUAGACAUAGUACAUUCGAUAACGAUGCUACAAUAACAUUGCAUUAAUUGUAAUUAAGGGAAAAUCGGAUGGAUAUACAAUACAAUACAAUAUACAAUAUGGAUAUACAAUAACAUACAAUAUGAUUCUGAUACAACCCCAAUAUUACAGUUAGACAAGCCCAACUCAGCUAGCUCUAUCAAUACUGAGGAAAAGGCCCAGGCAAACUCAAGUGAGGCUAUCCAAAAUCGACCCCAAGAUAACCUCAAGCCAAGUCGCGUAAGGAAGCCUCCCAAAUGGCUCAAGGAUUACACAUACUGAGCAUAUAUGAGCUGAGGACUCGGUUUCUAACGGCCUUAGCUAUUUAGAGAACAACUUUUUUGUUAUAGAGGGAGGUUGUUAUUUAGUUUUGACAGCUGUGAGCAUAUUCUUGCUGCUAUAAGUAUUUCCAUGGUUGUAUUUGAUGAUAUAUAAAAUUCUGGACCUAGUUUCUUCUUCUUCUCUGAAUUUUUCUCUCUAUUCUAUCUUGCCAUUCACUCAUUUCUUUAAAAUUCUGGGAGCUUGCACUUGCUUGAAAAGUGUGGAAACCUUGCUGUUCGGUGUGUUCACCAGCGGCAUAACAGAUUCAUUACUUGCAGGUUUUGAACUUUAUAGAGAGAAAAGCAAGUCCAUUUUUUCCAGCAGCGACUUUAUCGAUUUCAGCCUAGGACUGUCUGAUGGUCUUGUAGCAGGUCUCGCUGGCUUCCUGCAUCAUUAAUUUUCAAAAUUCAAUGGCUAAAUUUUAACAAGAGAACAUAAUCAUGCUUAUAUAAAAUUUUAAUUAACUAAUUUAUUUCUUACCCGAAAGUCCUUGGUGACAAGAUCAUAAUAUGCGUUUGACGGUGUGAUAUUAUCAAAGUAGAGAAUUGGGGCGGAUGAGGCAACUGCUCCCAAAGCAAUGUGACGAUACUUCAAGCGAAACCAUGCAGCAAGCAUUGUUGAUAACAAACCAACAAACGAGUAACUCUCGAAACCAUAUCACAUCCCAGAUCUGAUAAAAUAGGAUGAAUAGAGAAGAUUAUUUUUAAAUACAUAAUUAUCUUGAACAUAUUUAUUAUUUCUUGAUUUUACGAUCGCCAAGAGUAUUCGUUAGUUGCAAUAUUAAAUAAAUUUGUAUCAUAGUAAUAUUGCUGUAGUCAAUAUCUUGAUCGAUCAAUCGUGAUCUAAAUGAGUAAAAUGAUGUGACAGAUGACACGACAUUAAUCAAAAGAUGUAAGUAAGUUAAUAAUAUUAUAAUUUACUUCCUCCAUAAGAUGCUCCAACAACCAUAAUGGGAGACAUUUCGUCCGAUAAAUUUUUCUGGAUGUGUAAGAGAAUCUUGCAUAAUCAGCCAAAGCUUGAGCAGAGUUGAAAUAUCCACGAAGAGUUGCAUUCUUUAGGGCAUCUUUGCUUGAUACAAAAGGUACUGAUUUUCCAUAGAACCGAUACUGCAUAAAAAAUUGAAUUAAAAAAAAAUCCAUCACAACUUUUCAGUUCAUAUUGUAGAAUAUUCUGAUUAAGAUUUGUCUUUAUUAUUAUUAUUUCGUAUGUGAACUCUAUUUCAAUUAUUAUCAAGCUAGCCUGAUAACAUAUUCUUUACUUACCUCUAUGUAAACUUGUAAGGCUUUAAAUCGAUGAGCAUUAUUAGUAAGCCAUCCAAUGCCACCAAGGUCAUCAUAUCAAGACUACUCUCUUCACCAAGAUAUGCCAGUAUCGGGCGCCGCCAUGGCUCUGCCACCACCCCAAUGCUUGAAGUUCAACGCAUAUCUAUGAGGAAAAGUUAAAUAACUUUGUGGAUUAUAGUUAAAGUGAUCAAGUGUUUGAUAAUAAUAGUAAGUUUCGAGAUCAACAUAGUCACUUUGUGGAUUUUUUUGCUAGGGUUUUGAAAAAUAGUCCUUCCACGAACAGCACCAAGCUUUGGGAUGUUCUUUAAUGGUGAAGUGGUAGCAAAAGCAAAAUUUGUGACGAGAAGAAGAAAAAGGCAUGGAGCCGCCGACCUUUCAUGGCAAAGUUGUAAAUCCUUAAUUAGCAGGAUGAUUAUGUAAAUACAGAAGAAAUAGAGUUAAGAUUAGAUUAUAAAUUCAGCUUCAAAAUCGACGUGUUUGUUAAUAUAUCCUGGAUUUGUUGUUAUCGUAUAAUUUAAUUAAUGUUGGUUUUAGUUUUAUAUUAGUAUGGAUCUUCAUUUUUCAUAAAAUUAUAGUGUGUCGAAUAUAUAGUUAUCGGUUUCGUAAUUAAUAAAAAUUUUUAUUAUUUCUUUCCUAGUAAUUAAUUAUCUUGUGCUUACCAGAAUAUCACUAACCACAACUUCUGCAGAAGCUUCCUCACCUUCGGAUGACAUCAGCGGUGCGUCCAGGAUGUUUGAUCGGAUCAGCUAAAUUAAAAAUUUAUUGUAUAUGUUUGUGUGAAUAUUUACAAAGGAGUGAAAAAAAACUAAUAUAUUGAAUAACGCGACAUCAAGAACUUCGUUCUGAAUGAAAUUUUUAUAUAUAAUUUGCAAAAUAAGCUAAUAAAUAGAAUGACAAUUUACCCUUUUUAACUUGUAGAGACACAACCUUAAAUUCCUUAAUAUGCUGGUUAAUUCAGAUCAUUGAGAUGGAGACAAUUAGACAAACCUUAUUUUAUCAGAGUGAACUGCGAAAGUACUAGCUUUACAAAAGAGACUAAUGACGUAGUGUGAAUGGAAUUAAAAAAUACUAAGGCAGACAAUUCGUCGAACACAUAAUAUUUGCUACAUUGCUACUACCUAAUAAUUUCACAACCAAUUAACAGUCUCCUUUAUUGGAAAAAUCACAUUAAUCAACCAAAUACAUUUCUUGGUUUCUAAGCUCCAAAAUUGAAAUUUCAUGAAAAGGUUUCUGCAUUGGUGUCUUAUUGCGAGCGAUAAAUUCGUUGGACACGAGUUGCAUUGUAGGUCGAGACUUUGGUUGAGAACGCAAGCAUGAAAAUACUACUGUUGAAACAAGAAUGAUAUCCUGCCUAAUCAUUUGAUCCCCCGGAGGCGGGAGGCGUGGGUCCAACAAAUCAAUCAGCUUUAUAUUUUUAUCCAAUGACGAAGAUGACGAUGAGAGGAGCUCUCCUGGAUGCUUUCCCAUUAGUACUUCUAGUGCCACUACUCCGAAGCUAUAAACAUCAGAUUUCUCUGUCACAACCAUGGUGUAGGCACGUUGUAUAGGAAAACGGAAGUCUUUAUUAGUAAUGUUUCCAUAAACAAUAACAAGCACAAUUUGUUCAUGUUUUUUAGCUUCUUUAGCAAGGUAUGACAGAGAAGCAUAUGUUCUAACUGAUAUUCAGUGUAUGUGUGUUUUGAAAGGUAAAGGGAUAGGUAAAGUCUAAAUUCAGUUAUAGCUCCUUAGUUUUUUCAAAAUUCGAACCCAAGUAGCGAGCUAAAUAAAGCUGGUUAAAAACUACUUAGCAGAGUAUAUAUAAAAAUUAAAUAAGAGGAUAACUAAAGAAGCAUAAGAGGAAUAGCUAGAAGAUGACCUGGAGCAAUAUAUCCAUAAGUGCCAGCUAACAGAGUUCGAUUGGAUGAGUCAAAAUUUAACAAUCUAGCAAUACCAAAGUCAGCAACAAAAGCUUCGAAUUCUGAGUUGAGUAGAAUGUUGUUGCUUGAUAUGUCGCGGUGAACAAUUGGUGGUGUGCAGUGAUGAUGCAAGUAUGACAAAGCAUGAGCCAUACCCUUCACAAUGUUCACCCUUUUAGUCCAAUCCAACCCAACAGCUUCCUCAUCUGUGCGUAGAAUACAGAACAAGCUUCCCAUUUCCAUGUACUCAUAGAUCAAGAACAUGCAGUUCUCGUGCAAACAAAAGCCGUAAAGCUUUACAAUAUUUCGAUGCCGUAUUUGGGACAGUAGACGAGCCUCAUUCCGGAAACUCUCGAGGGAAGCUAACUCCUCAGUUUCUGAACGGUGAAGCUUCUUCAAAGCAACCACUUUUCCACUGGGCAGCCGUGCUCUGUAAACGCUGUCGUAGCCUCCGGUUCCAAUGCAGUAUUUGAUAUCGAAAUCCUCAGUGGCUUCAAUCAUGUCUUGAAAUGUAAUUCUACCAUCGUAAUUCCAAAUUGCAAACUCAUCAGCGCACUUGGUAAUUUCUCCUGUCCCAGUUGGUUCAACUUCCUUAUCCCUUCGUCUACGGAUAAUCAAGAUUCCAAAUAUCAAGGCAAGGAAUGCGACCAUAGCAAGAAUAAUUGCAACCAAGCGAGUGGCAAUUGUUUUGUGAUGUGGCGGUGGCGCAUUUGCCAAAGUAGUUGGGAUUUCUCCUCCCAAUUUAUUGCCUGACACAUCUAAGUGUGGCACUUUUCUGACAAAUACAGGGAUUCCACCGGAAAGGUUAUUCAUGGAAAGGUCCACAGUGUCUAUGCGUGGAAAUUCUCCAAGUUGGGAAGGUAUUUUACCAUUAAUGAAGUUACCGCUUAGAUCAAGAUAAUAUAGUUCUUGAAGUUUGCCGAUCUGUGACGGAAUGCUUCCGCUUAACAAGUUGUUUCCCAAUUUUAAUAUCCUCAGCUUUGAGCAAUUCAUGAGUUCUGGAGGAAUUGGGCCAUCAAGUUUAUUGUUGUACAUAUUCAAAGUAGUUAACUGAGUCAAAUGACCCAGAGACGAAGGGAUUGGGCCAACAAGUUUGUUUUGGGACAAGUCUACACUUCUCAACCACUUUAAAUGGCCAAGUGUUGUAGGAAUUGAACCUCCAAUUUCAUUUCUGGACAGGUCAAGAGCUUGAAGAACCUUCAAACUCCCGAUUCCUAAUGGGAUGGAACCAUUCAUUUGGUUUGAGGCAAUAGCCAAAGUAGUUAGCUGGGUUAGAUGACCUACAUUGGAUGGGAUAUUACCGACAAGGGAGUUAAAAGACAAGUUCAAAAUUUUCAAUUUGCUUAGACCACAAAGAGUUGGAGGGAUAUGUCCCAUGAGGUGAUUAUCAGAUAGAUCCAGGUGGACGAGAUUCCUUAAUCGCCUCAUCUCUAAAGGGAUAAUUCCUGUUGUGCAUGUGAUUUAUGAAAAACGAGAUCAGUAUUCACUAUCUUCAUUAAAAAAAAAUUACAUAGAGGGAGAGUCAAGCUCAAGUGCGGACGACUCACACUUCUUUAGUGUUGUAAAAACAGACGCCUGCUUUAAGCAGCAGCGCGAUUUUAUACAUACAUAUAUAUAUAUAUGGUGAAGUUUCACAGCUUACCGGUAAGGCCGUUGUAGGGCAGUUCAAGAGUUUGGAGCAUUGAAAGGGCAGUAAUUUCAGAUGGAAUGCGCCCAGAGAGAACAUAAUUUGUACGAAUUUUGAAAUUUCUGAGGUUCGGAAAGCAAGAGAAUUUGAAACGACCGAGCUCUCCUUUGAUGUUAUCAUUUUCAUACCAGAGUAAGCUGACCCCGAUUACGCUUCCCGCUGAAUUGCAACUGACGCCAGUCCACUUACAAUGAUCGGACGUGUAGUUGCCCGACGUCGCCCAAUUGUUGACCCACCAGCCGGUAGCAAGUAAAGCUUCCCUUUCUAACAGUAUGGGUGACGACAAUAAUCUUGCAGCUGAUGCCGUUACAGAUAUUGUCGUAUCACUUAUAGCACCAACAUUUAUUAAAAUUAAAAUGACCACCAAUCUCGAAACAGUGGAUGCUGCUGCCAUGUUUAUAAUGGUUUUCGGUUGAUUGAGCUGGCUAUUUGAUUCCUUGCAAAGCGUUUAUAUAAGAAUUAAUUGUUUUGCAAGCUCCCGGUGUUAACUUCCAAUACGCGUUUUCAAAUAGUGUGAGUCAAUGUCUUCUCUGGAUGGAUUCAAUCAUGGAGAUAUAACCUUAUCGGCUUGUAUUUGUGAGGUGUAGAUCUAUUUGAACAACUUUGCAGAAACAUGAGAUAAUAUGGACAAUAUUAGAAAUAAUUAAUAGCGCUAUUAAGAUAUUAAAUAUUACCCAAAAUAAUAAAGAAAAAAAAAAGCUCGAAGGAUUGUUGUUGUAAAAUAUGACUCAAAUAGAAAAAUAAACAAGACUAAUCAUAUCUUUGUAUAAAUUUAAGUAUAAAAAAAACUUGUAGGUGUAUUAUUAUAAUAAGCUGUAGAGAAAAGAAUUUGUAGACUUCUGUGAUUUGACAAAAUAAUAAAAUAAUCCCUUUAUUUUUUAAAAUAGUUACAAAACUCCUUUUGCAACAUGCAAACUAUAUGGAAAAUUGGAAAUUCAUGGGCUACCUAAUAUCCCUCUUAUUUUUUUAUUUUUUAUUUUACACCAAAACAUCAUAGACAAAAGAAGAUAAAAAUUUCAUUGCACUCAAUUUUUUUCAUGAAAUCAAACAAGGAAAAGAAGCAAAAAGUGUUGGAAAUAUAGCACAAGUUACUAUUUGAUGCGUGAUUUUGAGUGAGACUUAUCUGUUGUUUCAAAUAUUCCUCCGUAAAUACUUCAGAAUGAUUUUACCUAUAUAAUCAAAAUAACCCUUGGAUAAAUGAGAAAUUGUUACUCAAAGUAAAUUCAUGGAAUUGGAAAAGUAAAGGAAAUUAUAUUUGUCCCACAUGAAAAAGAUAGCAAAGGCAUGAAAGGUUUGUAUAUAAUUACUCAUGUGUGUAUAAGUAAAAUAUAAACCAAGACGCUCUCUCUUCCGUGCCCCAUCCUAAGUACACAAAUUCAAUGUGAUACGAUCCUAUAGUUUCCGUUCAAACCUAUGCACACUUUAAAAAAAGGUUUUUUUUAAUAUAUUUUUUAUGUAUUUUACAUUUUUUUUAAAAUUUAAUAAAUGCCAUAUUAUUUAAAUAUUUAAUUUUAAGGCAUCUUUUUUAAGUUGAGGGCAAGGAACCCCUCCGAUACGUAAUGCCGAAACAUGCUAAUCUAAUCACCUUGACUUUAAAGACUGCUUCCCCUAGUCAGCAAUUAUUUGGAACUUACGUCUUGACAUGUGCUGUGGAAAAUAAAGAAUGAAGUAGACUUAUUGAGUCAAGCUGUUUCUUCAAUCCAGAUAUUUAGUUUAUACGUGUGCAAAUAUUCAAUGCCUAACUUUAUUCUGCACAAAGCCUAAUGUCCUAUUUGGGAUAACGGUUGAAAUACUUAUAAGUUUUGAUAAAAAUGAUGUUUGAUAAAUUUGUUAAAAGUUUAAUUCAUAUUUUCUCCAUUUUGACAAUAACUCUUAAAAUAAGUAUGAGAUUGUCUUUUAUAAGCAACUUAUUAAAUAAAAUGCCAUUUUUUUUAAAGUUUCUAUUAUAACUUUAAUAUUUUAAGAAAAGAAUAAGUGUAUCUUAUUUUUUUAAAAAUCCUAAUAUAUAAGUAAAAGACAAUUUAAACUUAUGUUUAUUUUAAUGAUUAUAUAAUAAAAUAUUAUUUUCGUAAUCAAAUUUACCAAACACUGAGCGAGCUACUUUUAUAAUCAUUAGAUAAUUCCAUUCACAUCGCAGAAGCAGCUUAUUUCAACAGCCACCAAAAUCUUAAACUGAUCCUAAGUCAUGUUCGGAAUUGCAUGGGAUUGUCAAAUAAUUAACAAAAGAAGCUAUUAUGUAGGAGAAUAGGAACAGGUUCACCUGGAGCAAUAUACUCAUAAGCUUGGCUACUAAUAAACGGAGCGUGUAAGGAUAAACACCUAANNNNNNNNNNNNNNNNNNNNNNNNNNNNNNNNNNNNNNNNNNNNNNNNNNNNNNNNNNNNNNNNNNNNNNNNNNNNNNNNNNNNNNNNNNNNNNNNNNNNAUGGUUAAUCCAAUGUGGUUGUGUAUGAAUUGAUAUUCACCGUAUGAUUAUUACAUAAAGAUUGAACCUUUGUACGUGCUUUACAUUAAGUAAAACUGCACACUUGUUCUACACAUUUAGACAACCCAGAUUAAGAAUUAUGAAAAUGAAAUCUACAACUAGCUAGGUGCACUAUUAUUUAUCUUUGCUCCUUAAAUAUUAGAAAGAUAGAGGAGAGGGAGAAAAAGAAAAGACUAAUUUUGUAGUCCAAAUUUAAUCUUAUGCUCUAAUUUUGAAGCAAAUCAGCAGAGUAUUUGAGGAACCAAUCAUGAACCAUGUCCAUUUCAAUCUUUCGCUGCAUUACUAACCAUUCGGGGUCAUCUUCUGUUGCUGGCUGUAUGUCUAAGCAAUGGGAACCUGCUCCAAUUUACACACUAUUAAUUAUGUUAUCCAAUAAUUUAGUUAAUAAUUGAACACUAAUUUUUUAUUUUAUAGAAAACUUUACAUACUGUUUUUUGUUGUCACUGCUAUUAUAUUGUCUGAUAUAUUUUCCAGAACCCUAUAAUCCCAAACAAAGAAAGAAAAAGAAAAAGAAAAAGGUAUAUAAUAAAACGGGUAACUUCGAUAGAAAAGAAUAUCCAAAAUUCUUAAGCUAAAUUACCCAGCGCUGCUACAGGGAUCGCGAUGGCCAUUAGAGAAAAUAAUGUUGCUACCAAAUCUCUUUAAAACCACUCUUAUAUCCUGCAAAUUAAAAAGAAAUAAAAAUCAAACUCAAGAACGAGGUGAAGUUUUUAAUUUAAAAAAGGAAAAAAAAAGAGAAAAUUAAAAGAAUUAAUUUGGGGAUUAAUUGACACUUACAUGACCACCAUAAUAAGUUGUAAUCCAAUGUGGUCUUGGAACCACUCCAAAAGACUUAUUGCAUGAAUCCCUAUAUUCUGUCAGAUAAAAUGGGUCUGCUUGAAACAUUGUUUCGUUUUUGCCAAUUCCAAUUGGUGAGACCAUUUCACUGCAUGUCUACAUGAGAAACCCCCCUAUACUAAUAAUAAUAAUAAUAAUAAUAAGAUAAAAAAGAAAAAUAUUUUUAAUCAUUCAUAAAUAUAUAGUCAUAUAAAUAAAAUUAAGAGAUGUACAUAAAAUAGGUAUUGUUAGGCGAAAGACUAAUUCAUUGCGACAUAUUGUUUAUUUGACGGUCUCAAUAGAACUAUCCAAUGAAAUCAUGUCAUCUGUAAUCGCAUACUUGCCAACCCCAGCUGGAGUCCAAUGUUUCAUCGGAGAAGAAUUCAUCAACAUCAUGGCAAGAAUUCUCCCCUCUUAAAGCAACAAUUCCUGAGAAUAUCCGGCCUAGGGUAUAUGUGCCUUCUGAAUCUCCAUCAAUACCUUCACAAGCUUUGUUCACUGGAUAUUCCUGAGGAUCAUCAUACUGAGCUGCACCUGUAUACAUAAACUCCAAAUAAUCCUUCAAUUCUGAAACAUCCUUCAGAGGCCUGUUACAAAUAAACAAUAACAACAUAAAAUUAAGUGCCUCCAAGAUUAGUGACAUCAUAAAAGAUCCUUCAACAUACCUGUCUAAAAAACUUUGUUAUAUUUAGUCAAAUUACAAUAAACUUUGUAAGUGUGAAGCUAUUGAUAUUCUCAAAUACAAAAUCCAAAUUUGGCCUUAUUUAACAAUCAGAGUUGUACAUAUUGUUUUGCACGUCUGAACCUAAGUACCAAUGUACUAUAUAUGGUAAUGCAUAGGCCGUAUAUGAGGCCAAACCCCAGAUUUUACUAUGUACGUAUAUUACACAUUAACUGAAAUGUAAAUAUACCUUGAGGAUGACAGAUAAUUAAUUGGAUAUAUAUAGACAGUUUUGUAAUGAUACUACAUUAACAUUGCACUGUAAUUGAAGGAAAAUCAGAUGGAUAUAUAUCGGCAGUUAUAAAAGUAAUAUGAUUCAAUUACUUGCAGGUUUUGAACUUUUAAGAGAGAACAGUAAGUCCAUUUUUUUCCAGCAGCGGCUUUAUCGAUUUCAGCCCAGGACUGUUUGAUGGUCUUGUAGCAACUCUCACUAGCUUCCUGCAUCAUUAAUAUUCAAAAUUCAAUAGUUAGAUUUUAACAAGAAAAUAUAAUCAUACAUAUAUAGAAUUUAAUUAAUUAAUAUUAUUUUCUUACCCUAAAAUCCUUGCUGACAAGAUCAUAAUAUGCGUUCGAUGGUGUGAUAUUAUCAAAGUAGAGAAUUGGGGCUGAAGAGGCAACUUCUCCUAAAGCAAUAUGAGGAUACUUCAAGCGAAACCAUGCAGCGAGCACUGAUGAUAACAAUAACAAACCCACACGAGUAACUCUCAAAGAGCAUCUGUUAGUAGGAAUAUAAAAUAAAAUUGUAUCAUAAUAAUUGAGGCGUAAUCCAGAUUUUAGUCAAAUAUUUAAAAUAAGGUGACAGAUGACAUGAUGUCAAUCAAAAGAUGUAAGUAAGUUAAUAAUAUUGUAACUUACUUCCUCCAUAAGAUGCUCCGACAACGAUAAUGGGAGACAUUUCGGCCGAUAAAGUUUUCUUGAUGUGUAAGAGAAUCUCCGCAUAAUCAGCCAAAGGCUUGAGCAGAGUUGAAAUAUCCACGAAGAGUUGCAUUCUGUAGGGCAUCGUUACUUGAUACAAAAGGCACCGAUUUUCCACAGAACUGAUGCUGAACAAAAAAUCAAAUUAGAAAAAAAAUAUAUAUCACAACUUUUUAGUUGAUAUUAUAGAUUAAAUUUAUCUUUAUUAUUAUUGUUUGGCGUUCGAACUCUGUUUCAAUUAUUAUCAAAUUCUUUACUUACCUCUAUGUAAACUUGUAAGCCUUUAAAUCGAUGAGCAUUAUCAGUAACCUGGAUUUGUAUGUGAUUAGGAGGUCAUUGCUUAGAGAUUCCCAUGUCCACUCUUAGUGCCAAAAGACUUGGUCUUGAUGCACAGGUGACAAGUUUGUUGGGGAGUACAUUUGGACUCACUAUCUUCAUUUAAUUCCAAACAUCUUAGCAUUUGGUUAUUUAUGUUGGUCAAAGUUCGCAAGUUCAGUUUGCUUGGUCAACUCAAGUAGACGAGAGAGUUGCGGCUUUAAAAUUUGGCAGUGAGGACAUGUGAGCUUUUUUGAACGAAUGUGAGUCUGAAACCUUUUUUGAACGAAAACACGGAGCAAAUGUGAGCUUCUCGUAGGCUAAGGUUCCAAGAGAGGUUACAUAUGUUUACCAUGAAGUGUCAUAUGAACUUGUACAGAUUGAUUUCUGAUGUUUCUUUUUCCCGGUAAUUUCUUAUUUUAAAUCUUAUUGCUUGUCUUUGUGUAUGUGCGUUGGGCUGGAGGCUCCAUUGAAAUGGUGUUUCCUCAAAUUAUGAAUUAUAACGCUCGUAAGUGUUAAUAUCAUCUCUUCUUCUUGUCCAGCUUAUUAAGAAAGUCUUUCAGAAUCCUUUUCAAACAUAUUCCUUUUUUUUUCUGAUUUUUGGAAGGAAAGAUUUUCCUAGUUCAGUGCUGGAAAUGUUGUUAAUUAACAAGGAUUUUGGUUGUAUUAACUAUUUAAAUGUACUUCUACAUUCCUACCUUUUUUGAGAAUUCACAAUUUAAAAUAAAAUGUGUGCAUUAGUAUUUUGUAAACAAAUUCUUUCAUCUGUACUACAAUAGCAAAUGAUGGAGCUCACUGGGAAUUUUUUUCAUUUUUACCAUUGAUGUGAUAACUAAUAUAAGGCAUAAUGGUUUCUGUAUCAUUUCCAGCCUCAGCCUGAUUCCAAUACUUGUGGAUCAAAGCAGAAAGCUGCCACACCACCUGCAGGUUCUGGAGAGCUUCCUUCAACGAGUUCAAGCAAAACCAAGGAGUGGAGUUGUGCCCUCUGUCAGGUCAAUGCUACUACCGAGAGAGAUCUAGACGUGCAUCUCCAAGGUAAGAAGCACAAGGCCAAGGAAAAAGUACUUAGAGAUUUGAAGAUGUGCAUUAACUCCACUUCAAAAAAAUAUACGGAAAGCAGAGAUAGUGCUGACCAAGAAAUGAAGUCUAAUGUAGAAAAGGAAUCACUUAAAGGUAAUAAAACUGUUGUUGGUUUAGACCAGAAAGUGGAGGAAGGUCAAACCCUGCAGGUUAAGCCCAAUUCCAAUCUUUGUGGAUCAAAUCAGAAAGCUACCGCACCACCUGCAGGUUCUGGAGAGCUUCCUUCGGCGAAUUCUAACAAACCCAAGGAGUGGAGUUGUGCCCUCUGUCGGAUCAGUGCUACUACCAAGAGAGGUCUAGAUGAGCAUCUUCAAGGUAGGAAGCACAAGGCCAAGGUUUCAGGACUACUUAGAGAUAAGAAAAUGUGCAGUAACUCCACUUCAUCCACGUCAGAAAAAUCUACUGAAAGCAGAGAUGGUGUUGGCCAAGAAAUGAACACUAAAGUACAAGAGGAAUCAGUUAAAGCUAAAAAAACUGUUGUUGGCCUAGACCGGAAAGGGGAGGUUGGUGUAGAUGAGCAUCCUCAAGGUAAGAAGCAGAAGGCCAAGGAAGAACUACUUGGAGCUCAGAAGUGGAUAAAAAAAUCUACAGAAAGCAGAGAUAGUGUGAUACAACCUGGCCAAUUGUUGUGAAUCAGAUCGAGCACAAUGAGACAGCAAGGGAAGAGACCCAGCCUGCAGAAAUGGAAGAAGUCCAACCCGUGAAUGAGACACAAGCUAGAGAGCAGCUCAAGACAGGUUCAGCUCGCGCGAGAAAGAAACCAGGAUGGCUCAAAGACUUUGUCAUUUGAGGAAUGUUCGAGAAUGCUUGAGAGAUUAUAAUAACGAAUAUUGUUUUGUUUUCAAUUAUUAUUUUGUUGUUAUCAAUUUUAUUCUAUUUUAGUUAGUUAAGGGUGCGUGGCUGUUUUUGGGAGAGAGAAUAUAUUGUACUGUCAAAGGGACCCGUGAGGGAUAUCAAAAAGGAAUAUAUCAUUUUGUCUUUUUUCAGCUUCGUCUUCUUUCUCUUCUCUGCAAUUCCCCUGUCCCUUUUCUCUUUCUGCAAAUUCUUUUCCCCACAGAUUGGAGCCUGCACUCGCUCAAAGAGUGUCGUAUCAACUGGUGCUUUCAUUUCAUCUCUUCACACACAAAAAAAAAAAAACAAAUGUCUCUCACAGAACCAACGACUGAUUCAGCAGUUCUCUCCACCAUGAAAACGCUCAUUGAAAAUCAAACGCUUGCUGUUCAUCAGACCUUACAACAAUAUAUGUCCACGGUGGAUUCUCGAUUUGAGGAGCUACGUUCCCAAAUCAAUGGUUCUGUCGGAGCGUCAGUGGGUUCUUCCCGCCCAAUGGCACCGGAACCAGCGUCUUCGACUGUACUGUCAGGUGUUUCGGAUAUCUCUCCUCUGUUGCGUUCUAUGAAAAUGGAUGUCCCAAAAUUUGAUGGCACUGAUCCGAAUGGUUGGGAUUUUCGAAUCAAUGAGUUCUUUGAUUUUCACGGCACCCCUGACCAGUUACGCCUUCGUAUUGUAUCUUUUCACAUGGAGGGAAAAGCAGCAGCAUGGUAUCAAUGGAUGAAGGCCAACAACUUGCUGAGCACUUGGCAGAAUUUUUUACUCAAUCUUAAGCAAAGAUUUGGUACAUCCAUGUAUGAAGAUCAUCAAGGUAACCUCUCCAAGCUCUCCCAAACGUCGACUGUUGCUGAUUUUCAGUCUGCCUUUGAGGAUUUGAUGAACAAGGUCACGAGCAUCUCCGAGCCAUUGUUGGUUAGUUUCUUUAUCACGGGCUUAAAACCCGAUAUCAGACGAGAAUUAUUAUUUGCAAGACCCACAUCUCUCAUGGAGGCUUUUGCUUUAGCCAAAGCUUAUGAGGCACGGUCGGAAGAAAUCAAGACCUCUAGCCAUUCUUGGACAAAGUGGACACCCUCAUCUACUCACACCCACCAAUCCACCAUUACUGCCUCCCCACAACCUGCAUCAUAUAAAACCCCAACAACAACUCCUCUUCCUAGUUUUUCAGCCACUAAACAGCCACCUCAACCCCCAUUAUUGCCUACUCCCACCUUGCCCAUUCGUCGAUUAACUCCAGCCGAAUUAAGAGAGAAAAGAGAAAAAGGGCUCUGUUACAACUGCGACCAAAAAUAUAGCGCCACACAUCGCUGUUGUAGCAAGUUUUUGUUAUUAAUGGGUAUGGAUGAUGAAGAUGAUGAGCCAAGUAAGGACGCUUUUAGUCAUGCACAACCAGAUGAAGUAGUCACAGCGGACAUAUCUAGUUUGAAUGCCUUGGCUGGGCAAACUAAUCCACGAUCUUUAAGGGUGCUGGGCACCGUUGCCAGCUAUCAGUUUCAGGUGUUAAUUGACAGUGGCAGUACCCACAAUUUCCUUAAGCCACCAUUGGCUGAACGCCUUGGCCUUUCCGUUCAAGCUAUACCUCCUUUUCGAGUCUACAUUGGCAAUGGCGAUUUUCUUACUUGUCGAUUUCUCUGUCCUAAAGUGCCUAUUAAUAUGCAGGGGCAUGAAUUUCUUUUGGAUUUAUUCCUUUUGCCAAUCGAAGGCCCUGAUGCUGUCCUUGGGAUUCAAUGGUUACAAAGCUUGGGAAGAAUUUCUACGGAUUACUCCGAGAUGACGAUGGAGUUUCAAUGGGAGGGAAAAUCUAUCAUUUUACGGGGAGACCCAAUUCCAAACCCGAAUUUUAUCUCUUUUAACCAGUUUCAUGCCUUGUUAUCUAACUCCAAAAUCGACAGCUUAUUUGAACUUCAUUCUUUACCAACUGAGCCAUCAGCCACUCACACAUCUACCAACACAUUGCCGGAUAAUGACUUCGAAUUUCUGAGGUCGUUGCCUAAACCAAUUACUACUCUCUUAAAAAAAUUUAAGGCAUUAUUUGAUCCACCCACUGGUCUUCCCCCUCAACGGCUAUUUGAUCACAAAAUACACCUCAUUCCCAAUUCCAAACCAGUCAACGUUCGCCCCUAUCGGUAUCCUUAUUUUCAGAAAACCGAAAUGGAGAAAUUGGUGAGAGAAAUGUUAAAUCAAGGCAUCAUAAAACCCAGCCAAAGCCCGUUUUCUUCACCGGUAAUGCUAGUAAAGAAAAAGGAUGGCUCAUACAGAUUCUGUGUGGAUUACCGCGCUGUGAAUGCAGUGACGGUGAAGGACAAAUUUCCCAUCCCCACCAUUGAUGAACUAUUUGACGAACUUGGCGGUGCUAGGAUUUUCAGCAAACUUGAUCUAAGAGCCGGUUAUCACCAGAUAAGAGUUCACAAGAGGGAUACUUAUAAAACAGCGUUUCGCACGCAUGAUGGACACUAUGAGUUUCUUGUUAUGCCGUUCGGUUUGACCAACGCGCCGUCCACUUUUCAAGCAACAAUGAACCAACUAUUCGCUUCCUUUUUACGUAAAUUUGUUAUUGUCUUUUUUGAUGAUAUCUUGGUCUAUAGUGCAUCAUUGGCUGAACAUGUGCAUCAUUUGGAGCAGGUCAUGAGUUGUUUAUACACAUCUCAAUUUUAUGUCAAAUUCUCCAAUUGUUUAUUUUGUCAGGAAUCAAUUGAUUAUUUGGGCCAUAUUGUGUCGACUCGAGGAGUGCAUGCUGAUCCGCAAAAGAUCACAGCCAUGGUAGAUUGGCCCUUGCCUAAAUCGGUGAAGCAACUGAGAGGGUUCUUGGGGCUGACAGGGUACUACCGACGUUUUAUUCAAGGCUAUGCAACCAUCGCAGCUCCUCUCACUGAGUUGCUUUGUAAGGAGGUUUUUCAUUGGAACCUGGCAGCUACUCAAGCUUUUCAAGCAUUAAAGAAGGCUCUUGUGGAAGCCCCUGUACUACACUUGCCGAAUUUUGCCUUGGAGUUUGUCAUUGAGACCGAUGCUUCUAAUGUCGGGAUCGGUGCUAUGCUAAUGCAAGCCGGGCAUCCGCUAUCUUAUUUUAGCAAAAAGUUGGGUCCUCGAAUGCGUGCAUCCUCAACAUAUUUGAAGGAAUUAUAUGCUAUUGUAGCUGCAGUUCAAAAAUGGCGUCAAUACCUCCUUGGCAGAUUUUUCCUUAUACGAACUGACCAUAAAAGCAUAAAGGAAUUGUUUCAACAAGUUAUUCACACCCCAGAGCAGCAAUUUUACAUUCGUAAGUUGAUGGGAUAUCAAUUCAGAAUCGAUUAUAAAGCUGGUACCUUCAAUAAAGCUGCUGAUGCUUUAUCGCGAAUUCAUAGGGACAACGUGACUGAAGAACCCAAACCAACAACUCUUUGUUUGUCGUUUGUAAGCCAACCUUCUAGUGAACUAUUGACAAAUCUGCACAAGGAAAAUUGCUCUCUUCCUGAUAUGAAACAACUCCAUCAGAGGUAUGCAGCCGGUUCACUUUCUUCUGCCUUCUCAGUUCAAGAAGGGUUCCUGCUAUUUCAACAUCGAUAUUACCUCAGCCCCAACUCAUCAUUAAAAGCCGUGCUACUCAAAGAGUUUCACGAGACACCUAUGGCAGGCCAUGCUGGUAUUAAAUAGACAUUGGUACGUCUUUCAUCGACUUUCUUUUGGCCUAAGAUGAGGGAAGAUGUUGAGCAACAUGUAGCUGCUUGCCUUGUUUGCCAGCAAAUUAAAUACUCAACUCAAGCGCCGGCGGGUCUAUUACAACCCUUGCCUGUCCCUUCAUUAGUUUGGGAUGAGUUAACCAUGGAUUUCAUUACAGGGCUGCCACUUUCGAGAGGAUUUGAAGCAAUUCUAGUUGUUGUGGAUCGUUUAUCAAAGUCAGCUCACUUUGGAGCCUUGCCUUCUCAAUUUACUGCCAUCAAAACAGCAGCUUUAUUUGCUGACAUGGUUGUAAAAUUACAUGGAUUUCCUAGCUCUAUAAUUUCAGAUCGUGAUCCUAUAUUCAUGAGCAACUUUUGGCAGAAAUUGUUUGAUUUAAAUGGUACACAGUUACGGCACAGCACGGCUUACCACCCCCAAAGGGAUGGUCAAUCCGAAGUAGUUAAUCGAGGGCUUGAGCAAUAUUUACGAGCCUUCUCACAAGAUAAGCCACAGACAUGGUCUUCAUUUUUAGGCUGGGCUGAAUUUUGCUACAAUACCAGUUAUCACAGCAGCUUGCGAAUGACUCCCUUUCAAGCCCUUUAUGGUCGUUUUCCUCCCACAAUUCCAAGUUACUCAAGGGGCUCUACUUCAAUCCAAGCUUUAGAAGACAUGUUAAUUGAGAGGGAUGCCAUGCUUUGCUCAUUGAAAGAGAACUUACGACAAGCUCAGCAUCGAAUGGCUCAAAAGGCUAAUUUACAUCGCCGAGAAACUCAAUUGCAGGUAGGUGAUAAAGUGUUGGUGCACCUUCAGCCAUAUCGCCAGACAUCAGUUGCUAAGCGCUCAUCUCAUAAGCUGGCAAGGUGCUAUUAUGGACCAUUCACAGUGGUAGAGCGUAUUGGACCCGUUGCUUACAAGUUAGAGUUACCCACAAAUUGUAGAAUUCACCCGGUGUUCCAUAUUUCCUUACUAAAACCUUAUGUGGGAAACUCCCCCAUUGAUGUUUAUUCACUGCCUCCAGGAAGUGUGGAUAACAAGCCCUUGUCAUCACCAAUUGCAGUAUGUGCUGAGCGAAAGAUACUUCGACAAGGCAAAGAAAUUCCACAAAUUUUGGUGCAAUGGUCUGAUAGCUCACCAGAAAAUUCAACUUGGGAGGACUUUGAGGAAUUUCGUAAACUCUACCCUGCACUACACCGUGAGGACAAGGUAAGCUUUCAAGGAAUGGGGAAUGAUACAACCUGGCCAAUUGUUGUGAAUCAGAUCGAGCACAAUGAGACAGCAAGGGAAGAGACCCAGCCUGCAGAAAUGGAAGAAGUCCAACCCGUGAAUGAGACACAAGCUAGAGAGCAGCUCAAGACAGGUUCAGCUCGCGCGAGAAAGAAACCAGGAUGGCUCAAAGACUUUGUCAUUUGAGGAAUGUUCGAGAAUGCUUGAGAGAUUAUAAUAACGAAUAUUGUUUUGUUUUCAAUUAUUAUUUUGUUGUUAUCAAUUUUAUUCUAUUUUAGUUAGUUAAGGGUGCAUGGCUGUUUUUGGGAGAGAGAAUAUAUUGUACUGUCAAAGGGACCCAUGAGGGAUAUCAAAAAAGAAUAUAUCAUUUUGUCUUUUUUCAGCUUCGUCUUCUUUCUCUUCUCUGCAAUUCCCCUGUCCCUUUUCUCUUUCUGCAAAUUCUUUUCCCCACAGAUUGGAGCCUGCACUCGCUUAAAGAGUGUCGUAUCACAGUGCUGGCCAAGAAAUGAAGAAUAAAGCAACAUAGGAAUCAGUUAAAGCUAAUAGAACUGUUGUUGGUUUAGACCAGAAAGAGGAGGGUUGUCAAGCCCAGCAGGUUAAACCAUAUCCCAAUCUUUGUGGAUCAAAACAGGAAGCUUCCACACUACCAGCAGGUUCUGGAGAGCUCAUGUUGACGAGUUCAAAGAAACCCCAUGGAUUGGAGUUGUGCCCUCUGUCAGGUCAGUACUACUAGCAAGAGAGAUCUAGAUGAGCAUCUUCACGGCAAGAAGCACAAGGCCAGGAAGAAGGACUACUUGGAGAUGAGAAGAUGUGCAGUAACUCCACUUCAAAAAACUCUACUGAGCAGAGAUAGUGCUGGCCAGGAAAUUAAGGCUACUCUAGAAGAGGAAUCAGUUAAACCUAAUAAAAAUGUCGUUGAUUUAGACCAGAAAGUGGACUGUGGUCAAGAUGAGCAUCUUAAACGGAGCUAAUUGGAGCUCAGAAGAUGUGCACUACCUCAUCUUCAACAAUGUCAAGGCUGCUCAUUAUUCAAGCAGCUUGGUGAAGCCACGUCAGCAGAAGGUUGUUAGUGAAGAAUAACAGCUCAGCGUGAUUAGUCAAGUGUUAGCGAUCCAGCUCAUAAAAGUUAGUUAGUUAGUUAGUGAGUUACUAAGCAAUUCUCACGUGUAAGGAAUAAUAUAAAUACUUGUACUGAUUUGUAAAAGUUCUUAUGAAUCGAAUCUUAUCCAAUACCAGUAUUGAGAAUUUUCUCUGUGAUUUUCUAUUCAACCAAACAGCACAUCUCUGUUUUCUUUCAAACAACAUCAAAAGAAUCUGGAAAGACAAUUAAGCUUACCGAAAGUAGAGAUAGCUCCAGCCAAGAAAUCAAAGCCUAAACAGAAUCAGUUAAAGCUAUUAAAACUGUUGUGGGUUUUGACCAGAAUGUGGGGGGCGAAGAAGAUUCAGAGAACAAAAAUGAGGAGCUGCCAAAGAAGAAGGCGUUGAAUACAAUCACUCAGAAGACAACAAAUGGAAUACCAACUGGAGGGACGAUGAGGAGAAAACUUCCCCUUAGAGAGAACUUCGAAUUCUGGUGUGAAGUUUUUCAGGUUGGUACUCACUCCGCUGUUGUGAUGGAGGGUCAUAAAAGGGGGAAGAAACACAUGGCUCGGUCUAAUGGAUCCAGGAAAAAUAAUGAGGCUGUCCCCCUCACUACCCCCACUACAAUUGUGACACCAUCAGAGCCUACUGAGAAUGUUGAAGAUGAAGAUGCGGUGGCCCAAGAAUGAAAUGAAGAAACCGCAGAGAGUGUCAUUGAGAAGGCUGAAGAUGAAGAGGUGGUGGUCUAUAGAGGCAGAUAAAGUGAGCCUGAUGCAGCAGACUCCUUAUUAUGCUGAAGGUAAAGCUCUUAACUUUUAUUUUUCUCUUGCGCUCCAUUUUGAAUGUCUUAAAUUUCAAUGAACCAGCAGCGUGUUACUUUAUCAUUUUAAAACUCAGAAAUUACAAUAAUAAAUUUAAGUUCAUUCUUCCAUCUCGUCAUAUAUAGAUUUGAAGGUACUGAAUGAUGAAGCCUGUAAAUUCAAGCAACAAUACUGUAAUGGGGAUCAUGUGUUGUUCUCUACUCUCCAGUCGUUGGUAAAAAGCUCAAAAAAUGAAAACCAGACACUGUUAGAUCAACCAUUUGAAAGUGCUUCAUAUAUGCAUGAUUAUGACAUUGGACUCUUCGGCCCAAUGCAAAUUUUUCUUGAUCAUGACCUGACGUUAGUUUAUCUUGUGCUGGCAGGUAGUUGGUGGGAUAUCACUAACCACAACUUAUGCAGAAGCUUCCUAACAUCAGCCGUGGGUCCAGGAUGUUUGAUCGGAUCGGCUAAAUUAAAAUUUUUUUGUAUAUGUUUGUGUGAAUAUUUACAAAGGAGUGAAAAAACUAAUAUAUAUUAAAUAACGCGACAUUAAGAACCUCGUUCUGAAUAAAGUUUAUGUAUAUAAUUUGUAAAAUAAACUAAUAAUUAAAAUAACAAUUUACCCUUUUAACUCGUACAGAUACAACCGUAAAUUCCUUAUUUAAUUCAGCUCAUUCAGAGGGAGACAAUUAGACAAAACUUAUUUUAUCAGAGUGAACUGCGAAAGUACUAGCUUAACCAGAGAGAUUAAUGUCGUAGUUUGCACAUUUGUUUAAUUGCAAUUCAACAUAUAUAGGAAGUGAACGUGAAAAUAGAAUUAAUAAUACAUUGCAAGUACCUAAUAAUUUCAGAACCAAUUAACAGUCACCUUUAUUGGAAAAAUCCAUUAUGAUUAGAAGCAAUCCCAUCACAUGCAUGAACAGUUAAAUAUACGCAUCCAUAAUUAGAUAUCACAUUAAUCAACCAAAUACAUUUCUUGGUUUCUAAGCUCCAAAAUUGAAAUUUCAUGAAAAGGUUUCUGCAUCAGUGCCUUAUUGCGAGCGAUAAAUUCGUUGGACACGAGUUGCAUUGUAGGUCGAGACUUUGGUUGAGAACGCAAGCAUGAAAAUGCUACUGUUGAAACAAGAAUGACAUCCUGCCUAAUCUUUUGAUCCACCGGAGGUGAGAGGCGGGGGUCCAGCAAAUCAAUUAGCUUAAUAUUUUUAUCCAAUGACCAAGAGGACGAUGAGAGGAUCUCUUCUGGAUGCUUUCCCAUUAGUACUUCUAGUGCCACCACUCCAAAGCUAUAAACAUCAGAUUUCUCCGUCACAACCAUGGUGUAGGCAAGUUCUGUAUGAAAACAGAAGCCUUUAUUAGUGAUGUUUCCUAAAUAAUAACAAGAGCAAUUUGUUUAUAUCUUCGAGCAUCUGCAGCAAGGUAUGACAGAGAACCAUAUGUUUUUAACUGAUAUUUAAAGUGUAUUUUUUUUAAAAUUAAAAAAAAAAAGUGAAACUGGUAGGCAAAGUUUAAAUUCACUUUUCCAGCUCUUUACCUAUUCAAAAAUUUGAACCUAAGUAGCUAAUUAAAUAAAACUGCUUAAAAAUUACUUAACAGAGUGUAUAUAAAAAUUAAUUAAAAGAAUAAUUAAAGAAGCAGAAGAAGAAUAGCUAAAAGAUUACCUGGAGCAAUAUAUCCAUAAGUGCCAGCCAAUAGAGUUCGAUUGGAUGAGUCAAAAUUUAACAAUCUAGCACCGCCAAAGUCAGCAACAAAUGCUUCUAAUUCUGAGUUGAGUAGAACGUUGUUGCUUGAUAUGUCGCGGUGAACAAUUGGUGGUGUGCAGUAUGAUGCAAGUAUGACAAAGCAUGACACAUGCCCUUCACAACGUUCACCCUUUUAGCCCAAUCCAACCCCACAGCUUCCUCAUCUGUGCGCAGAACACAGAACAAGCUUCCCAUUUCCAUGUACUCAUAGAUUAAGAACAUGCAUUUCCUGUGCAAACAAAACCCGUAAAGCUUUACGAUAUUUCGAUGUCGUAUUUGGGACAGUAGACGAGCCUUAUUCCGAAAACUCUCGAGGGAAGUUAACUCCUCAGUUUCUGAACAGUGAAGCUUCUUCAAAGCAACUACUUUUCCACUGGGCAGUCGUGCUCGGUAAACGCUGCCAUAGCCCCCGGUUCCAAUGCAGUAUUUGAUAUGGAAAUCCUCAGUAGCUUCAAUUAUGUCUUGAAAUGUAAUUCUACCAUCGUAAUUCCAAAUUGCAAACUCAUCAGCGCACUUGGUAAUUUCUCCUGUCUCAGCUGGUUCAACUUUCUUAUCCCUUCGUGCACGGAUAAUCAAGAUUCCAAAUAUCAAGGCAAGUAAUGCGACCAUGGCAAGAAUAAUUGGAACCAAGCGAGUGGCAAUCUUUUUGUGAUGUGGUGGUGGCCCAUUUGCCGAAGUACUUGGGAUUUCUCCCUCCAAAUUGUUGCCUAACACAUCUAAGUGUGGCACUUUUCUGACUGAUUUAGGGAUACUACCGGAAAGGUUAUUCAUGGAAAGGUCCACGGUAUCUAUGCUUGGAAUUGCUCCAAGCUCAGAAAGUAUUUUACCAUUAAUGAAGUUAUGGCUCAGAUCAAGAUAAUAUAGUUCUUGAAGUUUUCCGAUCUCUGACGGGAUGCUUCCCCUUAACAAGUUGUUUCCCAAUUCUAAUUCCAUCAGCUUUGAGCAAUUCAUGAGUUCUGGAGGAAUUGGACCAUCAAGUUUGUUGUCGUACAGUUUGACAGCUUCAACACGUUUCAAGUUCCCAAUUUCUAAUGGGAUGGAACCAUUGAUUUGGUUUGAGUACAUAUUCAAAGUAUUUAGCUGAGUCAAAUGACCCACAGACGAAGGGAUUGGACCAACAAGUUUGUUUUCGGACAAGUCUAAAAUUCUUAUCCUGUUUAAAUGACCAAGUGUUGAAGGAAUAGGUCCAGUUAGAUUGUUGUAAUGCAGGGACAGAGACGUCAAGUUUACUAAACUAGCUAUGGUCGAAGGAAUUGGACCUUAAAGUUUGUUGAAGCAUAGGUCAAGAACUUGAAGAAAGUUCAAAUUCCCGAUUUCUAAUGGGAUGGAACCAUUGAUUAGGUUUGAGCGCAUAUUCAAAGUGGUUAGCUGAGUCAAAUGACCCAGAGAUGAAGGGAUUGGACCAACAAGUUUGUUUUGGGACAAGUCUAAGCUUUUCAACCUCUUUAAAUGGCCAAAUGUUGAAGGAAUUGAACCUCUAAUUUCAUUUCCAGACAAGUCAAGAACUUGAAGAAAGUUCAAAUUCCCGAUUUCUAAUGGGAUGGAAACAUUAAUAUGGUUUGAGGCAAUAGCCAAAGUAGUUAGCUGGGUUAGAUGACCUAGAGUGGAGGGGAUAUUACCAACAAGGGAGUUAGAAGACAAGUGCAAAUUUUCCAAUUUGCUUAGACGACCAAGAGUUGGAGGGAUAUAUCCCCAGAGGUAAUUAUCAGAUAGAUCCAGGUGGACAAGAUUCCUCAAUCUCCCCAUCUCUAAAAGGAUAAUUCCUAUUGUGCAUGUGAUUUAUGAAAAACGAGAUCAAUAUUCACUAUCUUCAUUAAAAAAAAUAUUACAUAGAGGGAAAGUCAAGCUCAAGUGCGGACGACUCACACUUCUGUUAGGAAAUUAGUGGGUGAAGCAGGACCGCAGCUAAGUUGAAAUUGUAAGAAAAUAAAGAACAAGCACAAUAGAGGGUACCAGAAAUUACGUGGUUCGGCUUUUAGCCUACGUCCACGGGCGAAAACAAAAGGAAAAUAUUUCACUAGUGAAAUAAGGAUUACAAGUAAUGUAAUAUUUUAACUCACUACCCAAAACCCCAAUACAUCCAAUCUCUCACUCACUAGAUACUCAAGAGUUUAUUAAACUCUUAAUACUCUCAACACUAAAAGAAAGCAAUAUUUCUCUCUCGAUGGAAUUGGUACAAGCUCUAAAUUGAGAGCUUGUAUUUAUAGGCAAAACUUUGCCUCAAAUGUCAAACAAGUGGCCAUAAACUUCAAGCCAUACAUCUUAAAAAUUUCAAACUUUGAAUUUUUAGCUUUGAAUUUUUCUUUUCUUUUACCAAACAUUACGGCAUCUAGAAUUUCAAAGCCAAGUGCCAACCAUUCUUGUUUAUUCAAAGCUUCUAGAUGCAGCCAAUUUUGACAUUCUCCCACUUGGAGAUUAAAUUGAAAAACAAUCAAUCUCCACACCAUCCUUUCUGUUUCGCCAUAAUCAUGUUGCCUACGUUUCUGCUAGGCCACAAGAGGAUCUACUCCAGAAAAACUUAUCAGUAUUUAUCGGCUUGGUCAAAACAUCUGCUAGGUUCUCCGUCGUAUGGAUUUUCUGUAAAUCCACACUUCCAUCUUCCACUACUUCUCGAACGAAGUGAUACUGAACUCCUAUGUGCUUUGUCCUGGAAUGAAAGGCUGGAUUCCUUGCAAUGUGCAAGGCACUCUGACUGUCACAAAACACAGGAAUUUUCUGUUGUUUGUGCCCGAGCUCCUCCAAUAAUCUUUGUAUCCAAAUAGCUUCAUUGCAAGCUUGUGUAGCUACCAUGUAUUUUGCUUCUGUUGUAGAUAAAGCCACAACGGUCUGCAGUUUAGAAACCCAGCUUACAGCUGCUCUCGCAAGUGUAAACACAUAACCAGUAGUGGAUUUCCUUUUAUCAAGGUCUCCUGCAAAAUCUGAAUCCACAUAGCCCCUGACAGUAAACUCUGAUCCUCUAUAACAUAAUGCAACAUCUGAGGUUCCUCUGAUGUAUCUUAGAAUCCUCUUCACAGUUAUCCAAUGCUCUCCACCAGGAUUCGCCAUGUAUCGACUAACUGCUCCCACUGCUUGUGCAAUGUCCGAUCUUGUACAUAUCAUAGCGAACAUUAAACUUCCCACUGCUGAUGCAUACGGUACUCGAGACAUCUCAUUCCUCUCCGCUUCGUUGCUAGGACACAUACUUGAGGAUAAUUUGAAAUUAACAGGAAGUGCUUUGAUACCAAAAUGUCAAAUAAAGUGGCCAUCUAGAUGGUAUAAAGCAGCCAUCUAGAUGGUCAGCAAUAAUUUUGUUCAAAGAAGAAGAAGAAUUUUGCAACAAGUUUGAAAGAAAAAGAAGCACACGGCUUUGACAAGAGAAAGAAGAAAAAGAAGAAAAUAAUAAUAUAUAAUUGAUGAAUAGUGCCAAAGCUUUUUCUAUAAAUAGAAACGAAGAGAAUGAGCAAAUUCAUUCCAUUAAGAGAGAGCAAUUUAGCAUUUUGAGAGAGAGUUUAGAGAGCUUGAAAUUAUAAGCUGUUGUUAUUAGUGUUCUGAGAGUUUGGGUGUAUUGGGGUCUUGGGAAGUGAGCUAAAAUACUACAAUACUUGUAACUCCUUUUUACUAGUAAAAUAUUUCCUUCUAUUUUCACCCUUGGAUGUAGGCUAAAAGUCGAACCACGUAAUUUUUUUGGUGUCCUCUUUUGUGCUUUUUCUUUAUUUUCUUCCAAUUUUACUUUAGCUGCGUGUCUGCUCCACCCACUAAUUUCCUAACAGUGGUAUCAGAGCUAUUGGUUGUAUUUUUAGAGUUGGGUACUGUUCACGUAAGGGGUACUAUUCACUUAUACGAUACUGUUCACGUAUACGGUACUAUUCACAAUAGAUGGUGGGAGCGAUCCAAGAAUUUUGCGGUGCAAAGCAAGGAAUAGUGGUGUGAGUAAAACAACUGUGUGGUUUUGUACAUGUCUAGGAAAGUUCUGUCACAAAGGCGAUAAGAGCUUAAGGAGUCUGGGUUUUAAGUGGGACCAUUGUGACCCCUCCAGUCUUUCCUGGGAACUUUCCUGGUAUGCAUUCUCACACAUAAUCACAACUAUUCAAGGUGGUACACUAGCUUGUGUGCGGUAUUUAUCAAUAAAAUGGCAGCAAAGUAUGAAAUUGAGAAGUUUAAUGGAAAUAAUUUUUCGUUGUGGAAAAUGAAGAUGAAAACUAUAUUGAGGAAAAAUAAUUGCUUGGCAGCAAUUGGAGAAAGGCCCAUGGAGAUAACUGAUGACAAGUGGAGCGAGAUAGAUGGUAACACCAUUUCUGAUCUACACUUGGCACUUGCAGAUGGAGUAUUAUCCAGCGUGGCAGAGAAAAAUACAGCGAAGGAAAUAUGGGAUACUCUUACAAAAUUGUACGAGGCCAAAUCACUACACAACAAAAUCUUCUUGAAAAGGAAACUUUAUACUCUUCGAAUGGCAGAAUCUACAAUGGCGACCGACCACAUCAAUACCUUGAAAACUCUAUUUUCACAACUCACAACGUUGGGUCAUAAUAUAGAGGAAAAUGAACGUGCAGAGCUUCUACUUCAAAGUCUACCAAAUUCGUAUGAUCAACUCAUCAUCAACCUAAUAAACAACAAUCUAGUGGACAGUCUAGUUUUCGACGAUGUUACAGCCUCUGUAUUAAAUGAGGAGAGCAGGCAGAAAAAUAAAGAAAACAGACAAGUAAGUUUGCAGCAAGCGGAGGCGCUAUCGGUGACGAGAGGGAGAUCAACAGAACGUGGCCCCAGUGGGAGUCAAAGUCAUGGUAGAUCAAAAUUCAGAAGUAAGAAGAAUAUUAAAUGCUACAACUGUGGCAAGAAAUGGCACGCCAAAAAGGAGUGUUGGAGUAACCAGAAGAGAAGAGAAGGUAAAGAACCUGAGUCAUCAAAUGCUCAGGGGUGUGUAGCAAGUACCUCAGAUGAUGGUAAAAUUCUCUACAACGAAGCAAUAACUGUUUCAGAAGGCAGAAAACGACUAUCUGAUGUCUGGCUUAUAGACUCAGGAGCUACCCGGCACAUGACCUCGCGGAGAGAAUGGUUCCACACAUAUGUACCUAUCUCAGGAGGAUCUGUAUAUAUGGGUAAUGAUCAUGCCUUGGAAAUCGCCGGUAUUGGUACUAUCAAAAUAAAAAUAUUUGAUGGUACAAUUCGCACAAUUGGAGAGGUACAACAUGUCAACGGCCUGAAGAAAAAUCUAUUGUCUUUGGGACAAAUGGAUAGUCAUUGGUACAAAACUCAUGUGGAGAAUGAAAUUAUGAAAAUCGUUAAAGGCGCGCUUGUAUUGAUGAAGGCAGAAAAGAUCGGUGCUAAUCUAUUCAUGCUUAAAGGAGAAACACUACAGGAGGCUGAUGCGUGUGUCGCAUCAAAUGGAGAAGAGUCAACGAUGAUGUGGCAUCUCAAACUUGGUCACAUGUCAGAACAAGGUUUGAAGAUUCUCUCUGAGCGAAAAUUGCUUCCAGGGCUCAAAUCGGUAAGUUUACCAUUUUGCGAGCAUUGUGUUAUAAGUAAGUAGCAUAGAUUAAAAUUCAGUAGAUCUAUUGCUAAAAGUAAAUGCAUUCUAGACUUUAUUCAUUCUGAUGUUUGGGAAUCACCGGAUAUAUCCAUGGGAGGUGCAAAGUACAUGGUGACUUUCAUUGAUGAUUAUUCCAGAAGAUGUUGGGUGUAUCCAAUUAAGAAAAAGUCAUAUGUAUUUCUAGUGUUUAAAGAAUACAAAGCGCGGGUGGAACUUGAAUCUGGUAAAAAGAUCAAGUGUUUGAGGACAGAUAAUGGUGGAGAGUAUACAGACGGUGAGUUUCUUGCUUUCUGUAAGCAAAAAGAUAUUCAGAGGCAGUUCACGGUGGCAUACACUCCUCAAUAAAACGGAGUGGCAGAGCGGAUGAAUAGAACUCUUACAGAAAGGAUAAGAGUUAUGUUGAGGACUGCUGGUCUACCCAAUUCAUUCUAGGCGGAAGCAGCCAAAACUGCAUGUUAUAUAGUAAAUCGAUCGCCAUCUACAACUAUUGGGCUGAAGACAGCAAUGUAGAUGUGGACUGGAAAGCCAGCUGAUUAUUCCUACCUACAUGCAUUUGGAUGUCUUGUGUAUGUGAUGUACAAUGCCCAAGAAAGAACAAAGUUAGAUCCAAAAUCUAGAAUAUGUAUCUUCUUGGGAUAUACUGAUGGAGUAAAGGGGCAUAGUCUGUGGGACCCCACUGCCCACAAGAUUGUCAUCAGCAGAGAUGUUAUCUUUAUAGAAAAUCAACUGCAAAGGAGAGAUGAGGAUGAUAGUAGUGUAAAAGAAAAGUCAGAGACUAUAUCGGUAUAUGUGGAAAAUAAUCCAGAAGAUUCAGAUUCUUCUGAAGCAGCACCAGAGCACGAAAAAUAAGAACUAGUCGAGUCCGAGGCUCCAGAAGUUCAUCGGUCAACUCGUGAGAAACGACCACCGGUGUGGCACUCGGAGUAUGUCACAGAGAUCAAUGUUGCAUACUGUCUUCUAACAGAGGAUGGAGAGCCAUCAACUUUCCAUGAAGCUUUAGAAAGCUCAGAUGUUGCCUUGUAGAUGACAGCAAUGCAAGAAGAAAUUGAAACUCUACACAAGAACAAGACAUGGGAACUUGUACCACUACCAUACGCAAGAAAAGCCAUUGGAAACAAAUGGGUUUACAAGAUCAAGUGUGAUGGCAAUGACCAAGUGGAAUGGUAUCGUGCAAGAUUGGUAGUGAAAGAAUAUGCUCAGAAAGAAGGUAUUGACUUCAACGAGAUAUUUUCUCCGGUGGUUCGACUCACAACAGUCAGAGUAGUCUUGGGGAUGUGUGCCACAUUUGACCUACAUCUAGAGCAGUUAGAUGUGAAAACUGCAUUUCUUCAUGGAGAACUUGAAGAAGAAAUAUAUAUGCUCCAACCAAAAGGUUUUGCAGAAAUAGGAAAAGAAAACUUGGUUUGCAGGUUGAACAAAUCUCUAUAUGGUUUCAAACAGGCGCCGAGGUAUUGGUAUAAGAGAUUUGAUUCCUUCAUUAUGAGUCUUGGAUACAACAGACUCAGUUCAGACCAUUGUGCAUAUUACAAGAGGUUUGAAGAUAAUGAUUUCAUCAUUUUGCUGUUGUAUGUGGAUGACAUGUUGGUAGCAGGUCCCAACAAAGAUCGAGUCCAAGAAUUGAAGGCACAGUUGGCUAGGGAGUUUGAAAUGAAGGACUUGGGACCAGCAAACAAGAUUCUAGGGAUGCAAAUUCACCGAGACAGAAAUAACAAGAAGAUUUGGCUUUUGUAGAAGAAUUAUUUGAAGAAAAUCUUGCGGCGCUUCAACAUGCAAGAUUGUAAGUCAAUUUCUACCCACUUCCUGUUAAUUUCAAAUUAUCCUCAAGUAUGUAUCUUAGCAAUGAAGCAGAGAGGAAGGAGAUAUCUCGAGUACCGUAUGCAUCAGCAGUGGGAAGUUUGAUGUUCGUUAUGAUAUGUACUAGACCGGACAUUGCACAAGCAGUGGGAGCAGUCAGUCGAUACAUGGCGAAUCCUAGUGGAGAGCAUUGGAUAGCUGUGCAGAGGAUUUUAAGAUACAUCAGAGGAACCUCAGAUGUUGCAUUAUGUUAUGGAGGAUCAGAAUUGACUGUCAGGGGCUAUGUGGAUUCAGAUUUUGCAGGAGACCUUGAUAAAAGGAAAUCCACUACUGGUUAUGUGUUUACACUUGCGAGAGCAGCUGUAAGCUGAGUUUCGAAACUGCAGACCGUUGUGGCUUUAUCUACAACAGAAGCAGAAUACAUGGCAGCUACACAAGCUUGCAAGGAAGCUAUUUGGAUACAAAGGUUAUUGGAGGAGCUCGGGCACAAACAAGAGAAAAUUUCUGUGUAUUGUGACAGUCAGAGUGCCUUGCACAUUGCAAAGAAUCCAGCCUUUCAUUCCAGGAUGAAGCACAUAGGGGUUCAGUAUCACUUCGUUCGAGAAGUAAUGGAAAACGGAAGUGUGGAGAUUGAUUCCAUACCAAGGAGAACCUAGCAGAUGUUUUGACUGAGCCAAUAAAUACUGACAAGUUUAUCUGGAGUAGAUCCUCUUGUGGCCUAGCAGAAACAUAGGCAACAUGACAAUGGCGAAGCAGAAAGGAUGGUGUGGAGAUUGAUUGUUUUUCAAUUUAAUCUCCAAGUGGGAGAACGUCAAAAUUGGCUGCAUCUAGAAGCUUUGAAUAAACAAGAAUGGUUGGCACUUGGCUUUGAAAUUAUAGAUGCCGUAAUGUUUGGUAAAAGAAAAGAAAAAUUCAAAGUUUGAAAUUUUUAAGAUGUAUGGCUUGAAGUUUAUGGCCACUUGUUUGACAUUUGAGGCAAAGUUUUGCCUAUAAAUACUUGUAACUCCUUUUCACUAGUAAAAUAUUUCGUUCUGUUUUCGCCCGUGGACGUAGGCUAAAAGCCGAACCACGUAAUUUUUUUGGUGUCCUCUUUUGUGCUUGUUCUUUAUUUUCUUCCAAUUUUACUUUAGCUGCGUGUCUGCUCCACCCACCAAUUUCCUAACAACUUCUUCAGUGUUGUAAAAACAGAUGCCUGCUUUAAGCACCAGCCCGAUUUUAUACAUACAUAGAUAUAUAUGUUGAAGUUUCGUAGCUUACCCGUAAGGCCGUUGGAGGGCAGUUCAAGAGUUUGGAGCAUUGAAAGGGCAGUAAUUUCGGAUGGAAUGCUUCCAGAGAUAGAAUAAUUUGAAUGAAUUUUGAAACUUCUGAGGUUCGGAAAGCAAAAGAAUUUGAAACGACCGAGCUCUCCCCUGAUGUUAUCAUUUUCAUACCAGAGUAAGCUGACCCCGAUUACGCUUCCCGCUGAAUUGCAACUGACGCCAGUCCACUUACAAUGAUUGGACGUGUAGUUGCCAGACGUCGCCCAAUUGUUGUACCACCAGCCUGUAAAAAGUAAAGCUUCCCUUUCUAACAGUAUGGGUGACGACAAUAAUCCAGCAGCAGCUGAUGCUAUUACAACUAUUGUCGUAUCACUCAUGGCACCAACAUUAAUUAAAAUUAUAAUGACCACCAAUCUAGAAACAGAGGAUGCUGAUGCCAUGUUUACAAUGGUUUUCGGUUGAUUGGGGUAUUUGAUUCUCAGCAAAGCGUUUAUAUAAGAAUUAAUUGUUUUGCAACCUCCCAGUGUUAAUUUCCAAUACGCGUUUUCAAAUAGUGUGAGUCAAGGUCUUCUCUAGAUGGAUUCAAUCAUGGAGAUAUAACCUUAUUGGCUUGCAUUUGUGUGGUGUAGAUCUAUUUGAACACCAAUUGCAGAAACAUGAGACAACGUGGAAAAUAUUAGAAAUAAUUAAUAGCAUUAUUAGUAGUAUAAGAUAUUAAGUAUUACCCAAAAAUAACACUACAAGAAAAAGUGCCUACCAUGACAGGCAAAAUCUGUCAUAGUAGGGGGUGGAUGACGGUUGUUCAUACCGUCAUUGUAGCCACCGUCAAGAAUUGAUGACAGAAUAAUACCAGUCAUAAUCUGUGAUAAAUAUUUUUAGUCACAUAACUGUCAUAACUUUAUUUAGAGAGGAAUAUAAUAAAUUUGAAUUUGGCCCCUUUUUUUUUAAAUUUGUGCGCCAUAUUUUGAAUUUUUGGCAGGAAAAUCAAAUUUGGCGCGAAAUGCAAAUUAUAAUUAAAUGAAUUUUUUCAAUUAAAUCAAAAAUUGAAAUUAUAAUUAAUAAAAAAGGGGUAUUUUUUUUGCACCAUGAAAUUAUUAUCAUUUUAAUAACAAUCCUGCAAUUGAUUUAGUAGAAAUUAAUAUUUCAUAAAUUAGCUAAUUAAUUAGAUUAUUAAAAUUAAUAUUGCAAUUAAAAAUUAACUGACAAAGAAAAUGAAAUGGAUAACAUUGACUAAGAUUUCAUAAUUGUGAGCAAACAUAAUUUAAUCAAAUUUGAGAGUGACAAAUCCAACAUAAAUAGAAGAAGAGUAUUGUAACAACCUAAGAACUAAAUUCCAGCAGCAUGUACAACACAAAUUAACAAUGAUCAGUUCAAUUCCAGUAGCAUAAGGAAGCCAAACAACAGAGUCAUUUCUACCAACAUGAACAAAGGCAACAACAUAGUUCAUUUCCAGCAACAUUUCCAGCAACACUUCCAGCAACAUAAGAGGAGCCAAAAAUACUGAUCAGACAAGGCCAGCAGUUCCCAAACGUGAAAAUCCAACCUAAGAACAACCGAAAUGUGUAAAAUUGCAUCAAUAUCCAGGAGCUAUUUUCCAAACAAAGAAAAAAACUAGCGAACUCCAGCAGUACCCACCAUCUUCAUCAUAAUCCAACAUAGAAGUAUAAUAAGCUAGAUAACUGCCCAAGUAAAAUAUAUUUCAUCAAUGAACUCACAAUAACAACAUAAUAAGUAAGGGUUACCUCACAUAACAGCAAGUACUCCAGAAAAAUGGUUUGCCCACUCAAUACGGACUUCGUCUAAUUCAGCAUCAGAAUAUGUUGUCUUUCCGUUGAACUAUUUAUGAAAAAUAAAUAUUUAGUGAAACUUUGAAACGGGACAUGUUCUUUUUUAUGAAGCAAAUUAUGAUCAAGGAACUCGCAUUGUUCAUUAGUAAAGAGAAGUCAUUAAUUAAGUCUUUCAUGAAUCUCAUGACGUAAAAUCCACACACGACUGAACUUGCUGGUUGCUGUGGGACCUGUUCACAAUCAGCAAUUGUACAGUUCAUUUUAAUAACAAUUAAGCAUGGUAAUAUAUAAUUAUAGUUAAGGUAAUAGUUCAAACCUUUACGGAUCUGACCAUCUUAUUAUAAUUCCAUUUCUCCUUACCCUCUUGUGCUAUAAACAUUGUCAUAGAGCUGUAUACAAAAAAAAAAUUGUAACAAAGUAUCUGUAAAUUAUGUAAAAGUAAUUUUAUAUUGACAAUGGUAAUAAAAAAAAUUGAACAUACACUUUAAUGAGCUCUUUUAAAUCAUCAUCAGGAUCUCCCCCAUAAGAAUCGAGAUAAUAAACUUCUUUUUUCAACACAUCAAAGACGACCAGCACCCAAUGAUAACUAUAAUAAAAGAAAGAACAGUAAGGUAGCAAUUUCAGUAAAUUAAGGCAAGAAAAGAAAUUAAUAUGAGUUGAAAAGUAUUAAAGGAGCAUACUAGGGAUUAUAAGGCAUAAAGUAGAGAUGGCAAAAGUGCGGGUCGGGUCCGGGUUUGGGGCUGCCCGGGACCGACCCGCAUGUCACACAUAGCUACCCGGAUCCGGACCGUGCCCGGAUUUUUUCUAUGCGGGCCGGGCAUAUGCCCGGCACUAUCCGGGCACGGGUUUUUUCCGGGUUUUCUCUACCCGCAUUUCCAAAGCUGCUUGUUAAUUGCCCAGUUCUCAACCAUUGUUUUCAAUUACAAGAACUCGUUGAUUAAAAAGAACUGCGAGAAAGAUUUAAUUUCCAUUUAUGCAAUGAUUAGAAGAUGCAACAUCCACAAAUCUAGUGAACAACGUAGAUCAAGAGAGGCCUGAUGUGGACUUAAUUUUUUUUUUCUUUUAAACUGCAAAAGAAUGAAUAAAACCCAAAUUCAACUUUUAACCCCCACCACUUCAGAAUUCAAAAGGUUACCUUAAAAUUGAUAUAAAAUUAUAACCAACAAAGCGACAAUUUACAAGAAGCCGACGCGAAAAAUGCAAAAUUCUAAUAAAAUUAUAUUUAACUUAAACCGAAGAAUAAAUAGUCAAAACAAAACCAAUUUAAGUUUUUUUUUCAAAAAAAAAAUUAUGAUACAAUAUUCUUUGCAUCUCUGCAACAACACUGCUGUAGUUCUGCACACUAAACAUAAUGGAUGCAACAACACUGUUGUAGUUCUGCACUGGAAGUCUGGAAAUAAAAAUGCAGCCAUGCUUCAAAACUGCAACGUUGCUUUGCAAUAAAUGAAAAGAGUUGACCGAGGAAGGUAAGAGGUUCGUGGAGGGAGAGGGGCGGUCAACACUGCAUCGGUGCCGGUGGGUGGUGGCUGCUGGUGGAGAGACGAAAAGAGGUGUUGCGUUUGCGAGAUUUCAGUGUGUGUUGCAUUUGCGAUUUAGGGUUCGGUUUGGGAGCAAUUGGGCAAAGCAAAAUGUAUUUUUGCUUUUAUAUUUUCCUCUCUUUUUUUUACUUAAUAAAAAACCGGGCACGGGUCCGGGUUCCGGGUUCUUAAUGCUGUGACCGGACCCGUGCCCGGAAGUAGCCGGGCAUUGAAAAUCAAUGCCCGGAUCCGCUUUUUCCAUGCAUCCGGUCUGGGUAAAACCCGGACCGCAUACGCCGGGUCCGGGCCGGAUCCGGUCCGGGCGGGUUUUUCUGCCAUCUCUAGCAUAAAGAUGAAUUGUCCCUUCUUUGCUUUUUUCAAUCGAUCAUAAACUCCACGUGCCCUAAGGUCAAAUGAUGCAGUAGGAUUACGUUCUUCGCCUAGUGAAACCAGACCUGGACGAAUGAAUCCAAAUGGUUUCACUCCUCUUUUCCCAGGGAGAAUGGAAGCAUACAACAUCCUGAUAAACAAUAGACAAACAAUGUUAAAGUCCAUUAAUUGGGACUCCCAUAUAAAGUACACAUAAAACUAGAAUGAUUAUGAAUCACUUACGCAAUAUAGACUUCGAUUACGUUUACUCCUAUAGCAUCCAUUGACAGAACUGCACUACAGUCACGCCUUCCAAUAUGAGCUCUAAUCCCUUCCAAAUGGAAAACACCAUCAUCCAGUAGUUAUGGAAUCCAUUCUUGGUCUGACAUCUUAGCUUCACACAUUGUGCCAAACAACUGCAGCAACGGAAUCUUGUUUCGUUGUACUCCUCCUGCAUGCCUUGUGUUCCUCCUUGUUGGCAAAGGCUUCACUGUAACUUUUUUGCCCUCGUCCUUGGUCUGUUUUACAGCAUCUGUAUGUCCUAUCUCUAUUAUAUCAUUAUGCUGUUCUGCUGAUUCAAAGUUCAAAUGUUUUUUUGUGCCUUGAUGUUUAGGAUUGCUAUUUUUUUUCCCUGUAACAAAUCAUCAGGCAUCUCCACUGGGAUUUCAGUUGGGUUCAAUCUUGGACUCUUUCUUGCAAUGACAGAGAAUUUUUUGGCAGGUGUAUUCUUGUUUUUGUUUGCUAUGUCUGUCUCUUUCUUAGGUGUCCCUUGCUUCUUUUUUUUCAAAUGAUCAGGCUGUUACAAACAUAAUUGUUCAGUAUGAUUGGCAUAAAUAGUUUCUAAAUACUCUAAAUUUCUCUUACAAAGUAGUUAACAGUAUCAAAUGACACCCCAGAAAGAACAUAUGUAUAAAUAGUAAACAUACAGCAAACUAAAUCCACAAAUAACAUGUAAGAACAGUAACUACAACAACUCUUAUCCAGCAAAAGACUAAAUCUAGAAAUAAUAAGAAAAAUAGUAAACAAACUGACCUUUGUUGUUUCAGCAACUGCUUCAGCUUGAACAGACUCUAUGCCAUCAUCUCCAACAACAUUAUUGUUUUCACCAGGCACGCGAGGGUAGCUGGAACUUGCUAUAUCUGAAUGACGAGGUGUUUUUCUUAGUUCAUUUCUCAUUUCUUCCAACUGCCGAUUAAUUGAUUCCCUCCAUAGACGGUUCUCUCUUUGCCUGUCUCUAUCAGCAGGCCUCUGGUAAGUUUGAAAAUACAGAGACGGGGUCACAAACUUGCCCACUCCUUGCAUAUGACCACAUUUUGGAGCUUUUCCUAAAGAUUGUGCGAGAAUAUCAUUUUUUCCGGAUGACCGCAUCUUUCCUUUCUUAGCUUCCAUCUCCAAUUUAUCCUACCACACAAAUGAAUUAAGUAAGCCAAUGUUAUCAAAGUAUAAGUAAUCACAAAUAGAAUUACAGUAGUAAGCAAAAACUUUCUUACGAUUUUUUUAAUAACUGGUUCAACAUCGGGGUGGUAUCCUCCGUUUUUCAUUUGCCGAGCUCUCUUCCAAAGAACACUCCUGUCCACUUCUUCUUCAGUAAGGCCUGUUUCUGAGCACUGUAAAAAAGUUAAUAAAAAGUUAAAAUGUUAGUAACAAUCAUUAUUUGCAUUAACCAAACAACAGUAAAAUGUUAGCAACUAACUCACAGUACAUACCACUUCCUGCAUUAACCCAACGUAACCUUUUCUACUUAGGCGAUGAUUAAACUUGUUUUGUGCCCGCCUAAGUUUAUUCACACCACUAACUUUCUGCUUAAAACAACCAAACAAACAAUGGAUAAACCCAUAAGGAAAAAUGUCAUAAGCAUUGAUAUAUUAUUAACACUUGAAUUAGACACUCACUUGAAAUUUUUCAGAUAGUCUUUCCUUUACAAACUUAAUCCAACUUUCCUUAGCAAUCGUGCUGUACCGUGCUGGUGGCUUGAAAAGCCUUUUACGGUCAUUAACAAAUGGUAAAACAUAGUUCCUCAUUAGAGUGUACUUAAAGUUCCGAAAUGCAGCUCCGAUGGCUUGUAGUACUUGCUUCCUACUUCGAGGAUGAACCACGAAGUACACCUUCAAGUUUCAUUAUGAAAAUGUGAGAUUUUUCCAGCCACAAUAAAACUAGAGUAAUCGUCUAAAGGAAAUUAUUUUAUACCUUAACAGACUCCCAUAGACGCUCCUUCGUAUCAUCUGGAACUCUACGCCAAUCGUUGUAGAGGAUUGGAAUUGAUGUACGAGCCAAAACACCAAUAUACGUAGCCAGCUCAAUGGCUUCUUCACCAACUGGAACACCAAGGCUGUUGUAUUUAACCACAAACCUUCCACUUCUUUUCCUCUUUUUAUUUUGUUCUGACCCAACAGUGCCACCUCUGCUUCGCUUACUGCUGCUCUCAGGUUCAUCCUCGUUCCCAUCUCCAAACUCAUCAAGAUCAGGGACAUGAUCGGCCAGGGGCGUUUCAGGAUCAUAUCCUUCACGGAUAAGUGCCUCAUGGUACUCUGAUUCCUCACCAACAAAUCCAUCAUUUUGUUCAUCUAAAAACUCAUCGAAAUGGGCAUCAGAUUGCUCAGGUGAAGAACUCUCAGGGACAUUUUUUCCCUUAUCCAUGAUGAAUAUCACAACUGCAGAACAAAAUCAAAUGAUGAGAAUACACUACCAUAUAAAAACUGCCAAAAAAUAUAAAAUAAAAUAAUAAUAGAUACCAUAAAUACUUCUUGUAUUAACCUUAACAUAUAUCAUUUUGAGAAGGACUCAACAAACAGCUCAUGCAAACAAACACAGAAACGAUAUUCAAGGUCCAAUCCAAAUUCCCUCUUUGUUGUCUCGUGCGUACAUUUCAGAAUCAUCGUCAAUAGAGUUUAUGUUAUCAGCACUUGGAAAUUCAGUAGUCAACGAAGGGUAUUCCACUGCAUCUUCGCUUCUUUGUGUGGGUUUACCUCUUCUAGGCAUUUGGCAUACAACUGACCACUUCUUAUCAAACUGAUCAGGUACAUAAAAAACUUGGUUGGCUUGAGAAACUAAAAUAAAUGGAUCAUAUUUAUGACCCAUUCGUUGCAAGUCUACCAAAGUAAAUCCGAGUCUAUCCUUCAUAACACCACCUCUGGUAUGUACCCAGUCACACUUCAUUAUUGGAAUUCUAAAGAUAACAUAAUCUAGAUCCCAAAUCUCUCUAAUCACUCCAUAGUAUGUGAUGUUAGAAGUGACAGGAUUUUUAUCUUUUGAACUUGCGACUGAAAUUGUUUGUGCAACCAAUGACACUCCACUAUUUUGAGUAACUCUAUUUAAGUCUCGAUCUCUUGUAACAAAGUGAAAACCAUUUAUGUCAUAUCCAGGAUGUUGGAAAACAUAAGGACGAGGCCCUUGGGAUAACCAACGGAUUGUUUGAGUAACAACGUCACUGUUCUCUAUCAACAUAUUUACCUAUUAUUAAUCAAUAGGAAUAUAAUGUUAAACAAGCACAAACCGAAACAGAAAGGAAAAAAGGAAUUAAUUAAACUAAUGUUAUCAAAACCUUAUCUGUUAGCUAAUCUGCAAAUGUUCGGUUGUGUUCAUCUUGCAACCACUUCUCAUUUUUUCGUGGAUGGCAAAGUUGUAACCAAUCCUCAUGCUCUCUAAAAAUCAGUUAAAAGGACAAAAUUUUCAGGUUCCUAAACUACCAAAACCUGACAAAUAUAAAGCUAAAAUAACACAAGUUAGAUAACAUCACGUUAUAUAAGGCUGAACUUCCUCAAUGUUAUGCAAAACAUACAAGUGUGCUUGAUCUAAUGAAGUUCGAUCAACUUCCACCAUUUGUCCACCACUCAUGGGCUUGUCAAUUUCUAAAUUCUGCACAUGUCCAGGUGGAACCCCAAUUGUGGGCAUGUUUUCCAAGUAUUCUGCACAAAAUUCUAAUGCUUCCUCGGCAAUAUAACUCUCCGCUAUGCAACCCUCAGGACAGUUACGGUUUCGAACAUAGCCUUUUAGAGUUUUCAUGUAUCGCUCAAAAGGAUACAUCCACCGAAAAUAUACGGGACCACAUUGUCUAACUUCACUCACUAAGUGAAUAGUAAGAUGAACCAUUAUGUCAAAAAAAGAAGGGGGAAAACAUUUUUCAAGCAAGCACAAAGUCUCUACGAUGUUUUUCUCCAAUUCAUCUAGCAUUGUCACGUCAAUCACAGUCCCACACAACGAAUUAAAGAAGAAACAAAACCUAAUGAUAGCUUCUUUGACAUGUUUGGGCAGCACACACCUUACGGCAAUUGACAAAAGUUGUUGCAUAAGAACAUGACAGUCAUGAGACUUAAGACCCUGGAGUUUAAAGUCCUUUUUUGAAACAAGAUUCCUAAUAUUUGAAGAGUAUCCAGUAGGAACCUUGAUACUUUUCAAAGCUGCACAGAAUCUUGCUUUUUCCUCCUUAGUUAAGGUGUGGCAAGCAGGAGGAAGCCAUGUACGAUUGUUGUUUCCUUUAACUUGUGGUGCUAAGGUGGGCCUAAUUUUCAUUUCCAAGAGAUCCAUCCUCGACUUCAGUCCAUCUUUGGACUUUCCAGGAAUAUGUAGCAGUGUACCGUAGAUGUUCUCACACACAUUCUUUUCAAUGUGCAUAACAUCUAAUUGAUGCCGCACAAGCAAGUGCUUCCAAUACUCUAAAUUAUAAAAUAUAGAUUUCUUCUUCCACCACGCGAGAUCAUUAUUGUUCGCACUUUUACGCUUUUUAUGUUGCUUUUCCCCCAUCUAUUAUCAAUAGAGUCGACCAACUGGAAAAUUUCCUCCCCGUUUAACAAUUUUGGAGGGGUUUCAUCACACACACUAUUGUCAAAGGCUUUUGCUUGGAACCGAAAUUUAUGACCAUGAGGAAGCCAAAGCCGAUGCCCAAUGUAUACAUUUUUUCCACUGUGUUUAAGUCUACAUUUUGGUGUUUCUACACCACAAUAUGGGCAGGCAUAAUAUCCUUUAACAGUACAUCCUGCUAAAUUUCCGUAUGCCGGGAAGUCAUUUAUUGUCCAUAGUAAUACAGCCCGCAAAUUAAAGUACUCAUUUUUGUAGGCAUCAUAUGCCUCCACCCCAACAUCCCAUAAAGUUUGCAAAUCCUCAAUAAGAGGUUGCAAAUACACAUCAAUAUCUAAACCCGGUUGUUGAGGACCAUAAAUCAAGAGGGACAACAUCAUGAAUUUUCGUUUCAUGCACAACCAUGGUGGAAGAUUAUAAGUAAUAAGAAUUAUUGGCCAGCAGCUAUAUGUACUACUAAGAGAGCUAUGUGGAUUGAUUCCAUCAGCUGAUAGAGCUAGGCGAAGGUUUCUAGGAUCGGAUGCAAAGAUUGGCCAUUUCUCAUCUACUAACUUCCAAGAUGGUGAGUCAGCCGGAUGUCGGAGUUUACCAUCAACCAUCCUCUCAUUUGCAUGCCAAGUCAAGUCCCUAGCAGUUUCGGAUGACUGAAACACGCGCUUAAACCUAGGUAUAGGAGGAAAAUACCAUAAAGUUUUUGCAGGAACCCCUUUCCUAUAUUGGUCUACAGUACCAUCCUUUUUCUUCCAUCUACAUAACCCACAAGUAGGACAUUCCAAAAGACCUUCAUACUCUUUUCUGUAGAGUAUGCAAUCGUUUGGGCAAGCAUGAAUUUUAACAUAUUCUAAGCCCAAAGCUGACAUUGUCUUUUUGGCCUCAUACAUAGAGGUUGGAAUUUCAUUAUUUUUAGGGAAAGCAUCUGCUAAAACACUCAACAAUGCAGAAACGCCACUGUCAGACCACCCAAAUCUACCCUUCACAUUGAACAAUUUCACUAAAAAGGAUAACUUAGUAAAUUUUGUGCAUCCUAGGUACAAGGGUUUCUCAGCCUGUUCUAGCAACUCUUUGAAUGCCUUAGGGUCCCCACAACAACCCUUAUAAGCAUCAUUAACCAUUUCUAACUCAUUACCAUUGUCAAACUCUAUAUUUUGUUGCUGAAAAUGGUUUUCUCUUUGAGGAGAAGAACUCUUACGAAUCUCUUCCCCGUGCCAAAACCAAUUGUCGUAUUUCACAUCAAAACCAUGCAUAUAUAAAUGAUCUUUUACAGUUGUAGGUGUUUCAAAUGAUAAAUUCCCACAAUCAACGCAUGGACACCUAAUGACGCUACUCCCUGCAGCAUUUUUUAUAGCAAAAUUUAUAAAUUUCUGGACACCCUCUUCAUAUUCUGUCGACAGUCGAUUACAUUGAAUCCAAGAUUUAUCCAUUUCGGGCUUAAUAAUUAAUGUUCCUGACAUAUACAUAAAACAAAGAAAGAAUGUACAUACUUAGAAUAUUUGUCUAAUGUUAUAACACCAUGUGAACUAAACAAAUUUUAAAAUUACAAAUAUAGCAAACAAGAAAGCUGAUAAACUGAAUUUCAUACUUUUCAAAAGUUCACUCUCCUACUAUACUAUAAAUAUAAUAAAUAAGACAGACCCCACAACAACACAUUACAUAGUAUCAUAAUUAUAAAUUUAAAGAUAUGUAAAUUUUAAGCAAGUGUAUAACAACUUCAAUCUACGUCAAAUAAUAGAGGAUAAGAAAUGGAACUUACCAAAUUAAACACAAACAAUCUGCUGUUAUAUCCAAUUCCAGGUACAAAUCCAGCAACAAUAUUGAUUACUGAAAUAUAUUUUGAAUGAUCAGUUGAUAAAAUUCCAAAACUUGGAUUCAAGAGGGCUAAAAAGUUACCAAUAAAUUACAUUAAUCAUAUGAGUAAGCCUAAGAAGAAAUAAUAAACUACAACUUCAAAUAAUAUACAUCAGUAGAACAAAAAUGAAAGCAAACACAAAGAAAAGCUUCAAGUACCUUAAUACAAUGCCUUCAACAAAUCAAGAACAUCGAACUGUCACGUUUAUGCAGCAAUCACAACUAUUUAUAUUUGACACGCAAAUGUUACGACUCAAGACAACAACAGUAACAAUAAUACCACCAGAUGCAAAAUAGCUACAACACCACAUGCAUAGGUAGAUGACAAUGAGAUGUGAGAAUCCCUCAAUUUUACAUAACAGAAUCAGUUACUAAAAGUCCCUCCUCAGGCUUUGUUAUAGACAUUUCAGGCCAAUAUCACCAUCUUCAUACACAAACACUCAUUUAACUUAACGAAGCUUCAAUAUCAGAAAUAGCUAGAAAAAAAAUUCACACACAAACACAUGAAUAUAAUUCAGAAUUACCUAGAAUAAAAAAAAAUUAACAGCAUUAUGCAAUGCACGAUUACAACUCAAAACAGAACUCAAAAUUAACAACAUUAUAUCUUCCUGGGAAAUUAUUUAGUAAAUUGAUUACCGAAAUAUAUGCAAUAUAUGCAAUACAUGCAAAUACAUUUCAAUUUUUUACAAAUUAUUUACUACUUUACAUAAAAGUUCAAUAAAUAGUCAAAAUUAAAUACAUGCAAAUGCAGCAAUGACUCACCAGUGGGCGUGAAGCUUCAAUUCACCGUCAAGCCUAGGGUUUCAACUUCGGCAACAACGAUUUGGGUCUUCUUUCACGGUAAGCAAUUGGGUUUCUUUCAGUCAAUAAAAGUACCCUGGAUGUUGUUCUCAUUCCAAUUUGGGUUUCGAUUAGCACUGACUUCGUCCCAGCAAAGAGAGAUGAUUUAGUGAAACAACCAGAAUGAUUUUGAAACUAUGGGUGUUUGGGUGUCGUUAGUUUGCUAUGGCUGGCUUUUGAGGGUUUGCUCCAAGUGUGCUAAUCGAUUUUGAGAUUCCACAAUAACGCUUGCAAAUUUUCUGAACACUUAGAAAAAAAUUUCCCUCUUUUCUCACAAAAAUGUUUCCCCCCUUAACAAAACGCAACGUUUUAUUAAUUGUUUUUUGUUAUUUACGUCUGUUAUCCUCAAACUUGCGAAACAUACAACUGAGACGACAUCGUUUCACUUCUAUUUUAGUAAUAUAAUAUUUUUAAAAAUUAAGUCAAACCCGCGCAAUUAAAGUCAACAUAAAAAAUCAGUCUUUCAUUCUUGAUUGUCAAAUAAUUUAUCACUAGUCUAUCAUAAUUUCUUGAUAUAUGAUAUUUAUAUCACCAAUAUAUCAUAAUUUCUUGAUAAACGAUAUUUCUAUCACAAAUAUGUCAUAAGUGUAUGACAGAAAAUAAAUCUAUCACGAUUCUAUUGUUGUAGGCCUCCAGACCAAAAACUGUCACACAGAGGACUGUCAUAGUAGAUACUUUUUCUUGUAGUGUAAGUAAAGGAAAAAAGUUCAAAGAAAAGAAUUGUUGUGAAUUAUGGCUCAAAUAGGAAAAUAAACAAGACUAACUAACAUUUUUUUUUUUUAACCCUAAACAUCAUAAAUGAAAGAAGAUGAAAUUUUCAUUACCGCUCAAUUUUUCUGCACGCAACCAAAUAAGAAAAACAAAAAAGUGUUAUAAAAAUAAUGCGCUAGUAGCUAUUUGAGGCAUUAUUUUGAAUGAGACCUAUUUGGCAUAAGCGAAAAGUCAGAAAAUGUUUCGCAUAUUCCUCUAUGAGUACUUCGGAAUGGUUAUCUAUAUGAGUCAUUGCUUCGUUCGCGUCGCAUAAUUGCCAUCCAAAGAAAAAAUAUUUUUGUCAUUAAUUUUAGGUUUUUUUUAAACUUUAAUUUAACUUUAAUAAUGCCAUAUUAUUUAAUAUUAUAAUUGCCGUUCGAACCUUGCAAAACAUGAAGACUAAUAUAUAUAUUAAUAUAUGCCAUAUUAUUUAAUAUUUAAUUUUUAAGGCAACUUUUUUAGUUGAGGGCAGGGAACCCCUACGUUACGUAAUUCCGUAACAAGCUCAUCUAAUCACCUUGACUAUAAGACUUCUCCUAGUCAGCAAUUAUUUGGAAAUAACGUCUUGACAUAUGCUGUGGAAAUUAAAGAAUGAAGUAGACUUACCAAGUCAAGGUGUUUUUCUAGUCUACAUAUUUUAAUUUAUACGUUUAGAAAAUUAGAAAUAUUCAAUGUCUAAUCUGAUUUUACACAAAGACUAAUGGCCCAAGAUUGUGAUUGAAAUGCUAUAAGCAGUUUAUUCAUAAGUUUAGAUAAAAAUGAGGUUUGAUGGAGAAGAAUAGGAAGAGGUUCGCCUGAAGCAAUAUACUCGUAAGCUUGUCUACUAAUAAACGGAGCAUAUAAGCAUAAACACCUAACUUUUGAGGUAUGUGUGUGUGUAUAUAUAUAUGGAUCUUAAAGAUUGGGAAACGUUCAGAAAAACUUUAAAACCACGAGGUGUUAAAGAUUUAAAAGUUAAAGCGCUUAAACUGCACGGUUUAUGCGUUUUCCUAGAUGUCCUGUAUUUUAAAAUUUCGAAUUAGAACAUUUCUAUAUGUGUGUGUGUGUGUGUGUGGAGGGCAAAUCUUUGACUCUCUCCGGCUUCAAGGACCUAUACGGUAACUCUUAAAUCAAAGGGAGAAAAUGGUUAAUCCAAUCUGAUUGUAUAUGAAUUGAUAUUGACCAUACGAUUAUUCCAUAUGAUUAAGUAAUAAUGCACACAUGUUCUACACAUUCAGACAAGUCAGAGUAAGAAUUAUGAAAAUGACAACCAAAUCCAAACUAGCUAGGUGAACUAUUGUUAUUUAUCUUUGGUCCAUCAUUAUUAGAAAGAUGAGGAGAAGAAGAAAAAGAAAAAACUAAUUUUGUAGUCACAAAUUAAUCUUAUGCUCUGAUUUUGAAGCAAAUCUGCAAAAUAUUUGAGGAUCCAAUCAUGAACCACGUCCACUUCAAUCUUUCGCUGCACUACUACCCAUUUUGGGUCGUCUUCUGUUUCUGGCUGUAUGUCUAAGCAAUAGGAACCUGCUCCAAUUUACAGACUAUUAAUUAUGUUAUCGAAUAAUUUAGUUAAUAAUUGAACACUAAUUUUUUAUUUUAUUGAAAAAUUUACAUACCGUUUCUUGUUGUCACUACUAUUUAUACUAUUUGAUAUAUUUUUUCCAAACCCCUAAAAUCCCCCCCCCCCCCCCAAAAAAAAAAGAAGAAAAAAAAAGAUAUAUAAUUAAACAGGUAACUUUGAUAGAAAAGAAUGUACAAAAUUUUUAAGCUUAAUUACCCCUCGCUGCCAUAGGGAUAACGAAGGCCAUUUGAGAAAAUAAUGUUGCUACCAAAUCUCUUUAAAACCACUCUUAUAUCCUGCAAAUUAAAAAGAAAUAGAAAUCAAACAAAAUUGAGGUAAGCUUUAUAAUUAAAAAAAAAAGAGAAAAAUUAAAUUAUUAAAAGAAUUUGUUUAGGGAUUCAUCAAUACUUACAUGACUGUCGUAAUAAGUUGUAAUCUAAUAUUGUCUCGGAACCACUCCAUAAGACUUAAUGCAUUAAUCCAUAUAUUCUGUCAGAUUAAAUGGGUUGCUUGAAACAUUGUGUCUUUUUUUGCCAAUUCCAAUUGAUGAGACCAUUUCACUGCAUGUCUGGAUGAGAACUCCACCCCCUCUAAAAAAUAAUAAUAAUAAUUAAAUAAAUAAAUAAGAUAAAGAAGAAAACUAUUUUUAAUCAUUCAUAAAUAUGUAGUCUCAUAAAUAAAAUUUAGAGAUGUACAUAAAAUAGGUAUUGUUAGACGAAAGACUCAUUUGUUGCGACAUGUUGUUUAUUUGACAAUCUCAAUAGAACUAUCCAAUUGGCUUAUUGGCUUAUAUUUGUGUGGUGUAGAUCUAUUUUAUCAACAUUGCAGAAACAUGAGAUAAUAUGGAAAAUAUUAGAAAAAAUUAGUAGCAUUAUUAAGAUAUUAAAUAUCACCCAAAAUAAUAAAAUGAAAAAAAAAAGCUCAAAGAAUUGUUGUUGUAAAUUAUGACUCCAAUAGGAAAAUAAACAAGACUAAUCAUAUCUUUGUGUAAAUUUAAUUUUUAUAAAAAAACGUGUAGGUGUAAUAUUAUGAAUAAACUGAUAGAGAAAAGAAUGUGCAGACUCCUGUGAUUUGACAAAAUAAUCAAAAUAUUCUCUUUAUUUUUUAAAAUAGUUACAAAGCUCCUUUUGUAACAUACAAAUUACGGAAAUUCAUGGGCUACCUAACAUCCAUUUUAUUUUAUUUUAUUUUAACACCUAAACAUCAUAGACGAAAGAAGAUAAAAAAUUUCAUUGCACUCAAUUUUUUUGCAUGCAAUCAAUAGGGAAAAGAAGCAGAAAGUGUUGGAAAUAUAGCACAAGUGGCUCUUUGAGGCGUGAUUUUGAGUGAGACCUAUCUAAUGUAAGUGAAAGGUUAAAAUUGUUUCAAUUAUUCCUCAGUGAAAAUUGGGAUUACGGUUGAAAUACUAUAAGUAGCUUAUUUUAUAAGUUUUGAUAAAAAUAAUUUGGUAAAUUUGUUAAAAGUUAAUUUAUAUUUUUUCUAUUUCGACAAUAGCUUUUAAAACAAGUAUGGGAUUUUUUUCUAUAAGCAACUUAUUAAAUAAAUGCUAUAUUUUUUAAAGUUUCUAUUAUAACUUUAAUAUUUUAAGAAAAGAAUAAUUAUAUCUAUUUUUUUAAAUCUUAAUAUAUAAAUAAAGACAAUUUAAACUUAUAUCUAUUUUAGUGAUUAGAUAAUAAAAUAAUUCUUUCAUACUCAAAUUUACCAAACACCGAGCAAGCUACUUUUAUAAUCAUCAAUUUAUUUUAUUCGCACACAUAAGUAGUUUAUUUCAUCAGCCAUUAGAAUUUCAAACCGAUCCCAAGUCAUGUUUGGAAUUGCAUUGGAUUGUCAACUAAUUAAACAGAAGUAGCUAUUAUAUGGGAGAAUAAGAACAGGUUCACCUGGAGCAAUACACCCAUAAGCUUGGCUACUAAUAAACGGAGCAUAUAAGGAUAAACACCUAAGUUUUGAGAGAUACAUGUAUAUGGAGGGCAAAUUCUUCGUCUCUCCCCGGCUUCAAGGAAAUGGUUAAAUCAAUAUGAUUGUAUAUGAAUUGAUAUUCACCAUAUGAUUAUUACAUAAAGAUUGAACCCUUUUUAUGUGUUUUACAAUAAGUAAGCACACUUGUUCUACACAUUCAGACAACCCAGAUUAAGAAUUAUGAAAAUGACCAAAUCUAAAACAAGCUAGGCGCACUAUUAUUUAUCUUUGCUCCAUAAAUAUUAGAAAGAUAGAGGAGAGGAAAAAAAAGAAAAGACUAAUUUUGUAGUCACAAUAUAAUCUUGUGUUCUGAUUUUGAAGCAAAUCAGCAGAGUAUUUGAGGAUCCAAUCAUGAACCGUGUCCGCUUCAAUAUUUCGCUACAUUACUAACCACUCGGGAUCAUCUUCUGUUGCUGGCUGUAUGUCUAAGCAAUAGGAACCUGCUCCAAUUUACACACUAUUAAUUAUGUUAUCCAAUAAUUUAGUUAAUAAUUGAACAUUAAUUUUUUAUUUUAUAGAAAAAUUUACAUAACGUUUCUUGUUGUCACUGCUAUUAUAUUGUCUGAUAUAUCUUUUAGAACCCUAUAAUCUCAAAAAAGAAAAGAAAAAGAUAUAUAAUUAAAUUGGUAACUUCGAUAGAAAAGAAUGUACAAAAUUCUUAAACUUAAUUACCCAGCGCUACUAUAGGGAUUACGAAGGCCAUUAGAGAAAAUAAUGUUGCUACCAAAUCUAUUUAAAACCAUUCUUAUGUCCUGCAAAUAUAAAAUAAAUAGAAAUAAAAAAAAUUGAGGUAAACUUUAUAAUUAAAAAAGAAAAUGAGAAAAAUUAAAUUAUUAAAAGAAUCAAUUUGGGGAUUAAUCGACACUUACAUGACCACUACAAUAAGUUGUAAUCCAAUGUGGUCUUGGAACCACUCCAUAAGACUUGUUGCAUGAAUCCAUAGAUUCUGUUGGAUUAAAUGGGUUUGCUUGAAACGUUGUGUCAUUUUUGCCAAUUUUAAUUGGUGAGACCAUUUCACUACAUGUCUACAUGAGAAACCCCCAAUAAUGAUGGCGAUGAUGAUGAUAAAAAAAAACAAAAGAGAUAAAGAAGAAAACUAUUUUUAAUCAUUCAUAAAUAUGUAGUCUCAUAAAUAAAAUUAAGAGAUGUACAUAAAAUAGGUAUUUUUAGGCGAGAGACUCAUUCGUUGCGGCAUGUUUUUUAUUUGACGGUCUCAAUAGUACUACCCAAUGAAAUCAUGUCACCUGUAAUUGCAUACCUGCCAGCCCCAGCUGGAGUCCAAUGUUUCAUCGGAGAAGAAUUCAUCAAUACAUCAUAGCAAGAACUUUCCCCUCUUAAAGCAACAAUUCCUGAGAAUAUCCGGCCUAGGGUAUCUGUGCCUUCCGAAGCUCCAUCAAUACCAUUACAGGCUUUGUUCACUGGAUAUUCCUGAGGAUCAUCAUACUGAGCUGCACUCGUAUACAUAGACUCUAAAUAAUCCUUUAAUUCUGAAACGUCCUUCAGAGGCCUGUUACCAAAUAAUUAAAGACUCAAGAUGAAAUUUAGCGCCUCCAAGGUUAGUAACAUCAUAAAAGAUCUUUCAUCAUACCUGUCUAAUAAAUUUUGUUAUAUUUAGUUAAAUUACAAUAAACUUUAUGAGUAUGAAGCUAUUGGUAUCUCAAAUGCAAACAUCCAAAUUUGGCCUUACUUGGUAAUCAGAGUUGUACAUUGUUUUGUACUUCUGAACCUAAGCACCAAUAUACUUUAAUAUCUGGUAAUGCAUAGGUCGUAUAUGAGGCCAAAUCCAGAUUUUACUAUGUACGUAUAUUACACAUUAACUGAAAUGUAUAUAUACCUCGAGGAUGACAGAUAAUUUAUUGGAUAUAUAUAGGUAGUUAUGUAAUGAUACUACAAUAACAUUGCAUUGUAAUUAAAGGAAAAUCAGAUGGAUAUAUAUCGGCAGUUAUAAAAGUAACAUGAUUCAAUUACUUGCAGGUUUUGAAUUUUUUAGAGAGAAAAGUAAGUCCAUUUUUUUUCAGCAGCGGCUUUAUCGAUUUCAACCAGGACUGUUUGAUGGUCUUGUAGCAACUCUCACUAGCUUCCUGCAUCACUAAUAUUCAAAAUUCAAUAGUUAAAUUUUUAACAAGAAAAUAUAAUCAUACAUAUAUCGAAUUUUAAUUAAUUAAUAUUAUUUUCUAACCCUAAAAUCCUUGCUGACAAGAUCAUAAAAUGCGUUCGAUGGUGUGAUAUUAUCAAAGUAGAGAAUUGGGGCUGAAGAGGCCACUGCUCCCAAAGCAAUGUCAGGAUACUUUAAGCGAAACCAUGCAACAAGCACUGACGAUAACAAUAACAGAUCCACACAUGAGAAACUCUCAAACGAGUCUUUGUCAGUAGGAAUACAAAAUAAAAUUGUAUCAUAAUAAUUGUGGCGUUAUCCAGAUUUUAGUCAAAUAUUGACAAUGAGAUGACAGAUGACAUGAUAUCAAUCAAAAGAUGCAAGUAAGUUAAUAAUAUUAUAACUUACUUCCUCCGUAAGAUGCUCCAACAACGAUAGUGGGAGACAUUUCGGCCGAUAAAUUUUUCUUGAUGUGUAAGAGAAUCUCUGCAUAAUCAGCCAAUGCUUGAGCAGAGUUGAAAUAUCCACGAAGAGUUGCAUUCUUUAGGGCAUCUUUACUUGGUACAAAAGGUACUGAUUUUCCAUAGAAUCGAUGCUGCACAAAAUAUCGAAUUAAAAAAAAAUCCAUCACAAUUUUUCAGUUCAUAUUGUAGAAUAGUCUUAUUGAUAUUUGUCUUCAGUAUUAUUAUUUCAUAUACAAACUCUAUUUCAAUUAUUAUCAAGCUAGGCUGAUAACAAAUUCUGUCCUUACCUCUAUGUAAACUUCUAAAGCUUUAAAUCGAUGAGCAUUAUCAGUAAGCCAUCCAAUGCCACCAUGGUCAUCAUCAAGACUACUCUCUUCACCAAGAUAUGCCAAUAUCGGCGCUGCCAUGGCUCCGCCACCGCCCCAAUGCUUGAAGUUCAACACAUAUCUAUGAGGAAAAGUUAAAUAACUUUGUGGAUUAUAGUUAGAGUGAUCAAGUAUUUGAUCAUAAUAAUAAGUUUCGAGAUCACCCUCUGGUUCUGAAGUUAAUAUUUUUUUACUAGGGUUUAGAAAAAUAGUCCAUCCACGCACAGCACCAAGCUUUGGGAUGUUCUUUAAUGGUGAAGUGGAAGCAAAAGCAAAAUUUGUGAGGAGAAGAAGAAAAAAGGCAUGGAAGCCACCGACCUUCCAUGGUGUUGAAUUAGCUGAUGAAACUGAAUCAAAUGCAACACACGUUGGAGUGCUAGCUGGAAUCAAGCGAGCUGUAAAUCUAGUAGCUAGUCUAGGAAUGAAAGUGAAAGGUACACGUGAGAAGUUGGGAAGUUCCAGAUGGCAAAACUGUUAUGAAGAGAUUCCCAUGCAGUUGGAUUAUGCAGAAAUUAGUUAACAAAUCAGUACUUAUUAAUUGUAUUGAAUUUAGUUAGAUUAGAGUUAGUUACUCUUUAGUUACAUUGCUUAGCUGUAAUUAGAGUACUCAGCAAGUAUUAGAUUCCACUAUAAAUACUAAGCUGAGCUCAUUUCUGUAAUUUGAUUUGCAUUAAUAACUGAAAGACAAUUUCUCUUUUUCUUCUUCAUUCGAUCUUCAAAUUCCAACUGCAAAGUUGUAAAUCCUUAAUUAGCAGGAUGAUUAUGUAAAUACAGAAGAAAUAGAAUUAAGAUUCGGUUAUAAAUUCAGCUUCAGAAUCGACGUGUUUGUUAAUCUAUUCUGGAUUUGUUGUUAUCCUAUCAUAUAAUUAUUGGUGGUUUUAGUUUUAUAUUAGUAAUGAUCUUUAGUUUUCAUAAAAUUAUAGUUUUUCUAAUAUAUAUUGUUAUCAGUUUCGUAACUAAAUACGUUGCGAUGAAAAUUUGUUAUUCCUAAUUGUUAUUAAUUCUUUCCUUAGUAAUUAACUAACUUGAUUUACGUAGUUCUAAUGGUUGGACACAUAUUUCUAAUUUAAUUAACUUGCAAUUAAUUAUUUACUAGUGAUUAACUUGAUUUAGUAUGUGGUAAAUAUAUAAUUUUUAAAUAAUAAUUUUGAUAAAAUCAGUAAAGAAAUAAUAAAUUUUCUAUCAUGUAAGUGUAAAAUUAAAGAUAAAAUAUUUUUUUUUCUAGUUACAAUAGCUAAUAUUUAUUUGAUACUUUAACUUUUAAACUAAGCUACCCAAACAUGGUUGUAAUUUUCUAUAAUGAUGCUACCAAAGAUGUCAGGAUUCCAAUCAUUGUUUACGAUGCUACAAUAUAUGUUAAUCAUGCUAAUGGUAUAAGCCUUUGGAUUGGAAGCAAUGUAAAUCCAACCGCUGGGUAACGUAGCUAGCCUAGUUAUACUUUAUUAAGGGAACAAUAAAAUUAACAAUAGUCUCACACUAAAGGGUGGCAAUUUAUUUCCCGAAUUUGUGAAUUAGACACUAACACAUCAUAACGAGAUGAUUAAUUAUCGUUUCAAAUUACUGUGUCCUCUUCACUAAUCAAUUCGUGUUUGCAUUUUGACUUCCCCACAGGGGAUUCUUUAUUUAUUUUUUUUUAAAAAAUAAGUGCAAAAUUUAUCCCACCGAGUAUAAUCAAGGGGUGCACGUCAAGACUUGGAUGGUGCAAAUAAUUCCACCAACGGACUUGAAGAUCCCAAGUUGGUCAAUGGUUAGAAUGCUGAAAACAAGCAACAGCUGCGACAUAGUUUCAGGGUCAUAUCAUCUAUAAGCCAAACGUGUGUCCGCUCAAUUAGACACCAUAACCUCUAAAGACAAAACAAAUGCAUGCAACCUACCAUAAAAAGAUGAAUGAACACUAAAGACUGAGAGCAACACAACCCAGAAUGCAAUCAUUAACCUCACGAAAACUGGACCCUGAGAUUCACUGUAACAACGUCAUUAGUAUUUUUCUUUAUCCAAGGCUCCCAGUAGCCCUCCUCCCCCCCCCCCCCCCCCCCCCCCCCACCCCCGCCCCCCCCUCGACCCCCCCUACCCCCCCCCCCCCCCUUCAAGAAAAAGAAAAAAAAAAGAAAAAAACUAUAUGGAUCUUACAAGAACGACGAAGUCAUUAUGCAAACUAUAAGAAAAUGUAAACUGAUAGGCAAUAAUUGAAGAACACGACCUAGGCAAUAAUUGAAAUAAGAUGCGAAAUUAUUUAUAACACAAUUAACUAUUCAACAAUCAUAUGUGUUGAUUUCUUUUCAAUCUGACUUGGACACUGUGUUAUAUUUUAUUAUCUUUUAAUAAAUAUCUAUAUAUAUAUAUAUAAUCAAAAAAUUAUAUAAAAUUCACCAUGAAAAUAAGGAAAACGAAAAAAAAAAAAAUCAAACGGGCCCCCUGAUGGAUCACCAACGAACGAAAAAGAGCAACUGAACCAACGAAAUGCAAUGGCAUUUUGGGGAAUCUGUCAAAAGCUGAUAACCUUUUUGUCGAUUCCCAGCCAACCUCUAUAAAUUGCCCGCAAUUGGAAAUGCAACACUUAUUACACACGCACACACUUGUCUGCUUGACGAUUUGCUCUGAUAUUUUCCUUUCUUCUUCAAUCAAUGAACUGUCUACAGAAUCUUCCAAGGUCCUCUUUUUCUUCUUCUUUUUUUAAUUUUUAUUUUAAAUCUCCUUUAAUUCGUUUUCAUUUUUUAAUUUUUUUGGUUAAUAUUUCAGAUCCUCCGCUUUGCCUUUGCAAAGCUUCAGAUUCAAUCAACGGAAGCCUACUGCUUCUUCUUCUUUCAAUUCUCUGGUAAAACGCAAUAUUUUUUUGUCGUUUUUUCGUCGUUUUUUCUUCCUGUUAAUACUUAAUGCUUGGGCGUUUUGUGUGUAAUGGAAAUGGAGUCUCGUGUCUGAUUUAUUAUCGCAGGGAACGAUGAAUUAUGCUGAUCUAAAUCGACGUAUCACCGUUAAGGUAACUAUAUAAUUUUUUAAUAUCAAAUUCAUUUCUUUCUUUUUUUUUGUUUUUUAAAAGAGUAAUAUUAGCUUCAACUGUGAUGCUGUUCAGUAGCAGUGCUGACCUUUUUAUUCAUAAAUAUCUUCGGAUAUUUCAUAAUAUGGAAUAUUCUUCUUUAUUCUGUUCUAUUUAUUUACUGGUUUUAAUGUACAUAUUGUCGAGGAGCUAAAUACGCGAGUAUAAAAAUUAACCUCAACUGAUAAUUUGUAGUCUGAUUAUGCCAUUAGUUUUAUGGAGUCCAUGUUGAUUCAGUUUGUUGUUUGAUUUUUAUGUGGAACUGUUACUUGAUUAUACAUGAACAUUCACUUGUGCAAAUUUGCUGAUGAAAUUUAUUUACAGGCAAUUACUGGUUCCACCUCUAGUAAGGAGACAUCUGAUAGCUCUGAAGUUAAGGAGGAAAAAUCCGAGAUCUAUAGUACUAAUAUGACAGAGGCUAUGGGUGCUGGUAAUUUAACUCACACUAUGCUCUAAUUUUGAUAGUAAGGCAGUUGUGGAGACCCUUAAGUGGUAAGGGAUGCUUUCCAUGUUAAAGGCAUGCCUAUUAUUGUGGAUUUGCAAAAUUUAUCUGAAACUUGAUUAAAUGAUGUUUGUAUAUUGUAUUAUAUGAUUGAAGCAUGAACUAAACGUUUUAAUGUUUCAUUCUAGAACUUCCCUGUGGACCUUUGCUCGUUUUUGUUUUGAUACUUAUGAAACUUGGUAAGUCUUGUUUUGAUUUGUUAGAGAUUUUCUGUUGAUGGAAAAUUUCAGAAGAAAGCAGUGACAAUGCAGUGCUUACUAAUUGAGGGUAGCUCAAAAUGAUAAUUUUAGAUUUUGGAUCUAUGAUAAUUGAAAAAUAAAUAGAGAUAAGUGAGUUUGUUUCAUGUUAGUUUCUUUAUCCGCUCCAAUUGAAAUACUCUGUGAUAAGAUUGUUUCUCUUAAACCCUUAUUCAUCAAAGUUUCCCUUUACAUGUCCAUUUGAAUGGCUUUAUCCCACACCAACCUUGAUUUUUAUGUUUAGGAGGUUGUUGCUUAGAGAUUCACAUGUCCAUUCUUAGUGCUAUAAGACUUUGUCUUGAUGCACAGGUGACAAGUUUGUCGGGGAGUACAUUUGGACUAACAAUCUUGAUUUAAUUCCAAACAUGUUAGCAUUGGGUUAUUUAUGUCAGUCAAAGUUCACAAAUUCAGUUUGCUUAGUCAACUCAAGUAGACAACAGAGUUGUGUAACUCAUUGACCAUGCGUGCAAAUGCCAAUGUAUGUGGCUUUAAAAAUUUGAGCAAUGAGGACAUGUGGUCCUCCACAGCCUGGAAUUAAUGUGUGUCUGAAACCUUUUUUGAACGAAAACACAGAGAAAAUGUGAGCUUGUCACAAGCUAAGUUUCCAAGAGAGGUUACAUAUGUUUACCAUGAAGUGUCACAUGAACUUGUACAGAUUGAUUUGUGAUGUUUCUUUUCCCGGUAAUCUCUUAUGUUAAAUCUUAUUGAUUGUGUUUGUGUAUGUGCGUUGGGCUGGAAGCUCCAUUAAAAUGGUUUUUCCUCAAAUUAUGAAUUAUAAUGCUCAUAAGAUAUCAUCUCUCCUUGUCCAACUUAUUAAGAAAGUAUUUCAUAAUCCUAUUCAAACAUAUUCCUUUUUUUUUUCUUUUUUGGGAUGGAGAUAUUUUCCUAGUUCAAUGCUGGAAAUGUUGUUAAUAAACAAGGAUUCUGGUUGUAUUAACUAUUUGACUAUACUUCUACAUUCCUACCUUUUUUGAGAAUUCACAAUUUAAAAUAAAAUUUGCACGUUAUCAUUUUGUAAACAAAUUCUUUCAUCUGUACUACAACAGCAGAUGAUGGAGCUCACUGGAAAUACUUUUCAUUUUUACCAUUGAUGUGAUAACUAAUAUAAGGCAUUGUUGUUUCUGUGUUUGGGUAUCAUUUCCAGCCUAAGCCUGAUACUAGUGUUUGUGGAUCAAAGCAGAAAGCUGCCACACCACCUGCAGGUUCUGGAGAGCUUCCUUCAACGAGUUCAAGCAAACCCAAGGAGUGGAGUUGUGCCCUUUGUCAGGUCACUGCUACUACCGAGAGAGGUCUAGACGUGCAUCUCCAAGGCAAGAAGCACAAGGCCAAGGAAAAACUACUUAGAGAUUUGAAGAUGUGCAUUAACUCCACUUCAAAAAAAUCUAUGGAAAGCAGAAAUAGUGCUGACCAAGAAAUGAAGCCUAAUGGAAGAGGAAUCAGUUGGUGCCAAAAAAACUGUUGUUGGUUUAGACCAGAAAGUGGAGGGUGGUCAAACCCUGCAGGUUAAGCCCAAUUCCAAUCUUUGUGGAACAAAUCAGAAUGCUGCUGCACCACCUGCAGGUUCUGGAGAGCUCCCUUCGACAAAUUCAACCAAAACCGAGCAGUGGAGUUGUGCCCUCUGUCAGGUCAGUGCUACGACCCAGAGAGGUCUGGAUGAGCAUCUUCAAUGUACGAAGCACAAGGCCAAGGUAGCAGGACUACUUAGAGAUAAGAAAAUGUGCAAUAACUCCACUUCAUCCACGUCAAAAAUAUCUACAGAAAGCAGAGAUGGUGUUGGCCAAGAAAUGAAGACUAAAGUAGAAGAGGAAUCAGGUAAAGCUAAUAAAACUGUUGUUGGUUUGAACCAGAAAUUGGAGGGUGGUCUAGAUGAGAAUCCUCAAGGUAAGAAGCAGAAAGCCAAGGAAGAAGAACUACUUGGAGCUCAGAAGUGGAUAAAAAAAUCUACAGAAAGCAGAGAUAGUGCUGGCCAAGAAAUGAAGACUAAAGUAGAAGAGGAAUCAGUUAAAGCUAAUAAAACUGUUGUUGGUUUGAACCAGAAAGUGGAGGGUGGUCUAGAUGAGGAUCCUCAUGGUAAGAAGCAGAAAGCCAAGGAAGAAGAACUACUUGGAGCUCAGAAGUGGAUAAAAAAAUCUACAGAAAGCAGAGAUAGUGCUGGCCAAGAAAUGAAGACUAAAGUAGAAGAGGAAUCAGUUAAAGCUAAUAGAAUUGUUGUUGGUUUGGACCAGAAAGAGGAGUGUUGUCAAGCCCUGCAGGUUAAGCCCUAUCCCAAUCUUUGUGGACCAAAGCAGGAAGCUGCCACACUACCUGCAGGUUCUGGUGAGCUCCCUUUGACGAGUUCAAGGAAACCCAUGGAUUGGAGUUGUGCCCUCUGUCAGGUCAGUACUACUCGCAUGAGAGAGCUAUAUGAGCAUCUUCAAGGCAAGAAGCAUAAGGCCAAGGAAGAAGAAUUACUUGGAGAUCAGAAGAUGUGCAGUAACUCCUCUUCAAAAGACUCUACUGAAAGCGGAGAUAAUGCUGGCCAAGAAAUUAAGGCUACUGUAGAAAAUGAAUCAGUAUAUCUAAUAAAACUGCUGUUGGUUUAGACCAGAAAGUGGAGGGUGGUCAAGAUAACGCGACAUCAAGAACCUAAUUAAAAAUUUAUUGUAUAUGUUUGUGUGAAUAUUUACAAAGGAGUGAAGAAACUAAUAUAUUAAAUAACGCGACACCAAGAACCUCGCUCUGGAGAAAGUUUAUAUAUAUAAUUUUUAAAAUAAACUAAUAAUUAAAAUGACAAUUUACCCUUUUAACUUAUAGAGAUACAACCUUAAAUUCCUUAAUAUGCUGGUUAAAUCAGCUCAUUGAGAGGGUGACAAUUAGACAGACCUUAUUAAUAAUACCAGAGAGAUUAAUGUCGUAGUUUGCACAUUCGUUUAAUUGCAAUUCAACAUGUAUAGGAAGUGAACGUGUAAAUAGAAUUAAUAAUACUAAGGGAGACAAUUCGUCGAACACAUAAUAUUUGCUACAUUGCUACUACUUAAUAAUUUCAGAACCAAUUAACAGUCACCUUUAUGGGAAAAUUCCAUUAGGAUUAGAAGCAAUCCCAUCACAUACAUGAACAGUCAAAUAUACGUAUCUAUAAUUACAUAUCACAUUAAUCAACCAAAUACAUUUCUUGGUUUCUAAGCUCCAAAAUUGAAAUUUCAUGAAAAGGUUUCUGCAUCGGUGCCUUAUUGCGAGCGAUGAAGUCGUUGGACACGAGUUGCAUUGUAGGUCGAGACUUUGGUUGAGAACGCAAGCAUGAAAAUGCUACUGUUGAAACAAGAAUGAUAUCCUGCCUAAUCUUUUGAUCCACCGGAGGUGAGAGGCGUGGGUCCAGCAAAUCAAUCAGCUUAAUAUUUUUAUCUAAUGACGAAGAUAACGAUGAGAGGAGCUCUCCAGGAUGCUUUCCCAUUAGUACUUCUAGUGCCACCACUCCGAAGCUAUAAACAUCAGAUUUCUCCGUCACAAUCAUGGUGUAGGCCAGUUCUAUAGGAAAACAGAAGCCUUUAUUAGUGAUAUUUCCUAUAUAAUAACAAGAGUAAUUUGUUUAUAUUUUUGAGCUUCUGCAGUAAGCUAUGACAGAGAAACAUAUGUUUUUAAUUGAUAUUUAAACUGUGUAAUUUUUUUUUAAAAAAAAAAAAUUAAAUGGGUAGACAAAGUUUAAAUUUAUCUUUCAGCUCCUUACCUAUUCCAAAAUUCGAACCUAAGUAGCUAACUAAAUAAAACUGCUUAAAACUUACUUAACAGAGUGCAUAUAGAAAUUAAUUAAAAGAAUAAUUAAAGAAGCAGAAGAAGAAUGGCUAGAAGAUUACCUGGAGCAAUAUAUCCAUAAGUGCCAGCCAAUAGAGUUCGAUUGGAUGAGUCAAAAUUUAACAAUCUAGCAACGCCAAAGUCAGCAACAAAUGCUUCUAAUUCUGAGUUGAGUAGAAUGUUGUUGCUUGAUAUGUCCCGGUGAACAAUUGGUGGUGUGCAGUGAUGAUGCAAAUAUGACAAAGCAUGAGCCAUGCCCUUCACAAUGUUCACCCUUUUAGCCCAAUCCAAACCAAUAGCUUCCUCAUCUAUGCGUAGAACACAGAACAAGCUUCCCAUUUCUAUGUACUCAUAGAUUAAGAACAUACAUUUCCUGUGCAAACAAAACCCGUAAAGCUUUACGAUAUUUCGAUGCCGUAUUUGAGACAGUAGACGAGCCUCAUUCCGAAAACUCUCGAGGG
rnacentral:lncRNA from 1 species